GCUGAGAUUUCAGCACUUUACUCUCUCUCUUUAGGUGAUAAAUAUUAACUCUGAUACUUGAUAUCUCCUUCUAACUUUAGCUCAUGUACAUACAUAUCACUUUAUACAUACUAUAUACACAUAUAGUGAAAGCUAGUUCCAUAGAAUUCCAAUUAGGAGUUCCAUCAAUGCAGUUUUGCAUUUCCAUUGGCUCAAACAACCAUAGAGCUCCUGAUCAUGAUUUGUCUAUAACAAUUAAUCGAACUUCAGUCAAGAUUCAAUCAGAAUUACCUCAAUUUAUUUCUCAGUUAGCCUGGUUUCAGCUUCAAUAGCAGGAAAUUCCUGCUUGUCUUCAAUUCGGCCAAGCAUCCAGCAGCCACCAAUUCUCCAAGGUUCAGUCCUGGCAGCCAAGGGUCAUCAUCAUCUCUUCUUUAAGAUAAGUACUUAAUUUACAAUCAACUACUAAUCCAUCUUACCCAAUUUCAAAGCUCUAUCAGGCCCCUCUUCAAUUCGAAACACUUAGGAAAGUCCAUCUGGUUUUCUUCAAGCUGAAGUUCCAGAACCACCAAGCAGCAGCCACUCUUUGGCUUUCUCCUUUAAACCCUCUACAAUUCCAGCAUAGAAGCAAUUCUCAACUUCUUUAUACCACAAUUAGACUCACUCUUGUUCAGGAAUUAGACUUCAUCUCUACCUAAAUUCGAAGAUCCCCUUAAGUGUGCUCAACUCAAUUCUCUUUCAGCUCUAAAUCUGAAAUUUCAGCAACAUAACUCUUAACUUGAUCCAUUUUAAAGCAAUUGAUUGGACUAUAAUCCAAUAUAGAAUGAACUUACUCUCACUUGAUGCUAAAUUAACUUGUUCACUGCAUCAACUGGUCCUCUCCUUCCUUUCGGCAGCAACAACAACAAGACUUCAGCUCCAAUAGCUCACAACUUUAAGUCUGCUACUACUAGUAGCACAAAAAAAAUCCAUGUAAGUAUUAUUUCUAAGGCUAUUAGCCUGAUUCUAAUCAAUUACUGGAACAAAUUACCUUAAGUAGAUGUUGUUCCAGGUUGCUCAACAACUCCAACAUCAGAAAUUUCUGCUUGUAUCAGGUUUCUUCUCAGCUUACAACCCUCCAAGCUGUCAGCUCAAUUCCCCUCAACCCUUCUUUAGUCUAAAGGGAGAAAGAGAAGAAAAUAGAUGAUAAGGAGAGAAGAGAAAUGGAAUCUCUGUCUUUGGGCAGGUGUAUUCCACUAAGGGUGAAGGGAUAAGUCCAGAAAAUGCAGCUUAGCCCCUGAAAAUUGCAAAAGUGCAUUGCAACCUGCAGAUUUACAUUUCAGUCCCUGCAGUUUCGCAAUUCAGUCCCUGCUGGCAGCAGCAGCAGCAGAUGAUCUAAUCCCUUGUUUCUCAUAUUUAAUUCACUUCGAUUUCAUUCGAACACGUCCAAACUCAUCCAAAGAAGCUUUCCAAGCUAUCAAAUUAAUUUGAGAGCAAUUAAUUUCCAAUUUGGCAUCAAUUUGAUCAUUUUUGACCACAUUGACUAAAAUUUCAGCAAUCAAGUAAUCAUGGCAAUUGAAGGUCUUUUGCUACUUCGAAUCCAUUCUUAUCCAUUCUCACAUUUCCAAAAUGUGCCAAGGACUAAUCUAAAGCUUCUAAUUAAGCUUAAGAUUGCUUAAUUUCCAUUUUUGCAUUAUUGUGAUCACUUUAGUCACAAUUAGCUCGAGAGAGAUUUUCAAUACAUUACAAUCUCCCCUCCUUAAAUAGUUUCGUCCUCGAAACUUAAAUUCAUACCUCAAGUUUCCUGGAUGAAUAGAUGGGGAUAGGCUUCACGCAUGGCAUCUUCCAAUUCCCAAGUGGCCUCUCGUCCCGAGUGAUUACUCUAUUGCACUUUCACAUAGGGAAUAGUGCGAUUUCGCAAUUCUCGCACAUCACGAUCAAGAAUACUUACUGGAUAUUCUUCAUAAGUCAUAUCCUCCUGUAGAUCCACAGGCUCGUAUUCCAUAACAUGCCCCGAAUGAUGCAUAUAUUUUCGGAGAUUCGAAACAUGAAANCACUCGAAUUCACAACAUACUCUUGUAUCCAAUUGUUAUCUGUAGGAAAUUGCUCCGGAUGGUCAAUGAAAUCAAGCUCUUCGUCAGGAUUGUCUACAUAUUCGUUGUUUACAUGCGGGUCAUCAUUCAAACUGUAAAUGGCAUUCGCGAGGCAAUUUAAUCCACCAUCGUGAUCAUCUUCAAUGUCGGCAGCUAGAUCAUUCCAAUCGUCGUCCUCAUGAAUGGGUUCAUCAUCCUGAUUAUCGUCAUUGCGAAUGGGUGAAUCAUCCUGAUUACCAUCAUUAUGAAUGGGGGCAUCGUCCUGAUUACCGUCGUUAUCAUCUCCUUUCUCGACUAAAUUAUCAAGAACUUCAUUCCAAUUUGCAUAGGAUGUAGAUAGCCUGCAAUAGAUCCCGAAUGUUUACUAGAAGACGUUCAAAUUUCACUUACUAUUAAUUAAAAAAUAAUCAACAUUUUCUUUACCCCUAAUCUUAAUUUUUAUUAGGUGUAUGAAAUAUCGUGGGUUCGUCACGUGAAGUCUCGGGCUGCGCACGUGACGUCGAGUGUUGCGCACGUGACGUCGAGGGUUGGAGAUAGCGCACGUGAACUCACGUGUUUUCUGGUCAUUUGCUCCUUCUAUUUAGAGAUUUACACAUUGUCGGCCUGUGGUGAGCAUUGAUGCCACUCACUUGUAUAGCAAAUACGAAGGCCAUGCAUUAAUAGCGACGGUUGUGGAUGCGAAUGAUAGCAUUUUUUCCUUGGCUUUUGCAAUUUGCGAAGGCGAAAAUGGUAGAAGUUGGCGUUGGUUUUUACAUAACUUGGGGCAUUAUGUUAUACGCAAUCGACCGGUUUGUUUUAUAUCCGAUAAAUUUAGUGGCUUAAAGGAAAUAGUGGCUGAGUUAUAUCCCACUCGACAAGGGCAUGUACACCGGUGGUGUCUUCGACACAUGAAAGCAAAUAUGGCUAAGCGGUUUAAAAAUGAUUCAUUAUUAGACAAAUUCUAUUGUAUCGGCAGUGCUCUAACAUCGGUACAAUAUUAUAAACUGAAAGAUGAGUUACUCGCGCUAGAUCAAGAUGCUUGGAAGUGGGUCGAUGAGCUCGAAGUAUACAAAGAGUAUUGGGCGUGGGCAUUUGAUGGAGGCCGACGCUUCGGGUUGAUGACCACAAAUAUGUCCAAGAGUUUAAAUAGGGUAUUUAAGGGAAUUCGUGCUAUCCCAGUAACGGUAUUUGUCGCGGAAACUUUUUAUAAACUUAAUAGUUGUUUUAUAAAGCGUCGUGAAAAUGGUAAAAGUAUGACGGCCACGUUAGCACCUAAAAUACAAAGUCGGAUUACGAUGAAUAUGGUGACGGCGCGGGGACACCUUGUAUAUCGAUUUGGCCCUAAUGAGUUUGAAGUCCAAACAGGACACUCUGAUUACAAUGUUACCCUUAAUGGAACACAAGCGGAUUGUGAUUGCGGCGAAUUCAAGCUAACGGGCAUACCUUGCUCGCAUAUUUUAACAGUUUGCAGUAAUUCACAACUAAGAAUAGAUUAUCAUAGCCUUUGUUUCCAUUGGUAUACUGUAGAGUGUUAUUGUCAGACAUACGCACCGCUUUUCCAUCCAGUUUCAGACAGACGCUACUGGCCACGACCCCAGGGCCCACCAAUUGUACCGCCUCCCGUGAGAAGGAAGAAAGGUCGACCACGAUCAACACGUAUUCGUAAUAUAAUGGACGAAACAAGUGGGCGACGAACAAAAUAUAGCAUUUGUAAGCAGGGAGGUCAUUAUAGAAACACCUGUCCACAGAAUACAGAGAUAGCACAACAAGGACGUCGACGUAGGACUUGAUACCUAACUUAAUAGUAUUUAUGAAACUUUCAAUCUUUCAAUAUUCAAUGCGCUUUUUGAUAAUAUGUUAUUAAUUACAAAUUAUUUAAAAUUGCAUAUGGCAGAUCUAGAGGAGACGGGACCAGUUGAUAAGUCCGUCCUGACAGAGCAGCAUCUCCAUAGGUCUUCAUUUAUCAAGACUGAGGUGAGAGCCAAAAUUAUUAUUUUAAAUGUUUUCUUUAGUAUUUGUUUGAAUAUAAAUGUUGUUCUAACUAAUUUUUUAUCACUGUAGGAAUAUCGCGGGGUACAGUUCAUAGAGCAUGGCCGCAAAUUAAACCAGUGGGUGCUUGAUCAUCCAGCAGUGCUAGAUUUGCUACGACAGUCUGAAUUUUAUUAUAUUUCUCGACUUAGACGUCUACAGCUGGAUCAAGCAUUAUUAGGAGCUUUGAUCGAGCGAUGGAGACGGGAGACCCAGACAUUUCACUUCCGCCACGGUGAGAUGACGAUUACACUUCAGGAUGUGGCGGUUAUUUCUGGCCUUCGUGUCGAUGGAGCGCCGGUCACUGGGACUACAGUGUAUCCGUGGUCAGAUAUUUGUCAGGCGCUUUUAGGGGUUGUGCCGGAUGACAUCCGAGCUGGGCAGAUUAGAUUUGAUUUGAUAUACCAGCAGUUUCAUCAUCUACAUUUGGAUGCUCCGGCUGGAUUAGUUGCAGCCACUGCACGUGCAUAUAUAUUAUAUCAGAUUGGCUGUAGUCUAUUUCCAGACCCCACCGGAUAUAGGGUUCAUCUUAAGUGACUGCCACUUAUAGCGAAUUUUGAUGCAUGCGGCGCUUUAGCCUGGGGUGCAGCAGCACUGGCCUAUCUAUAUCAAGCUUUGGGAUCGGCUGCAUUAAAAGGAAAGGUCGAAUGCUGUUGCUUCGCGACAUUAGUACAGAUAUUAUGAGUAAUAUAUAAUAAUUGUUAUAUAAAGCUUCUCCUAUUUAAGUUCAACAGUUUAAUUUAUUGUCAUUUAUUUAUAGAUUUGAGCGUGGGACCAUUUUCAUGUCGGCCGACCUACUAGCGUUGGAGCUGUUGCCGACAUGGCUGAUUGCCCUAUGGGUUGCCGGUAUGACAUAUAAAUUUGAUACCGAAUAUAUUUCUAUACAUAUAUAUACAUUUGCAACUAACAAAUAUACUUUUCAAAUAUAAGGUCGACGAACGCCGGUGGGUUACGUUUUGCAGCAAACGUUAGAACAACAGAUAUUGAGUGCUACAGAGAUGAGUUAGACCAACAGAGAAAGACUCAGGUACAUAUUAAUGCAACCAUUUUUUGACUAUUUCAACUGAUAUUUCAGCUGACUAUUAUUGGCUUUUUCACAGAUUGACAUGGCGGCCGUACACAGAUGCUAUUAUAGAUGCGCUAUCGACAUUCUGUGUACAGGGCAGUGAGGUAUGGCGAUCUCGGACGACACUGAUUUGUUUUCAUAUCGUUGAGCUUCACGUGCCGGAUCGAGUCCUACGGCAGUUUGGUCUCCUCCAGCAUAUACCCAUUCCGGUGGAGACCAUCCGGCGCUACACUUCUCAGGGGCGGCCAGAUGAGGAUUAGGCCCACUUUCAUGCUGCACAUAUCGAGAGAUGGGGAGAUAGAUUAUAGACCAUUAUUGACCAGCAUCCGAUUGUCGGUGAUGACCCGAUACAGGCGACCUUGAUUUAUAUGGAGUGGUACUGGCAGAUCACGAGAAGAUGGAUUUUUCGUCCAGUACAGCGUCCAUCAUUGACUUACCAGCCUCGUGGCCAGACCGAGAGAGCUUUGGUACGAUCACUCAGCCCAUUUAUUAUUUUUUUAAUCUUUUGUAUAAUAUAGAUUGCCAAAGGUGAAUUAUUAUCUAUAAUGCAGGUGGAUGCUAUUCGACAAACACAGUAUAACAUCAGAAGUCUAGUUCAUGAUCGACCUUCUUACAAUGCAGUGAUGGAGGCAUUGACAGACAUGGAUAUCGAUCUUGAUAGUGUACUGGAGUACAUUCCUACUAUACCUGUCGCCACUGAUAUCAAAGGUCGAGAUUUUGGACAUGCAUCGACAUCGGGUCAUCACCACCGUCAGACACCGACAUCUGCUGGAUCUCCAUCUCCUAGUGAUGUUGCUGAUAUGCCCGCCGCCCCUGAGAGAUUUCCUUUAAGGCCAUUGGACUUGUACUUGCUUUUGCCGCCGCCAGUCUCUAGAGAGCACUUUACAUUCGUCUAUUCUCGAUGUCAUGCCGCGUCUUCAUCACAGGCCCGCUCAACAUCUAGACCAGCCACUAUCGAGGAGACUCAGGCGAUACCGGAGCAUCGCGAGGGCAUUAUGAUUGUGGAUCUCGAUGAGAUGGCCGAUAUCGAGGCAAUUGAUGACGUACCUAUUGCUGAUUUCGUUGUAGAGGGUGGCCGUAGACGUGAACGUGGCCGUGCACGAGGACGUGGCCAAGGACGUCGAGGGAGAGGAAGAUUGAGAGACCGAUUGUAUAUCUUUGAUUUAGAUAACUUAGACUUUGUAUAAUAUUAUAUAAUACUUAAUUUAGUGCAUAUUUGUAUAUUCUCGAAAUUUUUUUUGAUAUUUUUAUUCUGUUGAUUGUAUCUUAUUAUUCCACUCGAUCUGUUGUGUUUCUUGUUGGAAUAUUUGUUAUCGUGAAAAAACUUGUGUUAAACUUGUUGAAAUUUUUUUAAAAAUCAAGCUUAAAUCAGCAUCUGGUGCUGUUUGCACUAAUGGCGGUGAAUUGUUCACCGCCUUUAGUGCAAAUCCACGAACCCGGAGAAAAAAAUGACUAAGUCCUGGACUGGGUGGUGUUUGCACUAAAGACGGUGAACCACUGAACCACUCACCGUUUUUAGAUAAGACGGUGAACGAUUCACCGUCUUAUCUAUGCCACAAACCCGGGCUGUUGGGCGGGGGAUUUGCUGAGAAGGCGGUGAAUGUUUUACGCCUAGAUAAGGCGAUAAACGAUUAACCGCCUUUGUUAAGGCGGUAAACGAGUCACCGUCUUCUCGAGGCACCUUAAGCUACACGGGGAAUUGCUGAGAAGACGGUGAUACGCGGGGAAUUGCUGAGAAGGCAAUGAAUGGUCCCCGCCUAGAGAAGACGGUGAACCAUUCACCGCAUUCAAGAUGCGUCCCCAAAGAUAGUGAACGAAUCACCAUCUUUGUGAGAAACGCUGGCCUGGCGGCUGAGGUGGCAAGAGGAGGGUUAGUUUUACAAAUAAAAGUUUCACAGGAUUAUUUUGGCAAUUACGAAAUUUCACAGGAUUAUUUUCGAAAAAAGUCCGAUGAUGGGUAAUUUAUGUUGCAGGAAGAGAGAUCAUAAAUACAUAAGAUGAAGGUUAGCUACUGUUACCAAUUGCUCGUUUUACUAUUUUGUCGAGUAUACAUAGAUGUAUAAGUUGCUAAUUUACAAAGCAGACAAGUAUAACUAAUGGAUAUGUACUGUACUGUAACUGCUUUCUCUUUUGACGAUACCUCUUUGGGUAAAUUGCACUAUUACCCCCUGAACUUUUGGCGAAGUUUCACUUUACCCCUCGAACUCCUAAAGUGGACAUCUAACCCCCUAAACUCUAAUAUUUCGUUCAUAUUAUCCAUUCCGUCAAUUUUCCAUCAAACUUCGUUAACCGGAAACUGACGGAAGGGAUAAAACGAAUGAAAUAUUAGAGUGUAGGAUGUUAUAUGUCUAUUUUAAGAGUUUGGGGGGUUAAGUGAAAUUCGUCAAAAGUUCAGGAGGUAGUAGUGCAAUUUACUCCGUAGGGGACUCUUGACUAUAAAUUAUUUUAUUAUAAUAUGUUACUUAUGGAUUGACUAUUAAUCCUCACGUUAGUGAUCAUGCUUGAUUUUGAAUUUAUAUAUAUUUUUUCUCCUAAAAUAAAUCAUAUCAUAAUUUAUCCUAUAUUUUAUUGUAAUAAAAUAAAAGUGAAAGAAAUGAAUUAGAGUGGCUUAAAGAUAAAAAAAGAACGAUAUUAACUACCUACGAUACUCGAGCACUCUACUAUCCUGAUGUACUCGCUAAUAUGGUUGAUUUAUAAUAGGUGUCCUCACUCGGAUAUAGAGAUUUUAAUUCUCAGUUAAUUUUCUGUAGUACUCGUUUGUCCUUUUUAUCUUUAGAAGCAUUAUUCUAUAAAAUACACUUAAAUAAAAUCUUUGUACUUCAUUUCAGCAAAUUAGAAAUAUUUAAUAUAAAAAUAUAAAAAUAAUUUAUAGUAAAAAUUUGGGUAAAUUGUAUUGUUACCCCCUGAACUUAUGGCGAGUUUCACUUAAUCCCCCAUACUCCUAAAAUAGACAUGUAACACUCUAAACUCUAAUAUUUCAUUCGUUUUACCCCUUCCGUCAGUUUCCGGUUAACGGAGCUUGACGGAAAACUGACGGAAGGGGUAACAUGAACGAAAUAUUAGAGUUUAGAGGGUUAGAUGUCCAUUUUAGAAGUUCGAGAGGUAAAGUGAAACUUCGCCAAAAGUUCAUAGGGAAACAAUGCAAUUUACCCAUACAUCUUUUGUAAAAUAUGAAAUGUUACAUACAUAGGUAGGACUACUAAAUAAUAAAGCACUGCACAAUCUCUCCUUCCAACUCUCUUGUUGUUAUAUACCUGUUCCCUAUUUAAAUUGUCUUAAUGAACUCAUUCCAUAGUCGACAAAUUAUCAGUGAGCCAGCAUUUUUUUCAGCAUGACAUUGCACCGGUUAAUAAUAAUAUAAACAGAACCAUUAUAUUAUAUGAAGUCAAAAUUUUGAGCUGCAUUCAUAUCCAUCUAAUGUGACUUUGCCCGAAAAGUACUAUAUGACGAAAAAAUUUGACGGUACCUUCAUCCGUAAGAUUCAGUUUUUAGCCCUCUUCGAUGGUCUCUGAAAUCGACUGACGUCGUCUGUGAAUUGUGCAGCAGUUCGUGCUCUUAAUUCUUCCAAGCUCUGUCCUUCUUUUGCUCUCUCUAUCACCUAAAAGGAAGGAUGCAAGGUGCGCGCAUUACAAAUUUUGGAUGGAGAAAAUACAUUAUAUAUUUUCCAAAAAGAGGGAAUUUUUACCAAAUGGCGGCCAUAUAAAUGCGUGUUUGCGAGUGCUUGUAGAGCAUUUUGCGCCUCGUGCUUCGUGACAUACUCCACAAAUGCAAAACCCCUGUGACUCCGAAACUUCAUGGGCAAUCUUAAGCUCUUGAUCUGAAGAAUUCAGCAACAAAACUUUAGGAAAUGCUCAAAGAGAUGCCAAACACUUCCAAAAGGAACGUGGCAAAUAUUAACUACAUAAUCUUAUAAUCCAAUUUUCCGGUUUUCUUCACUAUAAUCCUGAUUAUCAUUUUUUAUUAUCAGAUUGAGAUCAGAUUUGGGGAAGAAACACAGGUAGCCUUAAACUAGCAGUCAAUUAAACCAUCUGAAAUUCCUCCAUACAUUGACGACAAAACUCAAAAUGCAAAAUUCUUAAAAUUUAACCAGGGUAUUAUCAUAAACCCACAAAUUUUACCUGACCAAAUGGACCAAAUAACUGCCUUAAAUCUUUUUCUGUUGCCUCAAAUGCCACAUUUCUCACGAUCAGCUUAGUUGAACUCCUAUCAUUUUCACCCUUCUUUGAAACCUGACCAUCUCUUUUUCCAUGACAAAGUUGCAAGGAAAGAGCAUGACCAUCCAGAACAGUCCCCUGAAAAUUAUAUAACAAGUUACAGACUAGUACAGUUACCUAAUUCCUCAAAUGACAGUAAGUGAAAAAAAAAUUAUUUGUUUGUACUUUAUGUUGCAAAAUCUUCCAGUUUACCUGCAAAUCUUUGCAGACGCUGGUUGCUGUUUCCACAGAAUCAAAUUCAAUAAAGCCAAAGCCCAUGGAUACAAACUUGCCAUUCUUGAGGUGCUUUUUCACCUUGAAAGUAUAAAAAUAUAUGAUUAUUAAGACAAAGGAAGAACGGAAAAAAUGUUGUUUAAAUAAGCUUUUCUUCAAUGUACCUUUACACUUUUUAUCGUUCCAUUCUUCAUAUUAUUAGUAAAGUGCAGCUUCAGAGAUUCGUCCAAGGUCUUAAAAUUUAAGUUCUUCACAUAAAUCGACCGUGACUGCAAACAAUAAAAGACAAACAAUAAAAAAAUGGGGAUCUAUUAUGAAAAAUGGAUUAGAAGUCUGAUAUCAAAACACAGAGGUGAUAGAAUCAAAUAUCACUGCGUAUUUGAAGCAACAACAUAGGGGGAAAUGAGAUGCAAUCAUCUAUAGCUCUGAAAGCUAGAACUCUAGUUCUAAAAAAGGAGACUAGCAAAAGAAAUUUUGAUAUUAGGGGGACAAUAGAGAAAUCAGUUUACACUAUAUAAUCUGGGAGCAACAUUUUCUCAUAAUGGUACUUGAAUUUCUUCCUCUUUUUUUCUUUUUGUAGGGGGAAGAGGGGACGGAUGUUAGCUUUUUCCUGACACUCUUUAUUAUUUGUUUAAUGGAUGAGCAGUAAGAAUAUGUAUGGUGACAAGAGAAGGGAAUGAAGAAGUCAGCAGCUAAGACACUUAAACUUGCAUUGAUUACCAAAAAUAAAAAAAAAAUAGCGACCGAAUACUAACAUGCUUGAUAACUAUCUCCGUUCAAAAAGGCACAGAAGCUUACAGUGAGAAGGAAAUCAAAUAGCCUACAUUAAAAUAACAAAAUAUAAAGAAUGAUAUUGCCACAGAAGUUAAUGAAAAUUGAAGCUUCGCAGUCUAAAAGUGCAUAAAAAUGCUCACAACAAAGAGGCGAGUAAAGAAAAUGUCAAACCUCCACCCUAUCGGGAUCAAUAUCCUCUUCCGGUAUUCCCUCCAAGCUUUCCUCCACUAAAACUUUUUUAACAUUCUUCUCACCAACUACAUUCUUUUGUUCCUCACAUGCUGAUGGUUCGGUAGGACAAAAAAUAUUUUCAGGAGCCCAUUCCAGAUAUAAUGGAGCAUCUCUACAAGUUGUAAAAAUUUCCAGAACAAACAGGGGGAAAAAAGAUUAAUCAUUUUCAAAAUUUAGUCAACCAUAUUGGAUUUGCACUCUUCAUGAGAGACAAUGUAACCUGAUUUCUCUAUCUAUAAAAAGACAUUGAGGAUUCCAUACUCAGAGGAGUUGACUGAACAACCGCAUUCAUAUUCCCUAAAAAACGUAUGAAGAGUGCAAGUUUCUAAUUACUUUAGAAUUUAGAUGUAAAAAGAGAAAAACUAAAGAACCUUGCUUGUAUCUUUUGUAUGCUAAACACUUGAAAGCCGAACGAGCUUCUGCUGCUUCAAGAAAGAUAACCUGAAGAAUAAUGCAAUAGGAGAUACCGAUUUAUAAAUUUCUGCAGCCAAAAACAGUAACGCAAAAAGGCCAAAUUUGGACGAAUGAAAGGACAUAUUUAGAUGUAUACCCCUGCAAAAUUAUCUAUUUGCAUUUAGACCCCUCCAAAUUCUAAACUAUGCCUUUCAACAACUUAAUUUCUUCCACAUAAAUCAUUGUACUUACGAAAAUAUAACACUUUCAACCCAAGAAUUGAAUCAUUUUUCAACUUAUGAUAAGGGUACACUCAUACGAGGGUUUACUUUCAAGGAAUAUUUACAUAUCUUCUGGAUUCUGUUGUGCCUUGUAUGUAAUGGAUAAUUUUGCAAAACACGGAUGCAAAAGCAUCUAAUUAAAAUGUAAAUAUGAAGAUUUUCUUUUGAUGAUUUGAUCAAGCCAGUAGGAACCAACAUGUGUACCCUUUUCUCACUUAAAAGUUGAAUUUAAAGCAGGUAUACCCAUUGCCCCAUGAUAAAGGUACCCACCAAACGACCAAGUGGUUGGUUAUGUAAAUUUUAUGAGUUUAUCAAGCAAAUUUCAUACCAAAGCCAAUGUUCUGGUUGGUGGGAGAACAACUUUGUCUAAGCUCCCAAAUUUCCCAAACAUGCUAGCAAGAUCUCCUUCAGAAGAGCUGUAAGGCAAGUUCUUAACCAAUAUCACAUGGUUGCUUCUUUUCAUUUUUUCAUUUUUUUUCACAGCGUAUUCCUCUAAAGCAGCAAUGUUGAUUCCAGCAUUAGAUAGAGCUUUCUUAGUCUCUGCUACCACAUGUGUUUCUCCCAGUGCUAUACGCACAGCAAGAUCAUCCGCAUCACGAUCAAGUAAUUCGCUUUUGCUGACACCAGUUUUCCUGGCUAUGUUUUCAACAACCUGAUUGGAAAUUGGAUAAUGAUGAAUCAAAUAUCACAAAAUCCAUUUUAUAUUAAUUUGCAGUUAAAUCGAGUUCCAAUCAAGUAAAAAAAAUUCCAGUCAAGAAUCAUAUAUUACAAAAAAAAUUAUAUAUAGAAGUAUAACAUAAAAAGUAAUAUAUCUAGUGGAAUACGAAGGACAUCAUCCUAUUAACAAUAUAAAAUAGUGCAUGGAAGAAAAUAAGCUUAUGCAUUUAUUCAUUAAAGUUUGCUGGAAUAUAAACAUACAGUAUCAGGACGCAUGAAUAAGCUAUUCCACGCCUGUGUAUCACCACUAGCUUCAGAUGCCUUCCUCUGAUCUGCUCUUAACUGCUUGAAGGUCUUAUUCUCCACCACAUGAUUAGACCUUAAUGAAUUCAAAACAAACAGUUUAAAUCAAACAAGCUUGUGAGGAAUGGAAGUACCAAAAGGAUAAUACAAAGGUUCUUACUCAAGUUUCUCAUCAUUUUGUGGCUUGGCAGGCAUGACAUGUAACAACCUGCCUUGGAAACUUGAAUUGUCUAAAUCUUCAAGUGCCCUACAACAUUAAUAAGGUGUCAAUGCAACAUAAUGGAAUCCAAACAUAAUAGUGACCCAAAAAAAAAAAAAAGACGAAGAAUGUCAUAUAAAUAUUAUCAUAUCUCCACCAAAUUGAAUAUAACCAAUUCUUUUAGUACUAAGUAAGAAUGAGAUAAAGGGCAUAAUUAUGCGACAAAAAUUAUUACCUUAUAGCAGAUUCUGGAAGUGAAAAAAGCACAUAACCUAUGCCUUUGGACCGUUUAGUAUCUUUAUCAACAACAAGAUGCAUGUGUGAGACAUCACCAAACUGGCUAAAAAGCUCCAUCAAAUCCUCUUCACUGGACACCACCAAUAAUAAUUUACUCAUUAAGAAGACAAGUCAGGAUAGAUAUAAAGGACUAACAUCUGCAUUCAGCUAAAGUAUUAUAGAGUCAGUAUAACACCAUACGUAGUUGCGUAAGGAAGAUUGCGGAUAAAUAGCCGGCCAGUUUCCAAUGCCUGUUUCUUCUCAUCACUUACUGACAAUGUUGGAUUCUCAUUAUUAACAUCUUCACCAUCGGAAUCUACUAGAGGAGACUCCUUUUCCUCUCCAUUGAUAUCAUCUUCUCCAACUGAGAGCCCAUUUGCAUCAUUUGUAUCCAUAUCUGUUUGACUUUUGGAAUCUUCGUCAUCAGAGUCUGAAGAUUCUGGACCAAUUUUUCUUAAUUCUACUCUUAAAAUACUCCAUGUCGGUCAUAUGAUCAUGCUCCCUUGUUUCCAGUGAUUCCUCCAUCUCAUUUUCUUCAGAAGUACUUUUAGUAGCCUCAGGUUCGCCGCUGCUACCAUCAGUUGUUCUAGCCUUUGGUCGAGCUGCUUGCUUUUGCCCCAUCUGUGACUGCUGACAAUCUUUCUCACCGAUUUUGCUAUCUUUGUCAACAAAGUCACCAGCACCAAUUGCAUCAUUGGCCCACAAUUUCGACUUAGUCCGUGGCUGCAUGACUUGGAGAAAUUCUUGGAGUUUUGGAUCAUUAACUUCAGUGCUUUUACAUAGAUUAGCAUUCAAUUUUUGGCCUUCAGAAAUUUUUAUCGAUGAAACUUGGUCGCUGACACCAGCAUUGUCUUUGCUUUGACUCAACGGAGUGCUUUUCUCUAGAGAAUAACGGCUCCAAGGACGAGGCAAAUUCAGAUCACCAACUUUACGAGCAACCUACAAUUGGCAGAUAAGCUUAUAAGGUGCUUAUUAUACUUCAUAACUCCCCCCAUCUUUCAAGAGCUAUCUAUGUAAGAACAUGGGGUACCAUCUCACCUCACAUAUGAGCUUCCGAGUAUCCAUGAAAGUGUUGUUGAAAUAUUCGAGGGCCGCCUCAGCUUCCUUCUCAGAACGAAACCCAAUGAACGCAAAUUGCCUACUCUUCCCAUCUCUAUUCAAAACCAAAAAAAUUUAUUUUAACAACUAUGCUACACAAAUAAGAACAAAUCCGCAGACUUGAGAAAAAAAAAAUCCAAAUGUUACAUACUUCAUAUUCAGAAAAAGAGGCGAAAAAUACAAAAGGAAGCAUGAAUUAAUGAUGUAUUACUACAUAUACUGAACAAAAAGGUUCUUUGGUCACAGAAACUGUUUCAAGUUGAGAAAUUUAAUCAGCUUCAAAAUAAAUAGGCUAAACUAGAGAAGCAACUUAGGAGCUUCAUAAUUUUAGACAGGUAACUAGAAUCACACGAGACAUUUCAAACUCAGCAAACAAACAUAAGAGAACAAUUAAAAAGGCGAAUCAAACACAUGAAUCAAUGGUGAUAAAAGAUUUGAAGGUGGGAUUUUUCGAUUUUUCUCACUUAGUGCGCAUGAUCUUAGCGUCGGUGACCUCGCCCUUCUGGGAGAAGAACUCUCUGAGGCGAUCCUCAUUGACGUACUUGGGCAANACUCAGCAAACAAACAUAAGAGAACAAUUAAAAAGGCGAAUCAAACACAUGAAUCAAUGGUGAUAAAAGAUUUGAAGGUGGGAUUUUUCGAUUUUUCUCACUUAGUGCGCAUGAUCUUAGCGUCGGUGACCUCGCCCUUCUGGGAGAAGAACUCUCUGAGGCGAUCCUCAUUGACGUACUUGGGCAAAUUCUUUACGCAGAGACGAGACCUGUGAACCAAAGAGAGCACAAAACCCAAUUAGCCUUAGAGGAAAAGGGAAGAGGCGAUUCCUCAAACACGAAUUGAGAAGGAAUAGUAGGAGCUCUCACAUCUCUAGGGCUCAGUAAGAGGGAUUCUAGGGUUUCGGAACUGUGGAACCCUAGAUCGCGAUAUACCCAAAUCUCUGUAAAAACAAAAAAAAAUCACAUCAAACUCUAAUUAGAAGCUCAAGAAAGAAAACCCCUCACAUUCUUUCUGCCCAAAAAACCAUAAGAAAAAGAAAAAGAAAAAAAAAGAUGAAGAAGAUCAAUGGAAGACGAAGAACGAAAACGAACCUGUUGAAAGCGCCGCUGCCGGAGUUCCAUCGGGAUAUGCGAACGGCGAAGAUUGCGCUGCCGGCGGCGAAGAGUGCGCUGCCGGCGGCGAACGGUGGAAGACUGAAGGGCGCUGCCGGCGGCGAAGAGUGCGAACGGUGGAAGAUUGAAGGGCGCUGCCGGCGGCGAAGAGUGCGAACGGUGGAAGACUGAAGGGCGCUGCCGGCGGCGAAGAGUGCGAACGGUGGAAGACUGAAGAGCGCUGCUGCCGGGGGGUCUUCGAUCGGGCGUAGAAUAAUAAUGGCCAAUUUGCAUAAAAAAUCUACUUAUUUCAGGCUUUUGCAAAACCGGGCCACAUUUUUCGUUUUUGCAGGUUCGGUCCGCUUUUUCGUCCGCCUGACCAAAAUACCUUUAUUACUUUUUCUCUUUCCUCUUUCUCUCUCCUCUCUGUUUCUAUCGUUCUGUUUUUUUUUCUCGCCGCGCCCGCCGUUCUCCCUCGAAUCCUCCUGCGCCGUCCCCAUCACCGUCGCGUUCCCGAACCGCACCCUCCUCGCUCCCCCCGGCGACCCGCACCCCUCGACGGCCCCCACGGCCGUAUCCUCCACCGCCGGCCAGCGCGAUUCUGUUUUUUUUUCUCGCGCGCCGCCGUUCUCCCCUCGAAUCCUCCUACGCCGUCCCCAUCACCGGUCGCGUUCCCGAACCAGCACCCUCCUCGCUGCCCGCCGGCGACCCGUACCCCUCGACGGCCCCCACGGCGCUCCUUCGCCGCCGGCCCGAGCGACCCCCGCCGAACCGGCGGCGGAGGAGCGGCCGUGGGGGCCGUCGAGGGUCGGGUCGCCGGGGGAGCGAGGAGUGGCGGUCGGGAACGCGACGGUGGAUGGGGACGGCGCCAGGAGGAUUCGAGGGAGAACGGCGGGCGCGGGCGAAGAAAAAAAAAAGAGCGAUAGAAUUACACCAUUACACCAUUACCAUUACACAUUACCCAUUACCAUUACACUAUCACAACCAUUACUAUUACAUCACAUUACACCAUUACCAUUACACCAUUACACCAUUUACGCAUUACACCAUUACACCAUUACACCAUUUGCCAAUGGAGAAGAACACGCGCGGGUCUUUUUCAUUUUCUUCUUCUUUUUCCAUUUUCUUUCUUCUUCUCGCUCGGAGGACCCUCGACUCCCUCGAUCUCCGCUGACAGGGGCGCGCCUUCCGCCGCCGCCUCGGCGGCGCCGAUGGCGUCGUCAGAUGAGGAGACGUUUUCACACCCAGCGGCGCAUCGCCGGAGUCGGCGUACAGCGACAGCCCCAGCAGCCCCAUCUCGCGGCGGUGGUGUCGAAAGCUCGUCGGCGAUGGUGAGGGAGCUGCUCGAGGUGGUGCUCGCGCUGUUGAGCUCGGGCUUGGCGGCCGCCGACCUGCGCUGGUCGACGAGGCCGCGCAGGCCGCGGGCUGCGACGAGCGGAGAAGCCGCGAAGCUCGGGGCCAGCUCUGCCACCACCGCCGCGUUGCUCCGCCGCAGCGGCUCAUUCUCCUCCACCAACGCCGUCGCUCCUCCUACGUUGGCGGCGGCGGCGACGGAGGCGGUAGGGGUGGGGCCGAGGACGAGGAGGCGAGGAGGAGAGCGGGAGUCGGUCUAGGGCUAGGGUCCGCGGCGACGGGAUCGAAGAAAGGAGAGAGAAAAAAAAGAGGAGAGAGAAAAAUAUAAAAGGGUAUUUUGGUCAGUUUGCUGAAAAAGUGGACCGAAUCUCCAAAAACGAAAAAGGUGGCGCGGUUUUGCAAAAACCCAAAAUAAGUGGAUUUUUUAUGCAAAAAGGCCAAUAAUAAUAUGUAUUAUUAUAUCUAACUAUAUCUAUCUAUAUCUAUAUUUAUACUACUUAUUUAUACUACUUACAAAAAUUAUGAGUUUUGAACUUUUUCGCUUUCCAAAAAUAUCUCUAUUUUUUUUACUAAUAUUUUCAUAUUCAAUAAUUUUGAACUAUUCAUUUCAAAUAAAUCUUCAAAUAAUAAUUUAUUCUCAAAUAUAAAUAUUAAGUUUUCGCCGUUGGAUUUCAUCCAACAAAUAAAAAUACAUUGGAAUAAAAAUAAAAGUAUCUGUCAUACAUUUUCGCUGUUGGAUUUCAUCCAACGAAUAAAAAUAAAAAUAAAAAUAUUUGUCACUUUUAUUGAGAAAAAUACCCUCCAUAUCUAUGCGUUUCUCAAAUAUUUUCUUUCUACCCACCAAUUAUGUAAUACGUAAAACUAAAUUUAUCUCCUAUCUAACGUAAUACCCGCCAAUUACGUAAUAUCUCCGCUAAUCACAACGUAAUACCCGCCAAUCACGUAAUAUCUCCGCUAAUCACGUAAUACCUAAAAUUAAAUUUAUUUUUUAUUCACGCUUUUUCUCAAAUAUUUUUUUUCUCAAACAUAAUACAUGUCAAUCACGUAGUAUUCAAAAUUAAAUUUUUAAAUUUGUAAUGCCUGCCAAAAUUUAAUACCCGCCAAUUUGAUAAUUUGAAUUUUAAUUCAUGAUAGUUGAUUUUUUCUUACAAAAGAUAGUAGAUUUAAUUUUGACGAGUAUUAAAAUUUAACCCCGAAAUCAAAACUAAAUCGUUAAUUAAAUAUAAUUUUAAAUAUUUUUAGUAUUAUUCUUCUUACUUUUAGUGUAAUUUGCAUGGAAAGAAGACUGGUCAUGACAUUUUCAGUUAGUUUAGUGACGGAUUUUGUAUUUUUUGUUCAAUGAUACUAUGAUAGAUUUUGUGUUCUUUCUUUGAUGAUAUUGUGAUUCUACUUUUUAUUUAUGUCAUUUUAUUUUGUAAUGAUUAAAUACUAUAUAUUGAAUCCAUAAUAUUUAUUUAUAAAAAUUUUAUUUUUUUGGUAUUUGUGCGACGUGCAUUGCACGUGCACUUAACUAGAUUUAGUUCGCAAAUUUUCGGGAGCACCAAUCAAAGUUAUAGAAGAAGUUAUAGAAGAAUAAUACCGCAACGAAGUAUAUCGGAUGCAUGUAAGGUGACAAAGAAGAUUGAGCGACAAAUGUCACUGGGGUUUUGACGGGAGAGACCUAACAAAUAGCAAGGCAUAUAUUCUUUUAUUUGUCAUUCUUUUGUAUGUUGAAAAGAAACUUAGUAAAUAGAAAAAUAUAAAACUACAAUAUGGUAGAGGUAAAAACUUCAUUAAAUUGCAGGAUUCUGAAACAACAAUUGCUGAUUUUGUUCAUGGAAGUGUACUGGCAUGUAUGAAAAUUUUCUUGUAGUCACUUGCAGUGUACUUUUUUUUCUUUUUUUUUUUGAGAGAUAGUUAGCACGCUACUUGCUUUGUUUAUUUCAUUUAGAAAUAAACUUAGCUAUAAAUGUGAAUCAACUAGGAUUUGAAUUUGGGUCUCGAAUACCAAUCAUCAAGCUCUUUGCCCCUUGCUCUAGAGAUGGUCGGUCACUUGCAGUAUACUGCACAAACAUUUUGAGGUGAAGUUACAUCUUAUAUCAACAUAACUCUCGAUAGAAGAUUGAUAAGUGACCUUACUACCCCAUGCCGCAAUAUGUGUGUUCAGAUAUCUUUAAAGGUUUCAAGCUCAAACUUCAUAAUAUCACCACAUUUGUCAAAUACGUCGUCUAGUGUUCUUUAGUUUGUGAUGCAAGAAAGAUGGGCACCCUUUUGAUACGUGUAAAUUGUAUUUAAAAUUCACUGCAGAAGAAAUCAGCCUUUUUUGUUGUCUACAAUAUGCAUGCAUGACGUUUUUUUGGCAACAAAAAUAAAAGUUAGUUUGUCAAUAAACUUUUCUUCACUUGUUUUUCUGAAGAAAUCAAUCCUCUAGUUCACUCCACUACUUAAAUUUGAGCUAUGAAAAUAAAUAUAUUAAAAACAAAAGUAUUAACCAAAUAAGGCUUAAAUGUGAGGCCUAAAUAUAAUUUGAUCGGGUAAUCUACAAAAGACACUGCUUGUCAGUGUACAUCUCGCAACUUUUUUCAGAAUUUUUCAAGAUACAACAGCAAGGAAAAACUAGAAAUCUUGUUUUCAGCAUGAAUAUAACUAUCUAAAAUUUAAAAUAAUUGAAAGAUCACACAAUUCUAAAGUUAAAUACGUAAGGCUCUUUACGUAGGUAAAUAUCUUUAUAAGCAAUGUGCUAUCAUAAGGGUGCAAUUAUAAUAACAAAGAAAAACUUUAUUCGUCAGUGAAAGCGGACGACAAUGCAGGAGAUGCUAGCUUUACUCAUUCUAGUGAGAGCCUCCGCUGCCAAGCACUCCGCCGCCUUUUGAGCAUCCUCAAUAUGGCCUAUCAAGUCUACAGCUUCCUGGUACCUCAUAACCUAUAACAAAUAUGAGUAAUUUUCUCAAAUCCUUUUUUUAUGUCAAGGCUUAAAAGAUUAAAAUUUUACCUCCCAUACACCAUCACUAGCUAGUAUAAUGAAGUUGGUAUCGGAUUCUACAUUCUGUGCAGUGAUAGCAAGCCUCGACUUCUUUCGGGGCUUGUGUUCUUCACUAUUUGUCACGCACUUCAAUUGCAGCAAACCUGUUCGACAUAACACAUCAAAUUAUUAUUUGAACAAAUGAAAGAUUCAACUGUUGCUUUAAUGUACCAAUUAAUGAAUUGAUAAAAAGUAGCAAAAAGAACAUGACCGCAUGAUUUUCCUUCUUGAGCAAAAACUAUGGCAUAAAUAAUUUCACAAGACAAUUAAAUAAAUAAUGGUUCCAAGAUGAUAGUUCCAUAAAAUAGUCAGAGAUAAUAUGUUGCUUUCGAAUAGUUGAGUAAGCACCUGACAUAAAAGACCUUCCUUUCUUCGUUUUAUUUUUUUCGACCAAUCUACGUCGCCGCACCGUCCUUACAGACCACAACUUUGUAUCCGCCACCAAAAUCUGCUGCUAUAAAUUUCUUACCAUUCAUAACAAGCAAAGUUGUGGACCCUGCAACUUCAUUUGCACCAUCUCCUUUGUGCACAUUUGCCCUGGAAUUGAUAUAGGCCUUUAUCAUGAUUUCUUUGGCUUUUUUCCUUAUUUGGAUCUACAUUCGAAAAAUCGCAAAUCAUAGCGAGCAAUAAUUUUUUUCGCUUCUAAGAGAAAACAUAUUACAAUAUGGUACAGUAAAAUAUCACCAAGCAUGAUCAAGCAACCACUUAUAUGGUUGUAACAAAAUUUGUAACUAGCGAAUAUUUUGAAUAAGUCAAAUUGUAUACCUCAUUAAGAUUCUUUUGAAAGAGAUGAGAUUGCAGAUACUUUGUGAUGCCACCACCUGGUCCACCUAUUUGCUGAUCAAAGGCUCCAAACAACUAUAACUCUAAGCCUUCUAUUUAUUUCCUUUGCGCGAGCAUGGAGCCUUCAGAGUUACCAUCCCUCUCGACUGAAUAAAACCCAUGAGAGAUUCCUAUCCAUUUAUUGUUCUUCAAUAGUUCCUUGUCCUUUAUACCCCUUGUAGCAAACCUUCUGUAAGGAAGUGAAUUCUCGAAACUCGAGGAUUAGACUUCGAUUAGAAUCGACUAGUGGUUGAGUGUGCAAUCUUCGGAAAGUCCGAAGGUGAUCUUAAUGCGCAAAGUGCAUUAAGGAGAGGUCCGCGAGAGCACCAGUGCAAAACUUGCACUGGAGCAGAAAUGCUCUCGGGGACCGGUCCCUGGCAAGGAGGGACCGGUCCCAUCAGGCUGGGUUGUGGAGGUCUCUGAUGAGACCGGUCCCUGGUGGGCAGGGACCGGUUCCCGAACGUUGGCCCAGCGAAAAUAGCCGAAAUUUGCCUAAGUCCCGAAAAUUCAGCUUUUGGGAACCGGUCUCUCGGACAAGGACCGGUCUCCCGGGGACCGGUCUCUCAGGCAAGGACCGGUUCCCGAACGCGAAAUCCCCUCUGCUCGAAAUGGCAGCCUUCGGGGACCGGUCUCCCCGAGCUGGGACCGGUCCCUCGCUGCGAAAAUGCCCAGAGAGGGCUGAUUCAAAGGAUGAAAAGUUGAGGGGGCUAUUUGCAAAAUGUCCUAUAUGAGGGCUUGGGGACCCCUCUCUCUCCCUCAGUUGCUCUCUAACUCUCUCUCACUCUUUCCCUCUCUCUCUCUAGAAGGAGAAGAAGAAGAAGAAGGAGAAGAAGAGAAGAAAGAAGAAGAAAGAGAAGAAGAAGGCUAAGAAGAAGAGGAGAGUCAUCUUUUCUCCCUCUCCCUCAAGCUUGGAGCUUAGGUUAGAGGUAAGCUUCUAACCCUCUAAUGGUAAUUCUAGGAUUUUGGGUUUUUAUGGGUAAGAAUUGGUUCAAAUGGAACCUAGAAAAGAUAAGUAGAUGGUUCGGGCUCGCAAUUGAAGCUCGCACCAUGGAUUUCCCUCUCGUCGCCAUUCUAGGGCACGGAUUUGGGAUUUUAGCAAAUCUAGGGUUUUGAUCUAUUUUAAUGGGUCAUAAACCUAAUUGCUAGGUCUUGGAACGCGUCGGCGAAGACGGUUUGCCGAUCCGACGAGCGAGUGCGGAGUUAUUGCCGAAUUGGGUACUCGAGGGCUCGCUUCGCCCGAGGAGUUGAAGCGACGUGCAAAGAUCGCAACGUCGAGUUUUCUAUUGUCGCGACAUCGCCAAGAGGUGGGUGGUGUCCAUCCCGAAGCAAUCGGGCUCCCUUCUUUGUCUUAGUACAUGUCGAUUCUUGCAUCUUGCAUUAUUGCAUUAUAGGAUGAUUAUGCAUUGCCUUUCCUUAUGCCUUCUUUGAUGAUAUCGUAGCAUGUAUUGGAUAUUUGACAUAGUGGAUUGAUAAGGAUUGGGUCGAGACUUGUGAAUCCUAUAGUGCAGAGAAAGUGAUGGGCUCAAUGGUUGGUCUAAUGUUAAACAAAGAACGAGUGGCACCUAGUCGAUAGUAAACAAUGGACGAGUGGCAUUUAGUUGAUAGUAAGCAAAGAACAAAUGACACAUAUGAGUCGUAGCGUAUGUGAAGCCUAUGGACUAUAUGAUGAUUGUAACCCUAGAGGAUAGGGUAUUCUUGAGACGAGGAUUGGAUCAUGCUCACGGUCUGUUUCUAAAUCUUGUGAUGGAAGCCCCACACAAGUAGUGCUCUCCGGAUGUUGGUCACGUGGGAUCGCUUAUUUUGGGUCCCAAGGGUUUGCCUAUUUAGGCCCCGGCAGACGGUCUCGGUUCGUAGUGCGAGUUGACCCUCCCUACCUUCGAGAUGGCUAGUGAGCAGUAGGCUCCUUCAGGGAAGCCAUGAGAUUAAGAAACAAGUGAAUAAGAUCGAUGAACAGGUACAUAGCUUUACCUUUGACAUGACGACAGGUUAGUUGCUUACCAAUUCAUUAGACAUGCAUUCAUAUAUCUAUGAUUGGGCAUAGUAGUGUAGCUUUACUUUCCUGUCCUUACAGUUUUUCCUAAUAUAAAUGUAUCUACUUGUGCCCGCUUGGACCUAGUGGGGAGAUCGGCGGAGUCGGCGGCCGAACCCACUGGGAACUAAGGAAGUUAGUUCUCACCCCAUUUUUUACAGGUUCCAGUUCGGGUGUCCCCGGUGAGCGUGAGGAUCGCGGUAAGGGCCCGGCGUUUUAGUCGCAUUAGCUACCUCCCUUUUUGCAUUAGCCGUCACCCUUUUGUACUUGAGAGUAGAUGAUGUAUAGGGUGAGGUUGAGUGCUUGUACUUAUGUUUUUGGAUGAAUGUAAAAGAUGUACUUAAAUGUAUUGAGCCAAUGAGUGUAAUAGAUUACAUCUUCUCUCUUAUGUACUUGUAUAUUUUCUAUACUCGUAUCUUGCUCUUGGUUGUUGCACUAGUGGUGCUUCUUGAUCGUGUAUUUAUGAAUUGAUUCCUGGGUAAAUUCUUAUACAUGAUCCGUUGGUUAGCCUUGGACGGACAGGGAAGGUCCUGUCCGUUCGGCGUCUGUUCGACGCGUCCGGGGCCGAACCAAAUUGGUAGCGGUCACGGGGCAUGACACCUUCUCACCUUAAAAAUUUCCAACCCAAAAAAAAGGGAACAAAUUCAGUUAGUAUAUCUAUAUACUUUUUUGAACAAUACUAUGCAUGGUUGAUUUCCUCAUAAGUGAUGGUUUCCUCCAAAUAAUUGACAACAACAUUAAAAUAUCGAUUAGUCUAGUGAUUUCAAAAAGCAUACAUAUAGAUCUCUAAUUUUUUUUAAAAAAAAGAGAAGUAGAUUUGCGUCUAUUUAUAUUCAUAUUUUGAUUGUUCUACCCUCAACUCACAUUAGAGUAAAAAUAAAACAAGUUAUUUGAUAAAUAAAUAAUAAAUCACAGAAGAGAAAAGAGAUAAAAGAAGUAACUCAAAUUACCUUAAUUCUUUUUAGAAGAACACCUAAAGCCAUUUUUGUGAUCCUCGAUUAAUCCAGAAUUUUAUUAUUAUACAUAAUAGCAGAGAGUGAAUGUGAGAUCCCUGGUGUUCAGCAGUGAAGGCUUGUCGACAGCUCUGGAGAGUGUCGGAACAAGUCUGAGUCGCGUUGGCGCGAAAUAGACGCAAAACAGACUCUGUACGACGCGAGAGCAGCAUUUAGCAAGAAAAUCUGCAAAUAAUUAUUUUUCUGCUUGCUGUACCGGUACAGAUGCGGCUGCGUAUCGGUAUACUUUGCCUGGAUACGCGCAGCUGCUCUCGGGUUGGCAUCUGUAUCGGUACACUUGCACGUGUACCGGUACAUUUGAGUUGGUGGUGGGCUUUUUGGUAAAUUUGCUUGCCUCGUUGUAUCAACUCUUCAUCCCCUUGCUAUAUACGUGUAGGAGCAGAGAGAGAGAGAGCUAUUUACUACUCUUCUCCUCCUCUCUCUCUCUCUCUCUCUCUAGCAUUGAUCGAAUAGGAGGAGCUUGGGUGGAGUAGAUUCGCCGUCGACGUCGCGCCGCAGAACCGUUCGAGCCUACAUUUGUCGCCGUAGCAUAGCGAGGAGGCCGGGCGAGAGUGUGUUACUGCCGUCAUCGACAUCGCACAGAUACUAGGGUCGCUGUCGAGGUAGGUGUGCCGUCAAAUUGCUUCUUUAUUUCCAAGCUUCUUCAAAUUCGGGCUAGGUGCUGUCCCUGCAGAUUUCCAGCAUCGAUCGUUGGCGUUUCGGCUCGUACUCAACGUAGGAGCGUCGGAUUUUGACGAGAUUUGGUUCGUUGGAUUCAGGACUUCGAGAGGAAUCCACGAAGCCCUUAUUUGCUGGAUUUGGUGAAGGUUUGCUGGGGCGGAAUUAUAAUCUUCUCUGCUGCUGUUUUUGAGGCAGAAUUGAUGCUUAUUGUCGGAUUCUACGUGUAAAGUUUGGCGGGAGCUUGACUUCUGGCCUUUGGAGGUUUUCGGUUGAUCCAGCAGGGUAUUCCCUUGUGUCGGGACUUCCUCGCUGCCAGGGAUUAGCGACUAAGGUGGGUUAAUCAUCGGCUUAUACUCCUAAGUGCCUAGUAGUCAACAUGUGUAAAUUUCAGAUUUUGUGUAGUUUACUUUAGCUCGAAUUCAUGGAUUAUUAUGUGAAUUGCAAAUUUGAAUUUGGAGCAUGUGAUAAUAAAUUAAGUAAUUUAUACAUGUUGGACCUGGAAAUUAAAUUAGGAGAAAACCGGCGAGUUGGACCUGUCAUCAGUUACACUACCUAAUUUAGCCCUAGGGGCCGUUGUAUUAUUUUAUAUUGUAGCAGUAUCCUCAUAAUAAGUAUUCCAGGUAGUUUAACUUUUAGUUACGCUCGUGCUGGGAUGCCGAGUACAUUUUUAUAGUAGCGUUCAGGCUGUUCUGGACUGUUGGGUGCCGUCGAGGUUGACGGUGGACCCGUAUCGCCUUUUUGGCGACGGAUUGUGCCGAGGGCACGUAACCUGUUGGUGGUUAGACCAGUUAGAGUCGGUCACUUAGAUUUUGGCUUCAGGUAGAGCCUGAUUGAGCUCGACAGAGAUACGCUGUAUACUCGGUUGGGUAGCUCCCAUGAGUGCCACUCCGGAGACGGGCGUUGUGCUUUCGCGUUGGUGUCGUUCAUGCCGGUUGGACUUGCUCUCCACGGACUAGAUAGUGUGGAGGUAGCUGGAUAGUCGCAACUGGGCAGGGACGGGUGUGUUCACAGUCCCAGGGACGGCUAUGCUUACAGUCCCGCUUAGAUUGGGUCAGAUUUGACAUUUCCUACAGUUGGUUAGUGUAGAGCAUGAUAGUGUAGUGAUUCAUAGUGGUAGAUUUUAUUCCUGCAUUUACUACUAUCCCUACUCCCUUCUGUAGACUUAGUGGGUGGACCGAUGUUGUUGAGGGCGGCACCCACUGAGGACUACUUGUUUUACAGUAGUUCUCACGCCCUGUUGUUACCCUAUUUUUGCAGAGCCAUUGUCUUCGGCUGCUGCUGUUGCUGACCAGGAUCGAGGCAAGGGCGUCGCGAGUUAGAGCCCUACCCGACGAGCCGAGCUAGAGGUGCCCCUGCAGCAGGUAGUGNNNNNNNNNNNNNNNNNNNNNNNNNNNNNNNNNNNNNNNNNNNNNNNNNNNNNNNNNNNNNNNNNNNNNNNNNNNNNNNNNNNNNNNNNNNNNNNNNNNNNNNNNNNNNNNNNNNNNNNNNNNNNNNNNNNNNNNNNNNNNNNNNNNNNNNNNNNNNNNNNNNNNNNNNNNNNNNNNNNNNNNNNNNNNNNNNNNNNNNNNNNNNNNNNNNNNNNNNNNNNNNNNNNNNNNNNNNNNNNNNNNNNNNNNNNNNNNNNNNNNNNNNNNNNNNNNNNNNNNNNNNNNNNNNNNNNNNNNNNNNNNNNNNNNNNNNNNNNNNNNNNNNNNNNNNNNNNNNNNNNNNNNNNNNNNNNNNNNNNNNNNNNNNNNNNNNNNNNNNNNNNNNNNNNNNNNNNNNNNNNNNNNNNNNNNNNNNNNNNNNNNNNNNNNNNNNNNNNNNNNNNNNNNNNNNNNNNNNNNNNNNNNNNNNNNNNNNNNNNNNNNNNNNNNNNNNNNNNNNNNNNNNNNNNNNNNNNNNNNNNNNNNNNNNNNNNNNNNNNNNNNNNNNNNNNNNNNNNNNNNNNNNNNNNNNNNNNNNNNNNNNNNNNNNNNNNNNNNNNNNNNNNNNNNNNNNNNNNNNNNNNNNNNNNNNNNNNNNNNNNNNNNNNNNNNNNNNNNNNNNNNNNNNNNNNNNNNNNNNNNNNNNNNNNNNNNNNNNNNNNNNNNNNNNNNNNNNNNNNNNNNNNNNNNNNNNNNNNNNNNNNNNNNNNNNNNNNNNNNNNNNNNNNNNNNNNNNNNNNNNNNNNNNNNNNNNNNNNNNNNNNNNNNNNNNNNNNNNNNNNNNNNNNNNNNNNNNNNNNNNNNNNNNNNNNNNNNNNNNNNNNNNNNNNNNNNNNNNNNNNNNNNNNNNNNNNNNNNNNNNNNNNNNNNNNNNNNNNNNNNNNNNNNNNNNNNNNNNNNNNNNNNNNNNNNNNNNNNNNNNNNNNNNNNNNNNNNNNNNNNNNNNNNNNNNNNNNNNNNNNNNNNNNNNNNNNNNNNNNNNNNNNNNNNNNNNNNNNNNNNNNNNNNNNNNNNNNNNNNNNNNNNNNNNNNNNNNNNNNNNNNNNNNNNNNNNNNNNNNNNNNNNNNNNNNNNNNNNNNNNNNNNNNNNNNNNNNNNNNNNNNNNNNNNNNNNNNNNNNNNNNNNNNNNNNNNNNNNNNNNNNNNNNNNNNNNNNNNNNNNNNNNNNNNNNNNNNNNNNNNNNNNNNNNNNNNNNNNNNNNNNNNNNNNNNNNNNNNNNNNNNNNNNNNNNNNNNNNNNNNNNNNNNNNNNNNNNNNNNNNNNNNNNNNNNNNNNNNNNNNNNNNNNNNNNNNNNNNNNNNNNNNNNNNNNNNNNNNNNNNNNNNNNNNNNNNNNNNNNNNNNNNNNNNNNNNNNNNNNNNNNNNNNNNNNNNNNNNNNNNNNNNNNNNNNNNNNNNNNNNNNNNNNNNNNNNNNNNNNNNNNNNNNNNNNNNNNNNNNNNNNNNNNNNNNNNNNNNNNNNNNNNNNNNNNNNNNNNNNNNNNNNNNNNNNNNNNNNNNNNNNNNNNNNNNNNNNNNNNNNNNNNNNNNNNNNNNNNNNNNNNNNNNNNNNNNNNNNNNNNNNNNNNNNNNNNNNNNNNNNNNNNNNNNNNNNNNNNNNNNNNNNNNNNNNNNNNNNNNNNNNNNNNNNNNNNNNNNNNNNNNNNNNNNNNNNNNNNNNNNNNNNNNNNNNNNNNNNNNNNNNNNNNNNNNNNNNNNNNNNNNNNNNNNNNNNNNNNNNNNNNNNNNNNNNNNNNNNNNNNNNNNNNNNNNNNNNNNNNNNNNNNNNNNNNNNNNNNNNNNNNNNNNNNNNNNNNNNNNNNNNNNNNNNNNNNNNNNNNNNNNNNNNNNNNNNNNNNNNNNNNNNNNNNNNNNNNNNNNNNNNNNNNNNNNNNNNNNNNNNNNNNNNNNNNNNNNNNNNNNNNNNNNNNNNNNNNNNNNNNNNNNNNNNNNNNNNNNNNNNNNNNNNNNNNNNNNNNNNNNNNNNNNNNNNNNNNNNNNNNNNNNNNNNNNNNNNNNNNNNNNNNNNNNNNNNNNNNNNNNNNNNNNNNNNNNNNNNNNNNNNNNNNNNNNNNNNNNNNNNNNNNNNNNNNNNNNNNNNNNNNNNNNNNNNNNNNNNNNNNNNNNNNNNNNNNNNNNNNNNNNNNNNNNNNNNNNNNNNNNNNNNNNNNNNNNNNNNNNNNNNNNNNNNNNNNNNNNNNNNNNNNNNNNNNNNNNNNNNNNNNNNNNNNNNNNNNNNNNNNNNNNNNNNNNNNNNNNNNNNNNNNNNNNNNNNNNNNNNNNNNNNNNNNNNNNNNNNNNNNNNNNNNNNNNNNNNNNNNNNNNNNNNNNNNNNNNNNNNNNNNNNNNNNNNNNNNNNNNNNNNNNNNNNNNNNNNNNNNNNNNNNNNNNNNNNNNNNNNNNNNNNNNNNNNNNNNNNNNNNNNNNNNNNNNNNNNNNNNNNNNNNNNNNNNNNNNNNNNNNNNNNNNNNNNNNNNNNNNNNNNNNNNNNNNNNNNNNNNNNNNNNNNNNNNNNNNNNNNNNNNNNNNNNNNNNNNNNNNNNNNNNNNNNNNNNNNNNNNNNNNNNNNNNNNNNNNNNNNNNNNNNNNNNNNNNNNNNNNNNNNNNNNNNNNNNNNNNNNNNNNNNNNNNNNNNNNNNNNNNNNNNNNNNNNNNNNNNNNNNNNNNNNNNNNNNNNNNNNNNNNNNNNNNNNNNNNNNNNNNNNNNNNNNNNNNNNNNNNNNNNNNNNNNNNNNNNNNNNNNNNNNNNNNNNNNNNNNNNNNNNNNNNNNNNNNNNNNNNNNNNNNNNNNNNNNNNNNNNNNNNNNNNNNNNNNNNNNNNNNNNNNNNNNNNNNNNNNNNNNNNNNNNNNNNNNNNNNNNNNNNNNNNNNNNNNNNNNNNNNNNNNNNNNNNNNNNNNNNNNNNNNNNNNNNNNNNNNNNNNNNNNNNNNNNNNNNNNNNNNNNNNNNNNNNNNNNNNNNNNNNNNNNNNNNNNNNNNNNNNNNNNNNNNNNNNNNNNNNNNNNNNNNNNNNNNNNNNNNNNNNNNNNNNNNNNNNNNNNNNNNNNNNNNNNNNNNNNNNNNNNNNNNNNNNNNNNNNNNNNNNNNNNNNNNNNNNNNNNNNNNNNNNNNNNNNNNNNNNNNNNNNNNNNNNNNNNNNNNNNNNNNNNNNNNNNNNNNNNNNNNNNNNNNNNNNNNNNNNNNNNNNNNNNNNNNNNNNNNNNNNNNNNNNNNNNNNNNNNNNNNNNNNNNNNNNNNNNNNNNNNNNNNNNNNNNNNNNNNNNNNNNNNNNNNNNNNNNNNNNNNNNNNNNNNNNNNNNNNNNNNNNNNNNNNNNNNNNNNNNNNNNNNNNNNNNNNNNNNNNNNNNNNNNNNNNNNNNNNNNNNNUGAGGAUCGCGGUAAGGGCCCGGCGUUUUAGUCGCAUUAGCUACCUCCCUUUUUGCAUUAGCCGUCACCCUUUUGUACUUGAGAGUAGAUGAUGUAUAGGGUGAGGUUGAGUGCUUGUACUUAUGUUUUUGGAUGAAUGUAAAAGAUGUACUUAAAUGUAUUGAGCCAAUGAGUGUAAUAGAUUACAUCUUCUCUCUUAUGUACUUGUAUAUUUUCUAUACUCGUAUCUUGCUCUUGGUUGUUGCACUAGUGGUGCUUCUUGAUCGUGUAUUUAUGAAUUGAUUCCUGGGUAAAUUCUUAUACAUGAUCCGUUGGUUAGCCUUGGACGGACAGGGAAGGUCCUGUCCGUUCGGCGUCUGUUCGACGCGUCCGGGGCCGAACCAAAUUGGUAGCGGUCACGGGGCAUGACACCUUCUCACCUUAAAAAUUUCCAACCCAAAAAAAAGGGAACAAAUUCAGUUAGUAUAUCUAUAUACUUUUUUGAACAAUACUAUGCAUGGUUGAUUUCCUCAUAAGUGAUGGUUUCCUCCAAAUAAUUGACAACAACAUUAAAAUAUCGAUUAGUCUAGUGAUUUCAAAAAGCAUACAUAUAGAUCUCUAAUUUUUUUUAAAAAAAAGAGAAGUAGAUUUGCGUCUAUUUAUAUUCAUAUUUUGAUUGUUCUACCCUCAACUCACAUUAGAGUAAAAAUAAAACAAGUUAUUUGAUAAAUAAAUAAUAAAUCACAGAAGAGAAAAGAGAUAAAAGAAGUAACUCAAAUUACCUUAAUUCUUUUUAGAAGAACACCUAAAGCCAUUUUUGUGAUCCUCGAUUAAUCCAGAAUUUUAUUAUUAUACAUAAUAGCAGAGAGUGAAUGUGAGAUCCCUGGUGUUCAGCAGUGAAGGCUUGUCGACAGCUCUGGAGAGUGUCGGAACAAGUCUGAGUCGCGUUGGCGCGAAAUAGACGCAAAACAGACUCUGUACGACGCGAGAGCAGCAUUUAGCAAGAAAAUCUGCAAAUAAUUAUUUUUCUGCUUGCUGUACCGGUACAGAUGCGGCUGCGUAUCGGUAUACUUUGCCUGGAUACGCGCAGCUGCUCUCGGGUUGGCAUCUGUAUCGGUACACUUGCACGUGUACCGGUACAUUUGAGUUGGUGGUGGGCUUUUUGGUAAAUUUGCUUGCCUCGUUGUAUCAACUCUUCAUCCCCUUGCUAUAUACGUGUAGGAGCAGAGAGAGAGAGAGCUAUUUACUACUCUUCUCCUCCUCUCUCUCUCUCUCUCUCUCUAGCAUUGAUCGAAUAGGAGGAGCUUGGGUGGAGUAGAUUCGCCGUCGACGUCGCGCCGCAGAACCGUUCGAGCCUACAUUUGUCGCCGUAGCAUAGCGAGGAGGCCGGGCGAGAGUGUGUUACUGCCGUCAUCGACAUCGCACAGAUACUAGGGUCGCUGUCGAGGUAGGUGUGCCGUCAAAUUGCUUCUUUAUUUCCAAGCUUCUUCAAAUUCGGGCUAGGUGCUGUCCCUGCAGAUUUCCAGCAUCGAUCGUUGGCGUUUCGGCUCGUACUCAACGUAGGAGCGUCGGAUUUCAGCAAGACUUGGUUCGUUGGAUUCANCAGAUACUAGGGUCGCUGUCGAGGUAGGUGUGCCGUCAAAUUGCUUCUUUAUUUCCAAGCUUCUUCAAAUUCGGGCUAGGUGCUGUCCCUGCAGAUUUCCAGCAUCGAUCGUUGGCGUUUCGGCUCGUACUCAACGUAGGAGCGUCGGAUUUUGACGAGAUUUGGUUCGUUGGAUUCAGGACUUCGAGAGGAAUCCACGAAGCCCUUAUUUGCUGGAUUUGGUGAAGGUUUGCUGGGGCGGAAUUAUAAUCUUCUCUGCUGCUGUUUUUGAGGCAGAAUUGAUGCUUAUUGUCGGAUUCUACGUGUAAAGUUUGGCGGGAGCUUGACUUCUGGCCUUUGGAGGUUUUCGGUUGAUCCAGCAGGGUAUUCCCUUGUGUCGGGACUUCCUCGCUGCCAGGGAUUAGCGACUAAGGUGGGUUAAUCAUCGGCUUAUACUCCUAAGUGCCUAGUAGUCAACAUGUGUAAAUUUCAGAUUUUGUGUAGUUUACUUUAGCUCGAAUUCAUGGAUUAUUAUGUGAAUUGCAAAUUUGAAUUUGGAGCAUGUGAUAAUAAAUUAAGUAAUUUAUACAUGUUGGACCUGGAAAUUAAAUUAGGAGAAAACCGGCGAGUUGGACCUGUCAUCAGUUACACUACCUAAUUUAGCCCUAGGGGCCGUUGUAUUAUUUUAUAUUGUAGCAGUAUCCUCAUAAUAAGUAUUCCAGGUAGUUUAACUUUUAGUUACGCUCGUGCUGGGAUGCCGAGUACAUUUUUAUAGUAGCGUUCAGGCUGUUCUGGACUGUUGGGUGCCGUCGAGGUUGACGGUGGACCCGUAUCGCCUUUUUGGCGACGGAUUGUGCCGAGGGCACGUAACCUGUUGGUGGUUAGACCAGUUAGAGUCGGUCACUUAGAUUUUGGCUUCAGGUAGAGCCUGAUUGAGCUCGACAGAGAUACGCUGUAUACUCGGUUGGGUAGCUCCCAUGAGUGCCACUCCGGAGACGGGCGUUGUGCUUUCGCGUUGGUGUCGUUCAUGCCGGUUGGACUUGCUCUCCACGGACUAGAUAGUGUGGAGGUAGCUGGAUAGUCGCAACUGGGCAGGGACGGGUGUGUUCACAGUCCCAGGGACGGCUAUGCUUACAGUCCCGCUUAGAUUGGGUCAGAUUUGACAUUUCCUACAGUUGGUUAGUGUAGAGCAUGAUAGUGUAGUGAUUCAUAGUGGUAGAUUUUAUUCCUGCAUUUACUACUAUCCCUACUCCCUUCUGUAGACUUAGUGGGUGGACCGAUGUUGUUGAGGGCGGCACCCACUGAGGACUACUUGUUUUACAGUAGUUCUCACGCCCUGUUGUUACCCUAUUUUUGCAGAGCCAUUGUCUUCGGCUGCUGCUGUUGCUGACCAGGAUCGAGGCAAGGGCGUCGCGAGUUAGAGCCCUACCCGACGAGCCGAGCUAGAGGUGCCCCUGCAGCAGGUAGUGAUUUUUGUGGGAGUUUAUGUACAUAUUGCUGUUUAAAUCGCCAAUGCGAGUAAUUUUUGUAUCUUGGAUUUUGAUGUAUGUAUAUGGAACUCGAUUUGUUUUAUUUCUGAUUUUUCCAGCAGCUCUAUACUACUGUUUGUAGUAUUGUAUGAUUUACAAGUGCAGCUAUCGCUUCGUAUACAGGAAAAAUUUCUUUGUAUACGACGGAUUUAUCGGCGUGCCCGGGGAACGUGUAAUCCGGGGCGUGACAGUGGAGAGGAAGAAUGGGGAAAAAAAUGAUAAAACUACUGUAACAAAGGCGAUGUGAGGUGUGGAAAAAAAAAGAAAAAGUUAAAAGUUUAUGCGAUAUUAUCCGGUAGAUUUUGAUCCAACGGUUGAAAUUCUAAAUGUAAAUAUAUAGACCUCUUUAUCUAUACUACUUAUCUAUAUUAUUAUCUAUAUCUAUACUACUUAUAAAAGCGUGAGUUUUAAAUUUUUUUUCUCUUUCCAAAAAUACCUCUAUCUUUUCUACUAAUAUUUUAUGUUCAAUAAUUUGCAACCAUUCGUUUCAAAUAAUUUUCCAAAUAAUAAUUUAUUCUCAAAUAUAGAUCUUAAAUUUUUACCAUUGGAUCUCAUCCAACGAUUAAAAAUAAAAGUAUCUGUAACUUUUCUUGACAAAAAUACCAUCAAUAUCCGUUAUCUUCUAUCUACGCGUUUUACAAAUAUCUACGUAUUUUCUCAAACGUAAUUCCCGUCAUAACUUAAAAUAUCCGUUAUAUCAUAUCUACGGGGUUCCUUAAAUAUUUUGUUUCUCACACACGCUCAAACGCGUCAUAAAUUAAAAUAUCCGUUAUCUCCUAUUUGCGUGUUUAUCAAAUAUUUUAUUUUUCACACGUAAUACUUGCCCCAAUUACGUAAAAUAUUACUAAAAAGAUUUAAUACCCACCUAAGCAAAACUAAAUUGUUAAUUAAAUAUAAUUUUAUAUUUUUAAAUUUUUUUAGUAAAAUAUUCAAAAGUAAUACCCGUCAAAAUAUUUUAUCGUUUCUCAAAUAUAGAGCAUUAUCUUAAUGCACUCGCAAAUAAUAUCUACAUAUCUUUGCAUAUAAUAUCUACACUAUCUAAUCUUUAUCUCAUCAUAAUAUUUAUUCACACACAGAAUAUAUAUUUUUGGAGACAUAUUUUUUUAGUAAUAUCUUUUUUAUUUUCACCUAUAUUUUUCUCAAAUAUUUUUUUAAGUAAUAUCCUUUCUCAUAUGUCCCCAUCGCUAGCACCAGUAUAUCGUCGCAUAUUGUUAUCGUCAACACCAGCACAUGUCACUUUCACCACCUUCGUUAUAGUUAGAGAGAUAUUUUGAUCUCACCUGAAAAUUUUUUAUUUUUUUAAUGUGUAUUUAUACUAUUUUAGCAUUUAUUUUGAUAUUUUUUUUAUUUUUACGUAUACGUUUAUCAAAUAUAAAGUAUAUAUAGUGUAUAAAACAUGCAAAAACUUUUCAAAAUAUGAGCAAUAGGAUUCAAAAUUCUUCUAAAAUUGUAUUAAUAUUUUUACGAUCUUUUUCAAAUCAAUUUGUAUAUAUAUAUAUAUAUAUUUUUGAGAGUGUAAAAAAUAUUAAAUCAUUGUCCAAAUUAAGUCCAAUUAAUUUGAACAAUAAUAAUUGGGGAAUAGUAGUAUAGUUAGUCUAUAUUUCAAUUUCAUUAAUAACUUUAAAUGAAUAUAUAUUUUAGAAAAAAAUUAUUUGAUAUUUUCAAAUAAGUCUCACGUGUAUUGCACGUGCAUAUGACUAGUUACUUAUAAAAGAUGGAGUUUUAAAAUUUUCACAUAUUAGCAAUAUCAUUAAUUCAACUUCAAUGGAAUAAAUCACUCUCGUAUAAUUUUUAUUUUAUUUUUGAAUUAUCAUAAAAUAUAUUAAUUUUUAGUCAUUGAAUCUAAUCCAAUGACUGACAAAUUAAGUAUUUGUCACUUUUUUUACCUAAAUUGCCCUCAGUUAGUAUGUAUCAAAUCCAAUAUUUUAUACGUGUACCUUAUCUCCUAAUAACCGUCACCGACAUAAUAUUCAUAUUUCAUCUUAUCAGAAUUUAUAUCUAUAUCUAUCUAUAUCUAUACUAAUAAAAGCGUGAGUUUUGAAUUUUUUUUCUUUCCAAAAAUAUCUUUAUUUUCUUUACUAAUAUUAAAUGUCCAGUAAUUUUCAACCAAUCAUUUCAAAUAAUUCACUAAGUAAUAAUUUAUUCUCAAAUUCUCAAAUAAAGAUAUUAAUUUUUUGCCAUUAAAUCUCAUCUACCAAUUGAAAAUAAAAAUAUUUAUCACUUUUUGUGACAAUAAUACCCUCACAUUUAUAUCAUAUUUUCUAUCUAUGUAUUUCUUAAAUAUUUUUCUUCUCACGCGUAAUAUGCGUACCUGUCAAUUUUUUCUCAACAUAAUAUCUGUGAAUUCUUACCAAUCCUUUUUUAACGUAAUAUUCGUUAAUUUCUUAAAUAUCUCAUUAAUUCAUCUAUCAUACACGUCUACCGCCUACACAAUAUCCAGUUAAUUUUUCAAAUAUCUCAUCACCUAUCAUACACACCUAUCACCUACAAAAUAUCCGGUUAAUGUUUCUCACACGUAAUAUUCACGUGUUUCUCAACUAUCUCAUUAAAAUUUUAAUUUUUUCUCAUCAUUUCUAAAAUAUUCUCUCAACCUAUCAUAAUUUUGAAUUAAAUAUAUAUCUCCAUUACCCUCGCAUUUGAAUUUAAAUCUUAAAGUAUAUUAAAAUUAAAUUUUGAAUUUUGAAUUAAGCAUGAAUUUCUUUCCGAAAAUAUCUCUAUUUUUUUUAACUAAAGUUUCAUGGUCAGAAAUUUUGAACCAUUCAUUUUAAAUAAUUUAUUAAAUUUUGGAUUUCUAAAAAAUAUAUAAUAUCUUCACUACCCACGCAUUUGAAUUUAAAUCUUAGGACUUGUUUAGUUCAAUGGUGGAAUUGGAAUGGAUAAUGGAAUGGAAAUGAAUUGGAAUGGUAAUUGGAAUGGCCCACUUCUCCAAGACAUUUGGUUUAUUUGUAGAUUAAGAAUUGGAAUGAGUUAUUCACAUUUCAUUGUUUGGUUCGUAUAAACUAAAAAAAUUAUAGGAUACUAUAAUACUAAUUUUACUCUCAAAUAUAAAUUUAUAUUAUUUAAAAUUUAUGAAAAAUAUAAUAUUAUUCUCUAAUAAGUUUUUCAAAAAAAAUAUCAAAUUUAUUUUUAAAAACUUUUAUUGAUGUGGGUUAGGAAUAGAAUUUUUUUUUUUGUAUGAGAAAGGGGUGAAGAGAAGGAGGGUGAGAUAGUCACAUGGGCUUCGAGAACUUAGUGGGCUUCCGGAAUGAAAUCUCAAUCUGGGCUAGAAGAUCGAAAUCAAGUUGAAGGCUAAUGGGCCAUUCCCAUUUUAGUCCGGAAUAGAAAUCCCAAACCGAUUCAUACAAACCAAACAAAAUUAACCGAAUUUGAUCAAACCGAUUCUCAUCCAUACCCAAAAUGGAUGAACCAAACAAGCCCUUAAAGUGAAUCAAAAUUAAAUUUUAAAAAUUUUAAAUUUUUUGAAUUUAAAUCUUAAAGUGGAUCGAAAUUAAACUUUAACUUUUAAAUUAAACAUAAUUAAAAUUUUAAUAUUUUUACUUUAAAAUAUUGAUAUUUAAUAUUGAAUUUGUCAGAAACCGAAAAAUAAAGUGAAAUAUUCAAUAUUUCUCCCAUGUAAUACCCGCCAGCUAUCUACGCAUAAUAUAAAAUUUUCAUCAUAAUAUAAAAUUUCCUCCACUACCUAAUUUUAUUUCAUCAUAAUAUUUAUUGAUACAUAAAGUAUAUCUUUUUUUUAAUACUUUCCCAUCUCCAUCUAUAUGUUUGUUAAAUAUAAAGCAUAUCCUUUUUUAUUUUCACUAUACGUUUUCUCAAAUAUAUUAUUUUUAUUUUCCCAAAUAUAUUAUUUUAGUAAUAUUUUAUUCGUUCCUCAUUGUCAUCUCCGGUCGCCUUUGCCAUAGUUGGAAAAAUAUUUUGGCUCUAUCUAAUUCAUUUUAACGUGUCAUAAUAUAAUUUUCUACCUCAUUUGUUAUUCGCAUACUUUGUUUUACUUUUGGCUAAAUUAUAGAAAAUUCCCUGUCAAAACCCGAUUUUUUUACUUUUCCCCCUGUCAUUUAAAAACCUACACUUUGCUCCUUUGUAAAAUAAAAAAUGUGCACUUCACCCCCUACCAUUAGGGUUCCGUUAUAAAAUAUUAUUUCAUGCCAAAAAUACUCCUCCGCCAUCUUCCCUAUUGCUUCGCCUCCCGCCGCCUCGCCACCUCGCCCUCCUCCACUGCCUCGCCCUCGCCCACAUCCCCUUCGCCGUCCUCCGCCACCUCGCCUUCGCCGUCGUUGUCCUUGCCUACCUCUCCAUCAACGCCUACCUCUAUUUCCUCCCUACUGUCGCCGAAAUCAAGGGGCGGCGAGGGUGCAGGAGGAGAAGGGGAGCAGGUGGAGAAGAAAAUGGAGAGAAAUCGUGGCCGAUCGAGGAAUGAAUCACGGCCAAUCGAGGCAGCGGUCGAAGAAGAUGAUGGAGGAGACGAAAAUGGUGAGGGGCAAAAUGGUCAUUUUACACACCGUACCCCUGUGAACAUUUUUUAUUUUUAAGGAGGCAAAGUGUAGGCUUUUCAAUGACAUGGGGAAAGUGAAAAAUCGGAUUUUGACAGGGAAGUUUUAUAUAAUUUAGCCUUUACUUUUUAAGAUUUUUAAAUGCUAAUAAGUUGCAUCUUCAUAACCUCUCAUAUUAAUUGCGCAAGUCAUCGUACUUUCGACACAUUGUUGUCGUCCUCACCGGCGACGACACAUUAUCGUCCUCAACUUCGUCGAUCAUCGUUGCUUGUGCUAGCACAUCAUCAUCGUCACCUUUGUCCGCACUUCAUCGUUAUCCUACUCACUGGAACAAUUAUUUUUCUGACAAUUGGAAAGGUAUUUUUACACGUUGCAUAAAAUAUUAAAAAUAUAAUAUAUACUGUUUAAAUUUUUUGAAAAACUAAACGCAUAACUUUUAAUUUUUUUAAAAAAUUUAAUUUUUUCAAACUUCUAAUAGACGUAGAUUAAGUACCACGAAAACUUAAAAACCAAAUAAUAUUAAAAAUUCUUUUACAAAUAAAAAAAAUCUUUAAAAUGAUAUUAGGGAAAAUUCAAAAUAAUAUAAUAAUUCAAAAUCAUAAUAAAUGGAAUAGCUCAAUGUGCAAUACAUCACGUAUGAUUAAACAUAUAUAGGCAUUACACAAUUUAUUUAUUCAAAAAAAAAAAUAUUUUCUAAAAUUUAAAAAGAUAAAAUAUUAACAACCUUUAAAUUUUAAAUAGGUCAUAAAGAAUUAAUAUGAUUAAAAUAUAGGGAAAACUUCAAAACCCCCAUGUGGUUUCGUACUUUUACAUUUUAGUACCCUGUGGUUUAAAGUAUAUCAAGUUAGUACCCUAUGGUUUCGUACUUUCUCACUUUAGUACCCUGUGGUUUAAAGUGUAUCAAGUUAGUACUCUGUGAUUUUAUUUUUGUAUCAAGUUAGUACCCUGUGGUUUUUAAACCACAUGGUACUAAAGUGAGAAAGUGCAAAACCACAGGGUACUAAAGUGAGAAAGUGCGAAACCAUCGGGUACUAACUUGAUACACUUUAAACCAUAUGGUACUAAAGUGAAAAAAUGCAAAACCACUGGGUACUAAUUUGAUACACUUUAAACCACAGGGUACUAAAGUGAGAAAGAGUAAAACCACAAGGGGGUAUUUGAAGUUUUUCCUAAAAUAUAUUAAGAAGAAGAUUUAAAAAAAAUGCAUAGAUUCAGAAAAAAAUUAUCUAUGAUUUAAAGUGCACAUAUUGGGAAAAUGCUGUAUACUCGGUUUGUAAAAUAAAAUUAAAAAUCGAAACAACAAAAGAAUUUUGUAGAUUUAAAACUAUUUGCAUUUUAAAAUUCGAACAAUACAAUAAUCAUACGAAUUCAAAAAAAAUUACACUCUAUUAUCUAUACUAUUUACAAAAGAGUGAGUUUUUACAUUUUUUUUUGCCAAAAAUGUCAUUCAUUCCACUCCAUUUCAAUUAAUCUAAUCCAUCUUUUUUGAAAUAAGUUACUUCCAGCAGUAGAAUUUAAUUUUUUUCUAUAAAUUAUAAAAUUAUAGUUAAUCAACACUAUUAAAUCUAAUCCGACGGUUAAAAUAUAAAAUAUUUGUCAUUAUUUUUACCAAAAAAAUUUCUCUAUUUUUUAAUUAUUUUAAUUUUUUUGAAAAUUCAUUCGUCUCGCUCGCUAUGCCAUAUCGUACAUGUUUUCAAAAAUAAAUAACCCUCUUGACGUUUUCUCUCUCACGCACGGGCGGCCAGUCGAGAUGGCCUGCCGCCGACGCCACUAGCGGCAGGUCCUUUGUGCUUGCCCUAAGGGGUCCUCGCUGUCUCCCACUCAGUCCCACCCCAACUCUAUCUAUUCCUUUCAGACUCUCGGCCCAUCAGAAAGAGAUGGAGAGACCCCCUCAAGUGUAGGCAAUUUUGAAAUACACCUUUUUUUAAAUCGAUAUCUUAUCUACUUCUAUUAUUUUACAGAUUAAUUAAUUUAGUAUUCUUCGUCUAAAUGAAAAAAAAAGUUUAGGAGAUUAAUUCGUAAAUGAUCUAAAAAUAAGUAGCCGUCAUACAUUUUUAUCUUAAAAAAUGUAUAACAACACAUCUUUCAUAAAAAAUUCCAUCAUAUAAUUUAAGAUAGAAAAACUCUCUUCCACUAUAAAUGAUUUUCAAACAGAUACUUAACUAUUACAUAUCACAUCUUUCAUAAAAAAUUAAACUAUAUGAUUUAAGAUCGAGAAUCCUCUAUAAUUAUAGGAGACUUUGAAAUAAAAUUUUCUUCACUGUACGUGACUUUAAAAUAGAGCUAUGAAUAAUUAUGUAUUUAUUUUUAAUUGAUAUUUUUUCGAUUUUUAUUUUUUAUUAAUUAAUUGAUUCAAUUUUAUUUGAUAUUGAGCAGUUAAUUAAUCUAUUUUAUAAAAUUUAAUUGAUAUUUAAUUGAUAUAGAGCAGUUACUUGAUAUAGAGGAGGACCACGAAGUAGAAGAGUGUGUGGCGAGCGAAGCCAUGGAGGGCUCCGCCGCCGCCGCCGACCACUCCGCUCCCUCCCCGACCACCCCCUCCGCCUCCGCCUCCUCAUCCGGAUCCAAGCGCCCCCACCCCUCCUCCACGGCCGCCGCCGGCGGCGGCGGCGGCGGCGGCUUCCGCGUCCCCGCGCCGCAGCUCCCAACCGCCUCUGCCUCCGAAACCCUUUUCCGAAUCAUCUGCCCCGCCGAUCGCCUCGGCGGCGUCGUCGCCAAGGACGGCUCCGUCCUCGCCGAGCUCGGCGCCGGCGCCGCCGCGAUCAGCGUCGACAACCCCGUCCCGCGCUGCGACGACCGCGUCGUCGUCAUCGUCGGCGAGUCCCACCCGAGGAAGGAUCCCGCAGCGACCGCGGAUCACGAGGCGUCCCCGGCGCAGCGGGCGCUGGUUAGGGUUUACGAGAGGAUCGCGCGGGGCGAGGAGGAAAGGAUGGGCGGUGGCGACGGGGGAGGAGGGGAGGGGAAGGAGAUGAUGAUGCAGCGGCUGGUGGUCUGCCGGCUCCUGGCGCCGGGCGGACAGGUAGGAUGCGUGCUCGGGAAAGGCGGGAAGAUCGUAGAGAAGAUCAGGCUGGAGAGCGGGGCGCAGAUUAGGGUUUUCGGGAAGGAGCACCUGCCUCUGUGCGCUGCUCCCAGUGAUGAACUUAUCCAGGUCAGUUUCUCAAUCUACUCAUUGUCGUCUUCCAUGCUAAUUCAUGCCACUAAUUUGAGGAUGCUAUUAUUUGGAAGAUACUAGGUAUGGUAAAUUUGUAUAUGGGAUUAGUUUUUGUAAUGAACAAACAGGUGAUUGAUUGGUUGCUAGCCUUUGCUGUCAUUAUCUAGCAAUGGUGGAUGCCUUAUUGUAGAGUUUUAGUUGUUAUCGAGAGAAUGUAUCGAAUGUAUCGAAUGCGUAGUUGCCAUGGUUUUGUAGUUUUACAUUGUACCAAACCUCAUGCUAAGGAGGAGAGAGAAAAAAAGUGACAGAGGAUUUUGAGAUUGUGCUACUAGACUUCUUAUUCUGUUCAUUGUUGUCGAACUUCUUAGGUAAUGCAAUGGAACUAUUGUUAUUUUCAUCCAAGCUGUUUAUGAGAUAAGUCAAAUAAUUAAAUCUAUCAGAUGUGCUCUAGGUUAGCCAAAAGAGGCAAAAGAAAUCCAUUUAUCGAAGGAAUAUUAACUUGUAGAAAUGAAAGUUUAGGUUCUUUUAAGCGAAAAGCAUCCAAAUAUUCAGGUAAGGGAAGGAAAGGGAAAACAUGGGUGAAGAAUAACGAAGGAAUGUUUCAGGUCCAGGUUUAGAGAAAUAAUGGAAGUUUUGGCUCUUUUGGUUUGCAAUAGUUUUCAUUUUUCCGGUAUUUAAGUAACUACCUUCUAUUUUUGGCUCUUUUGGUUGCAAAGUUGAUAAACCAUUAGGAAUUAUGAAUAGCUAGAGAGAGGGUUCAAGUUUAGAGAUAAAAGAUAAUUAGAAAGUGGCAGAGGACACUGGUCUUUUUCUGAGAAUGAGCAAGAGCUAGUUUAGGAGGAAAAGGAAUCAGCAGAGGUUGAAGACGGGGCAUAAACCCAUUUGAGUGAAAAAUUAACUUCCAUCUGGAACCCCUCAUAUGUGGCCACCGUAAGGAACAUGCACAGAGGACUUAUGAGUGCUAAUCUUGUUUCGGAAAGUGUAAAACAUAAUAUUUUUCAGCCUUAAUUUUCUCUUGCCACUUCAUGCAUGCCUUUUAACACGUUGCUAUUCCAUCUUGAACUUAGAUGCGGCAUACUACAAAAUUAUUUGAAUAUCUCCUAGGAUUGAAAAUGCUAGUUCAUGCUUAUGAUAUAGAAUAUUUGGAUUACUACAAGAUGGUUAUGUGUCAUGUCUUAAUUCAUGAUUGUAAUUCACUAAAUGGUCCUCGGCAACUGCUUAAGCUCACUAAUUUUAAUUAGAUGAUUCACUUUGAAGUCGGUAUUUAUAUACCAAGGAACUCUAAGAAUCCUCUGAAUUGCAUCAUACUAGUAUUCAUUAAAGUGUUCAUAAUUAAAUAGGCUUAAUUACACACUAUUACACUGUACUUUAGUGUUAUUUUCAUUCGCUACAUUAUACUUUUUUUUUCAAAGCCACCAUUGUAUUAUUGUAUUUUAUCAAUCUUUACGCUAUAUUUAGAUUUUUUUUACUUUUCUACCUUGAACUGUUUUCUUUUCUCAUAGAUAUCACUAAAUUACUUUUUUCUCGCCAAUCUUUACAUUACUGUUAACAAAUCUAUUGUUUUAGACAAAAUUUAACAACUUCAUUGUGAGACACUGGUUAAAUAGUAGAAAAAGAUAUAAAAUAAAUCUCCAUGAUAGACUUAUUAAAAGUUUCUAUCAAGUUAUUUUUGAUUAUUCUUAUAUUUUUUAUAUGCAUUUUGCUAUUUGUCAUGUCAAAAUGAGUUGAAUAUAUGCUCUGCCACUUUUAACUAGUAUUUAUGAACAGCUUCUAUAUAAAAGUAUAGGUUUGUUGAUUAUAGUGUAGGGGGUUGAAAAAGAGGAAUAGGAAUAGUUGAGUGGUGCCUUUGGGGGCGGAAAAAAUAGUAUAGUGUAGGAAGUGAAAAACCUGUAAAGGACAGUGUAAUAUAGUGUAAUUAAGCCAUACCUUAAUAUAUACACUUUAAGAACCUUUGAAAAGUGGUUGUAUUUAAACACAUCAGUAUAUAGUCUUUGAAGUCCAUUUUUGCCAAUAUACCCAUGGGUCUUUCAGGUCCAUUUGCCAAUGAAUAAAAAGUGUGUAUAAUUUGUUGUUUAAUCAAAAGUUAUGCUGUUUAAACUUUUAAACUUUUAGUGAUUAAAGUUAUCAUCUUAUAGGACCUCUGUUGGCAAAAUAGAACUAAUGAAAUUUGAUUGCUAGCUAUGAUUUUCUGAAAGAUUGGUUUUCUUUUUUUAAUUACUGAAAUUGCUCUGUCAUUGGAAUAAUUAAAGCUGCAAUUUUUUUUAAUAACAUCUUUGUUCUGUGGAGAUGGUCGGCCAUACAAUUUUCUAGAAUAAUAAUCGUGAACAGCAUGUCUGUUGGUGAAUGUAUUAUUUAUCAGUCCAUUAAUGUUCUCAUGGAUAAUUUUAUCGUACUACUAGCUAUCCUUUUCUGAGUAUAUUACAUAAUAUAGAUGGCGCUGUUUGUACAGUUGGUCCAUUCCAUUUGCUGUAUUCGAAGUUUUACUAAUUAAAAGCAUGUUUCGUAGAUUUCUGGGAGUUUCUCUUCUGUAAAGAAAGCACUGCUAUCGGUUUCAAGUUGCCUUCAGGAAAACCCUAGAUCAAGCAUAACUAACUUUGCCUUUACAAAAUCUGCGCCAAUGAACCCUUAUGGUCAAAGAAGCUUUCCACCUAGCUCAAAUGUUUCGCAUAGAAAGGUAAUUGAAGAGGAUGUUAUCUUCAGAAUGUUGUGCUCCAGUGAUAAAGUUGGUUGCAUCAUUGGGAAAGCAGGUGCUGUUGUUCGUGCUUUACAAAAUGAAACUGGUGCUCUUAUCAAGGUUCUUGAUUCUGUUCUGGAUUCAGAUGAGAAAAUCAUUACUAUAUCUGCACGUGAGGUGUGUGCUGGAGUGAAAAUUUUUCAAAUUUAAGAGAUAUGGUACAUCUUAUUGUAGCCAUUGAUUUUUUUGGUUAGUUUUAUACAACAUCACCACUUAAUAGUAUGAUGUUCUUGAUUUGUGUAGAACUCUGAAAUGAGACAUUCUCCAGCUCAAGAUGCUGUGAUGCGUGUACAUACUAGACUUGCAGAUGCAGGCAUUGACAAAGGUCCGACUGUUUCUGCAAGGCUUCUUGUUCCUGCACAGCAGAUUGGUUGUCUUAUGGGUAAAGGUGGUACAAUUAUUGCAGAAAUGAGAAAAGAGACUGGUGCUAGUAUUCGAAUAUUUUUUAAAGAACAAAUACCAAAAUGUGCUCAACCAAAUGAUGAAGUUGUCCAGGUACAGAAAUCUUUUGAACUAUCAAUACUUUUCGUUUCUUUUGUCCUCAGAAGCUUGUAUACGGGUGGCAAAGUGUCAUUUGUCUGCGCCUUAUAAUUCUACUUGUACUGUUCUCACAUGUUAUAAUGAAAUAGGGCAUAAACCUACUGAAAAAACUACUAGUACUUUUCCAUCUGUUCUUUACGAAUUAUUUAUGUGAUGUUUUUACUUUAAGUGACUAAGCAUUUUCUCUUUCCUUUUCUGUUUGAAAUUUUUGUGAGGUGAUGUUGCUCAAUUUCUACGGAUCACCAUGCUGUCUAAGCAGUAAGAUUUCAUUAAUAUAUUACAAUAUGUUGCUGAAACUCCUAUAGUGGCAACUUACUAUUUGGGGAUGUGAUUCAUUUUCUCUAUAUUCAACUCUGAGAACCAUACAAUAUAUGACCAAGUAAGGAGAAGCCAGUGUGAUCUGCCUCUCUCAUCCUGAAUAGUCCUGCUUCAGUGUUUUAUUUUCUGUUAGUGGAAACACGAAAAUGAAUACUUGUCAAGGAUGCUUUUCGUCUUUGUUAGCACUUACCAAACUUGAUGUCCAUUAAUUAUGUGGUUUUCUUUUUAAGCUCACUAAUUUUUGUGGUUUUCUUUUUUAAGUGAUCAUCUUAAUUUCCUCCCUGUUAUUUUCACUUUGGUAUACUUUUUUUUUGGGGGGGCAAUUUCCGCUGUUGUCUGCUUCCAUAUAAUUGAAACUUUAGCCUUCUGAAUAUGGUGUAACACACAAAUUGCAAGACCUAAGCUUCAUUAUCAAAAUCAGAACAGUGAAUUCAACAAGAAGUAAACAUUGAAAAGAACCUUGUUAAGACUUAAGAGCAGUAACGUUUUGUACCUUGUUGGUAGGUAACUGGUAAUUUCCAAUCUGUGCACGAUGCAUUGCUUCGCAUCACUGGCAGGAUUCGGGAGAACAUAAUUCCCGUAAGGAUGGAUUCAAUGACAGGCAUUAACCAGUAUUCACCUAGAUCAAGACAAGAGCCAACACCUUCUGGGCGUUAUUCUACACCUGGUCUCUCUCUUGGUUCUGAUCCUUCAAUCGGUAUCUCUAAUUCAGCAGAUCAAAUCCCCUUUUACUAUGGGAGCCAAACUGCAGGAUCUCGUCCUUUUGUCGAUCGUCCUUCACCAAGAUCAUGGGCUCCUGAGGUAAAGACUUGUUUUAUUAGUUUAUCUGUGAUGUAAUCUUCCAAUGCAUCCUAAAACAGCUAAAUGGAAUUUAAAUUGUCAAUGUUGUUCUGGUAUUGAAGCAUGGACCAGCCAUCAGAUUUUACACAACCAUGCAUAAUCUGAUUUAUGCUGUGAUAGAAGAACACCUGCUCCCUAAUUUAUCUCCACUUCUGGAUUGUGAUUUCCAGUAUGGCCAGAUUGGACAAGUGAAAGUUUCCAUACUAAGUAAAGUCUUAGGGCUGAAAUAUUUUCGGCAAUACUCUAUGGAGACCCACUCAACCAUAGCCCAUAGGCCAUUUUGAAAUAGGCCCUUAAGGCUUCACUUAUUUUUAAUUGAUACCUCAACUUUUGUUUGUUUUGAUUUUAAGUUUAUUUCAUCUGAUAAAUGGACGUUGUUACUUUUGAUGGUUAUUUCGUCAAAUUUUACAGCUCUAUUCACUUUUAGCUGUCAAACCCUAGUGCAAGUGGCAAAGAGCUUGGUAGUCGAUACCUGAGGUCCCAAGUUCGAACCCUAUCGCUUCACAUUCCAGCUGAAUUUAUUUCUAAAAAAUGAACGAAGUGGGUAGCAUGCUACCUUUAUCUCAAUAAAAAAAAAUGCGGGUUUUGUUAGUAAGUAUUGAAAUGAAGCUAAUGGAACCAUUAGUUUCUAUGGAAUCCCCAAUAGAUGUUGUGAAAAUGAUUCAAAUCAAAUCAAACAAAAAUUAAUGGGAUGUCAUCAAAAUGCUUGAGUGUUUGCAGCACAUUUGUCCUGACUUUUAGUAAUAAUAAGAUGGGUGUUUGGCAAACAAUUAGUUCCCGAUUAUGGCUGGAACAGGAAACUGAAAAAGUUGUUGGGCCCCGGAAGCAAAAGGUCCAAUUUUAAGCUUCUGCUUCAAGGUACAACAUUAAGCUGUUGCGAAACUUUAAGAAGAAACUGUUAGAGCUGCUUCUAACAGCUCUAAUUGAACAGCACAUUUGUGGAAUCUCUAGUUUGGCAAUGCAUGCCCUAGGAUUUUCAACAAGUUUGGCUUUCAAUUUUUGAGCUCUAACAAUGACCUCUUAAGCUAUUAUAGUGCUGGCUGUUCUGGGACACAGCAAAACUAGAUUUAAUUAGAUAUUAAAUAUAUAGUGUAUUUUCUUUCCUAAGUCAUAUUAUGAAACAGCUCAUGACAUAAUAUUUAGUGUGGCCUUGGUGUUGAAAUCCUAGAAUAUCAUCAGGCAAUUAUCUAGCGAGGAUGAUUAGGGUGUAGAGUUAUUUUGGAAUUGCUAAGUCUGCCAUAAUAAUGUGUUCUGUGGUAUUACAUACAUCAAUUGCCAGCUCUUUUAAUGUAUUUGGGAUUUCUUAUUUAAUAUUUUAGACUAGAAUUUCUUCAUACUUAGGUCCUGUUGUAAUCUAUGCAGUUGUCGUUUCGCCUUGUAUUUCUCAGCCACUCAAUUUGGUCUCUCUUUAUGUUACUAGCACCAUUUUUUAUCAAUUAGCUUAGAUACUUUUAACUCAAGAAGAGUACUCUUGGUACUCUAUUGUAUAAUUUUUUUUUUUCAUGUGAUAUGACCGUGAAAAUCGAUAAAAGUAUGUGGGGACAUGUCUGAAAAUGUCAGAAGGUUGAUAAACAACAUACUCUUUUAUUGACAGAUACCUUGUCCUUAUAUCGAUAUUGUUUGGAAGUCCUUUAACUUAACAUCUGGAGUAAAUGCUUAAGUUUCAUAUGGAUAAUAAAGUGCCUUAUUUUUGAUAGGUUCCUAGCGGCGGAAGCUUGAAAGGCACUCCAGAUAUGGGAGAAGGUUUCAGAGGUGGAACAUUUGGAAGGUAUUGCUUCUAAUUACCUGAAAAUAUUGUUGUGCAUGUUCCUUCCCCUAAUAUGUUAGCAUUUUUCAGUGGAGGAAGCCAGAUAAAUGUGCAAACAAGCACAAAAACGGAAGUUAUUGUUCCUUGCCAGUAUCUGGGAUUCGUCUGUGGGGAGAAUGGUAAUGACCUUGCUGAGAUAAAGAAGGUAAUCUCUCUUUUCUAUCUAAUCUACAAGAAUUCCCAGCAACCAUUUAUUAUAUGUUUCAGACGCAACUAGAUAUAAAAUCUGUAUGCAUAUAGAUAUGUUUGUGUGGGGGGGUAUCUGUAUGUGUGCGUUGAUGUUUUUGUGUAAAUCUGUGUCUCUUUGUACGUGUGAGCUGUAUGCUGUGUGCUUUAUCUGUGCACAAGCAUCUAUGUAUUUGAUUGCACAUUAGACUUGAUAGACACAGGAGACAAGCGGUUGGAAUUGGGACAGCAGGAGGAAGAUACUUGAAAGAAAAAAGUGGGUUUAAGGGAUAAACAUACCAUAUGUAACUCACUAGUUAACCUGGUUUAUACAAAUUUAAUAGAAAAACCAUUCUGCACAACUGAGGAUGAUUGGCACUGCUUCCAUGUAAAUGACAAGAAUAUGUAAAUUACAAGAGCUCAGAGCAUAAACAUAUUCAAGGAACUAAUAUGCAGAAAAUCCUUAUUCCAACUUUGAAAUAAUCUGUUAAAGCUUCAAUGCAGAAAGCAUGGUUUCUCUGACUCGCUUAUUGUUUUUUUAGAUGUCAGGUGCUAUGGUCACAGUUCAUGAUGCAAAACUUGGAGAAACAGUAGGGAAAGUCACCAUAUGUGGAACCCCUGAUCAGACCAAGAUGGCACAAAGUCUUCUCCAUGCUUUUAUCUUGUGUGGGCUUUUCCCUUCUUGAUGCUAUGCUGCAUGUGGUCUUCUCAUUAAGCUAGAAGCUACUUCUCUCAGUAGGUUCUUUCUUCUCCUCUCCCCGGCAACCCCCAUCCCAGCACCCCCCCCAGCCACACACACACAAAAGAACAACACACUUCCUUUUUCAAUUGAAAUAGCUGUAGGAUUUUUCUCAAUGCUAGCCCAAAUUUUAGCACAGCUUCGCCUUUCUUCAUGCGGAAUCACAAGGAGAGGAGCUGUGAUGUAAAUUUUUCUGGCAAACUGCCUUUCUGUUUGCAUGCCGUCUCUAUGUAGACACUCUUAAUUGCUCAAUCUAUAUUAUCUACUGAGAAAGCAUGUUGUUUUCCUGGAAAUGUUUUCUCAAUCAUUUGAAUUCUUAGAUGAUUACUAGUCAAGUCCUUGUGCAAAAUUUGUAGAACCUGAACUUCUAGUUAGCUUGGGAUUUUAAUUUGGUUAACAGCAUUAUUAAAUUGGGUUUUAACAAUGACUAAAGAAAAUGAGACUUGAAGCCAUGCUUAAGUAGUAUGAAUGAACAAGGGGUGGCAAUAGUUGACACCGCACAAAAGCACAACUCAAACCCAACAUGAGAUAAGUGGGUGUGGAUUUACCUUCAACAGGUUGGGGUCACAGUCAUGUUAACUCAAUUAUGAUACAAACCGAUGGUGCCAUGUUACAGGUUGACACGUUAACCGAAAAAUGACGUGAUAAUAACCCGAUUAGUUGGUCUGGUCACAGGUCAUGUUGACAUAUAACACAAGCAUGGCAUGUAUUCCCAGUGUUUGAACUAGUUUUACAUAACUAAUCAGGUAUAUCCAGAAGGUAUCUCUUUUAUUUAGUCGUUGGAAUUGGGGUGCGAUGGUUUAAUGAUCUCUAUUUGUUAAAAAAUAAUAAUAUUUCGUUAUUCAUUUUGUGUUUUUGUUGACAGAUUACUUGUGUCCUAUUCUGUCUUGCCGUUUUUGUCAUAUUAUAUUCAUAUUAGCUGGUAAUCAUGCCAUUUUGUGUUACCUGUGUAAAUUGGUCAUGUUCGUGUUUGGGCCUUUUUACACGAUUAAUCUCGUGUUGUGUCUGUGUUAAGCUAUAUAACUAUUAUACCUAGACCCUGACACAACAUGAACAUGACAUGCCAACAGGAAUUUUUGCUCAUACUAAGUAUGAUAGUGUUAGUCAGCACAAAUGAGGAUUGGCUUUCCAAUCUUCCUCUUGACAGCUUUAUGGUUCUCGAAAAAGUGAGUACAUUUGUAUCACAAUAAAGAAAAGAACACAAAAUGUUUGAAGAGCGUUUUCCAUUAUAAUUAUCUGUUGCGGGAUCUUCGACUAUAUUGUUCUGGUAAUUGCUUCUUAAAAAUAUUGAAAGCAUGAAAAAUAAGUUGUAAUUACUUCUGUUCGUCUUAAGCCUCUGACAUGUACUUACUACAUUUCUUUUUACCUUUUUGAGGGUGAGAGUGGUAUAUUCUCUUAAUAUAAAUGUCUAGACUUUUCUGACUGUUUUACGAAUUGGCCUGUGGUUGAUGCUUAUAUUAAAAGAUGUUAAAUAAUCUUUUGUUCUGGUUGAUGCAUGCUUGUCUUUGAUUCUUACACCUUGGCUGUUGUGAUUUCGUAAUAUAAGCCUUACCUGAACAAUAGUGCAAUUUGAAAUAAUAUCCAGAAAUUUACUUGUGAUUUUGCUCUCUAACGUUACUGUAUUUAUUUUUAUUUUUUUUAAGUGUAGUUACAAUAGUGCAAUUUGAAAUAAAAUCCUGAAAUUUAGCAUGAUUUUGUUAUCUAGCAUUACUGUAUUUUUUUUAUAUAUCUACCUUUGGUUUGACAAGGUUUGAUUCUACUACCCGAUCCUACAUUUUUUUGUAACAUUUUUGACGGAAUGUUCUGUCAGCUAACUAAAAAUUCCAUUAGAUUGCUAGAAUGUUCUGUCAACUAAGGUUUAGUGGGAGAAUCAGAACUUCCAAGGUUUAGUGAUUUGUUCUUGUGUUCUUACAGUGCCUUUGUCUAAACCGGUGAUGUAAAUGCUUUAUUUCUUAGUCAUUGUCAACAGAAUCAUCACUGUUAUGCUGUUAAAGUUAAAGGUAUAUCUGUAAUUACAAAAGUUGGUGCUUUUGAGUAUUGUGGUUUGGUAUGGUUGACUAGUGGAAAGCUCUAUAAGAUUAAUGAGCAGGUUCUCUGGCUUAGUGUAAAGAAACAGAUGUGCUACCUUCAUGUCAAUGCAAUGCUUGAAAAAAAAAUGUUGCGUGUACACUCUUUAUGUAGGUGUAAUUCUUAUUCCUCUCCUUUCUGAGACUUUACAAAAUCUUUUUAGAGUUUUUAUUAUCAGAAAAAGAAAGUCGAUAAGGCUUGCAGGGAAAAAAUAGUCCUUGGUUAAGUGGAGUGUAGAUCUUAUACCUAAGAGUCGAGGUUUCAGGUGGUAUUACUCAUGUUUGAAAUUGCUCAUUGCAUGCUAGGAUACUUGUUUGCAAUAGUGACAUGUAAAGUGAAUAUCUUCGGAAUGUUUUAUUAUCUCUCUCUGGUUAUCAUGAUUGCCACUCUACCAGUUGAGUUAUACUGCUUGUAAAUCACUCUAAUCGAAACAUUCCUUAUCUGCAUGUAAGUAAAUACAGGUAGAAUGUAUGAGUAUAGUACUGCUCAACAUAUGCUGAGGUACCUGCUGAGCUGAUGUUCUGCAAUUUUGGUGGAACAGAAGAUCAUUGCAAGUUCCCAAAAUGUGAAAAUGUAGGAACUUUCUCAAAUUGACUAAUAACUGAUAUCUAUUUAAGUUAUUUUAGCGAAUCUAAUUAUAGGGUUUUGUUAAUUGAGUGAUAAAGCGUCAAAUUUCGAUGUCUUUGAUUAUUCUUUUGAGAGAAACGUAGUACAUUAUCCAUGUCGUUUACUUUUUAAAAAUGAACUUAGUUAGAAAUAUAAAGCAAUUAGGCUUCGAACUUGUGAUCUCUUAUAUCAAUUACUUAACUCUUUUUAUUGUAGGAAAGAAGUAAAUUUUCUGAAUUGAAUAAAUAAGAAAUGUAAAAGUAAGUAACGUUGCAUCUUGUGCAAUAGUAAAAGUUGAUAUUUUUACUAAAAAAUGGACAAUAAGCGUCAAUAAUUUACAGAAACUUUGAUAAUUUAAAUGAGAAAAUAAUGAAGUCAUUAACAUAAGAUAAUAAAAGCUAGAACUAGCUGAGCUCACAGUUUUCUCUCUAUUGAUGGAUUCUCCUUGCAUUUUUAGGUAUAGUUCUCAUUCUAGAUUAAAAAACGAAUACGUGCAUAUUAUUAAUUAAAAUGUAAAAAAGUAAUAGUUGAAAUGCAGCUAUUGAUUAAGUAACGGUUUUCUACAUCCUAUCAUGCUAUGGCGCCUAUCUUUUGACCCUUUGCUUCUUCCACCAUGGUUUUCUACAUCCUAUCAUGCUAUGGCGCCUAUCUUUUGACCCUUUGCUUCUUCCACCAUAUGCUCCAUAGUUGCUGUGCCCCGUCCCGAUGUGCUCUUUCUUCUUGCCAUCAUCAGAUCUUGUGAUAUUCUUGCUGCCGUUGCUAUCAUUGUUUGAUGCCCUCCACCACGGUCUCCCCCGCCGAACUCUUCAUCCAAAACGGACUUGUCGCUCUGUCUACGGGGGACAAGGUAGGCGGAUAAAAGCGUGGUGGUGGAAAUGUGAUUGAGGUAGCGGGGAGAAGCGCGGUGAUAAUGCGAGAUCGGUGGAGGAGGAGAAGGAGGGAGAGGAAGCAGGAGGAAAAAGAGUAGAGGAGGAGAAGAAGGGAGAGGAAGCGGAGGAGAAAGAGACAUCAUAGAGAGAGAAAGGAAAGAGAGUGUGGGUGUUUGGUCUAGCCUUUGGAAAGUGAUUUUGGGUUCAAAAGUAAUUUUCGACUUAAUGUGUAGUUUGGUUUAGGGUCCGAAAAAAUAAUUUGUUCAGAAUUGAUUUUGAAUUGAAAAAUUAAAUUUAUUUAAAAUUUGUAGAGAGAAGGAAAGUGAUUUUUCAGAAAUGAUUUUAUAAAACUAGUUGGCAAAAUUUUUUUGCUAUUUGCAAAUAAUAUUUUUAUUUGCUAAAUUAUAUUUUAAGAUGUGAAUUUAAAAAUUUAAAUUUGACUCUAAAAGUUUAAAAUUUUGAAUAUAAAAUCUAAACCAGAAUUUAAAAUUUGACAUUUGAAUUUAAAACCUAAAUUUUAAAAUUAAAAAUAAAAAAUUAAAAUUUAGCAUUUAAAAUUUAGGAUUUAAAAUUUAAAAUUUAAAAUUUUAAUAUAUAUUUAAAAUUUAAAAUUUCAAACUUAAAACAAAAAUAUUAGAAUUUAAAAUUUUUAUUUUUAAAAUUUGAAAUUAAAAGUUGGAAUUUGAAAUAUAAAUUUAAAAUUUAAAAUUUGAAAAUUUAAUAUAGAAUUUAAAAUUUGCAAUUAAAAAUUUGAAACUAAAAAUUUGUAAUUUAAAAUUAAAAAUUACAAAUUUUAAAAUUUAUAAAUUUUACAAUUNUUAAAUUUCAAAAUUUAAAAUUAAAAUUUAAUAAGUAAACUUAAAACAAAACUAUAAAAUUGAAAAUUGAAAAUUGAAAAUUUAAAUUUUAAAUUUUAAAUUUUAAAUUUUAAAUUUUAAAUUUCAAAUUUCAAAUUUCAAUUUUAUAGUUUUGUUUUAAGUUACUUAUUAAAUUUUAAUUUUAAAUUUGAAAUUUAAAGUUUUAAAUAUAAAAUUUAUAACUUGAAAUUUAAACUGAAAUUUAAGUCUUAAAAUUUAAAGAAAUUUGGAAUCUAAAAUUUGAAAUUAUAAAUUUAAUCAGCGGCAGGAUUAAUCCUAGCCGUCCAAUAUCGAACCGGAAGCAUUUUCCGAAAUUAUUAUUAUUAUUAAUAAUUAUUCAUGCACGUUGUAAAGCGCGACCAGGUACGAUACGGCAAUCCCGUGAACGGCGCCCGUGGUCCUCUGAUGACAAUCCGACGGCUCUGAUUCGAUCAGAGGCACCCGCACCGUAUCACGCUGACGUCACCAUCUAUGUACCCCUUGUCACUCGCUACUCUCUCUCUCUCUCUCUCUCUCAUCCUUUUCGCUCCUCUCGCCCAUCUCCGUGUUCGUUCCCUAAAUUUUAGGGUUUGAUCGAAAUCCUAGGGUUUCUCCGAUCGAAUGGUAUCCCUCUCGAUUUCGACCGUUCGAUCGCCAAAAUUUAAAUUCGGAGCCCUCUUAUUCCAAAUUUAGUCGGGAAUUUGGCGAUUUCGUGAUGGGCGAAAACCCCGCCCAUGGCCCUUCCGACGCGAAGCCCUACCCGCCCCGCCGCGCGCCCGAGCCGCGCGCGGCGGUGCCCCUCCUGCCGCCGCAGAUCGACGACGUGCGCGGCGGCGGGGACGCGCACAUGGUCGCGGGCGGCGCCGCGGCCGAGGCCCACCCGAUGCAGCGGUACGAGCACCACAAUGGCGGGGGAGAUGGGGGCGGGAUGGAGGAGGACGAGGAGGAGGACCACGACGGGGCCAUGGAGGCCGUGGCGAUGGACGCCGACGCGGUGCACGACUCGCAUGUGAUGGUGGCGCCUACCAUGGGCAACAACCAGCUGACCCUCUCCUUCCAGGGCGAGGCCUACGUUUUCGACUCCGUUUCCCCCGAAAAGGUGCAAUUUUUCCUUCUCUUCCACUCUUCUUUUGAUAUUGCUCUAUACUAGUCUAGAAUCAGUAAUCGACUCACUUGUAGCCGAAUUUGGUAGGUGCAAGCAGUGCUUUUGUUGCUUGGAGGGCGGGAGAUUACUCCGGGAAUGGGUUCGGUUCCAUCCUCUUCGAACCCUUAUAACAGGGUAUGAUAAAAUUUAACUAUGUUUUUGAUGGGUUUGUUGGUAAUGUUUUGUAAGGUGUUUGGUUAAAGGUUCGAUUUUGCAGCGUGUUAAUUUUCCACACAGAGUGGCUUCACUGAUGAGAUUCCGUGAGAAGAGGAAAGAAAGGAACUUUGACAAGAAGAUAAGAUACACUGUAAGGAAGGAGGUUGCUCUCAGGUAGCUCCUAAAUACUCGUAUUUUAGUUUUGUCUUCAUUGUGAAAUAACAUCUUAGUUCUUCAGUUGCAUACUUUACUGUAUAUGAAGUGGUGUUAAAAUCGCAACAUAACAAAUGAUAAAGCAUAGGUGCAUAUACCGGAUAUAUAUGAGAAGAUGCAUAUGAAUGGACGUGACAAAUAUGAAAAAAAUGGAGAUACGUAUUAUAGAGAUAUCUCAGAGAACAAGUUAAAUGUAUAAAUUUUUUUGGGUGAAGUAAUGUUCUGUCUCUUUUAAUCAACUAUAACAUAGCACAUAUACUAACACAUUACGAGCAGAAAUUUAUUUUGCUAAAAUACAUAGUUGUUUUCUUUUGUAUAAGCUAUUACAGCUACAGAGUUAUUUCUCAGCAGGCAUACCUUAUGACAACUUGCUUUCCAUAAACACUUCAAUUUCAAAAUUAAAUAAGAUAAGAAGCGCCAUAACCUAUUACUGUUUAUUCGAGACAUUAGAGCACUUUUAACCUGUCGGGACAAUAAGAAGCUUCAUGAUGUAUAACAGGCUAUUCUCAAGAUUUUGCGUGAAGCUGUUUCCAUUUUGAUUCGAUUUCCUGUGAGCUUACUUGAUACCUUUAAAAUGAUACUUUGUACGGUGCAUGAAAUUUAUCAAUUAUAUUUGUUUGAUAAGAUUGAGGCAAGAAAAUUUAUGGCUUAUGCAUAGUUGCAAUGAAGGAGACAAGUUUUAGACUCUAGACAUUUUUGAUAACAAGGAGCAAGCGGACUUUAUGGAAAACAUAUUUAACAAAAUUCAGAGAAGGGAUGGAGGUUCAAUAAGGGUUGAUAAGCAUGACAAAUAGCACGCAAACCGUUCUACUAUUUAUCAUUCGUUUAUGGAGAUGAUGGGGAAACCUAAGAAGGAUGUUAGACACUCAGGGUUGAAUGAGUCGAGUGGAGUAGUUCAGUUGGCAUUUUGAGUGAUAGACAGAACCUUUUAUCCUUUCUGAGCAUCUAAUUGGAUAUGUCAUUGCUAUGCUUUAAGAGAUUGAAUGCUAUGCUAUUAAGAAAUAGCAUGGAAAAAAAAUAGCAUAGAACAAACAGAAAUGCUGAGUAGAAUGUAUUUAAAAUCGGCUGUUACCUAGUUAUGGUCCUGCCAAAGUGAGAUCUUGACCUUGAGAAAGAAUAGUUGAAGAUAGUCCUGACUUUUUCUAAUUUUGUAUGGCUGUAAAGACUUGAACCUAAAACUUUUGGUUGCAUGAAAGACUUUUAUCACUAUACUCGAGUUGAGGUGGAUGCACUAUGAUGUAAAAAGACAAGAUUACAGAUGGUGAUAUUCAAUCUAAGGUUGAGUAGGCUUAAUUAAGGGAAAGGAAGGGCAAUUUUAUAUUCUUGACACAAAAAACAUAGCAAUGCUUAUACAACAUAUAGAAAGAAAGAACCUUUAGUAGAUGAUAUGAGAUAAAGUAAUAGAAUGUCAAAAACCAUGGUAGAAGAAGAGGUCACACUAAGAUAAGAUGAGGUGCAAAAGCUUCAUAUGAUUUUUUUUUUUCUUGUGUUUUUGGGGUUGCUUGGGAGUUUGAAUGAGUGGAAGAAUGGUUUAAAUGAUUUGGCAUGCAACCGCUUAUAUUUAUAAACCAAAAUGUCGCAAGAGGUUGUAUAAUCAAGCUAAAAUGUCGCAAGAGGUUGUAUAAUCAACAGUUUAUGCAAUGUGCUUUAAUCAAGGAUUCUCAUGUCGACCAACGGGCAUGCCUUGCUAGUUGCUUGCAGGCGUAGAGUCAGAGUUGUAUUCAAAUACAUUCCAAUAUGGUCUUAAGUCCCCUAUUUUUCCUUAUUUUCUUCUAUUUAACAAGAUUGGGCUGCUUGCAUACCUCCUAUAUAUAGUUUUUAAAGUGAUCUCGGAGGAGAAAUGGUUUUGAGGUAAAAAGAGAAUUAAGUACUUACAAUUGUGCCCGUGGUACAUGUGUGUAUUGGUGGUUCAUUGCCUGUGUUGUUCCAUAGAUUUUGUUGCUGCCGGAAUUGCUUCACCUCCUUCCCUAUUCCCCUUCAUGUCAUGAUUGUCCAAUCUUUUGUUUACAAUUAACUUCUUUUAUGUUGGUAUUGCAUCAUAUUUCUUGGGUUGGUAUUGUUGCUUAUUGCUUGGGCUUGGUAUUGAAAGUAAGUUUUUGAGGCUUGUUGUGUGACACCCCACCAUGGACCCUAGUAAUAAUAACUGGGCUUGAGCAUUUUGGGCCAGUGGUUAGGGCCCAACAAGUUAUUAUUGCUAGCGGGUCGAGUCGUUACAUGUUGACACAUGUUUGUUAGGAAAGUGUGGCAAUUAUAGAGUAUGUUAUGACUUUGCUUUUGCUGCAAAGCAUGCUUUCCGUGCUUUUAUGAUUGUUUUAGGAACAUCAAAGCUUGAUAAUGAUUUGAGACUUUGGCAAGUCUUAUCAUUGUUGGUUUUAGUUUUCUAGUUCCUUUUUCCAUUUUUUUUUGGCAUUUCUAUUUAUAUGGCUUCUCAUGAUCGUUAAGUGUUUUCGUCGCAUAGUAACUCUACUUAUUUGUUGUUGAAUCCUUUUUCUGUACUUCAUCUUGGAUAUUUCUUGUAGUACCAAAUUUUUAUAGUCUUAGAUUGCUUAAGUGAUUGCACAAAUUUUGAUAGUUCUUGUUGCCAAUCCUUCUUUUUCUAUGUUGAAGUUAACUUCUUCACUAUUAUUAUAGAAUGCAGCGUAAUAGAGGUCAGUUUACAUCAUCUAAAUCCAAGCCUGAAGAUUCAACAUCCAUUGCUAGUUCGGAUAGUUCGAUGCGGUGGGGUUUAGUGGAAGGUCGACCGCCGUCUGCUUCUGAGUAAGUCUGUGAAGUAUUUAUCUUGUUUUUUUGUUUUGGCUAUAUAUCGUUCAACGGUGAAUGUUAAUGCAAUUGAUAUUCUUCAUGAUUUAUUGUGAGACAUAAGAAAACUGCAACCAUCAUUCGAAAUCUCGGUUUUGUUUUUAGUUUCCCUUGUUAAUUAGAAAACAAAAUGUUUCGACGGUUUUUGAUGGUGUCGAAUUGAGCUUUAGUAGUUUUGACUAGAAAUCAUAAAAAAUAGAGUAUUAAAGAAAAAGGGACUAAUAGGAUGAAGUAAGGGGACAAUUGGAAAAGCUCAGAAGGCUAGAGUUUAAUAGUUGAUUGAAGUUAGAAGAUGGGUUGUUGAUUAAUGCUAUAUCAGGGAUUUUUUUUUUUGGGGUCAAAACAUGAUUCUUAUAGAGUAUUUGUUCACAUUGAUGAAGGAAUAAGAAAAGUGCUUAAUCCAAUCCUGGUUAAAUGCAUUCUAAGUAUCAACAAUUCAAGGGAUAAUAUUGCAAACCAUUAUGUAAUCUUUAAACUAUGAUAAAUUAUUAAAACUAAAAUGAUAACUUUAGUGAGGUGCCUGCCCUUUGCAGUCGAACGACUCUUUUGUCAUUCGGUACUUGGAUUUCAUAAAUACUGUCAAGAAAAUCAAUGGUCUUCUAUCUUUUUAAAUAGGAAAAACUUAAAAAGCAACCCAAUAGUAUAGCGCAUUUGAAGUUUAGCAUUCUGUGCUUCAAAGUGUAAUACCUUGCCUCCCUGCAGUUACUGAUUUGUUUUUUAGUAAGGGGCAAUCAUUAUAUCGUCUUUAAAGUGAGCACAUGACAAUUACACAUCUUAUUUGAACAUUGCAAGUGAAAGAAAAAUUUCAGGCAAUCCUUCUAUUUUAUAGCCAAAUUUGAUUUUUACAACCCUAUGGUUCAAAUGCAGCAUUUACUAUUCGUUAUUGAUGGCAUUAUAUUGUCAAGUCCUCCCAAACACAAUCAGAAUGAACCACAUGGGACCAAAGUGCUACAUCUUGAACUAUAAGGUAGUAAAAUAGGAUUGCGCUUUCAAUGAAGUUUUUUUCUCUUAAAUGUUCUCAAAAUGCUGUCGAAUUAAUACAAGCCCAUCAUAUGCCAAUUAUCCAUUUAUUGGGAUGAAUGAAAUAUCUUGAAGAAUGUUAGGAUUUUUCCUUUUCUUUUUCUUUAGUUUGUUCUCUAACAUUGUCUAUGAUGUGGGAAGUCGUAGAGGUGAUGAACCUUCUGGUAAAGCUAGUUGGCUAUUCAAGAUUUUGAAGAUACAGAGGUGUUGCAUUUGAUUUAACUAUGGAAAAUGUAAAACUUGCCAUAAUAGGAGGUUGGCAAUUAGAUGCAAAUACAUAUUCUAAUUCCAUACAACAGAGAGGCCCAUUACAUGGUUGUGUGGAACUAGAUAUGAUAUGUUAUGCACUACUGCCGUGUUUGGAUGCAUGAACAUCCUGUUCGGCAUAUCUCUUUGAUUUACUUGCGAAGUUUGUAGUAUUUCGCAGAUGAGGAGUGGAUAAAAUGUCUAGAAUGGCGCACUGUAUUCGACUUCAAGUCAUUUUCAUGGAAUACGAUAAAUCACCUCCUAAGUGAAAUAUGUUUUCCUACCAAAUUAUGAAUGCCAAAACCUUUCAAAAACAAAUAUCAAGUUCCUAGCUUCUAAUCACAUAAGAAAAUCUUCAUACAAAACAAAUUAUCACUCAUAAGAACUUCAUACUAAACAAAUUAUCAUUGGAUAACUUAUUUCAAUAUCCAAAUAGGGCCUAGGGCUACUAGGAUGUUUUACACUAAGUUCUCAGAAUGCAGUACAAGGGGAUAAGAUUAGUCGGGUCGUUAAUCUGGAUUGUGGUUUGUUGUGGAACAUGAAUACUCAUCAACAUAUAUAAAAAUCAAGACCUACCUUUUGUUAUUCUAGAGUGCUUUUUCUCUUUCAUUUAGUUCGGAUUAGGUAUUCCUUCUCCUAAUCAAAGGGGCUCUCUUCUUUCCUUAGGAUAUUAUUUUUGUGUGGAUUAUUCUAUAUCUUGUAAAACACAUUUUAUUUAGGCGACCCAACAAAUUAGAUUUGGAAAAUCUAAGCCCUCUUUUACUAUUCUCAGUUCAGCACUUUUCCAAUGUACAUCUUGAGCCCACCACAAGUUGAGAUGCAUGAUCGGAAUUGCGUGCUGCAGAGUGGGCGGGGAGAGGGGGAGUCUGCUUUCCUGGGAAAUAAUAUAUUUUUCUAUAUUAGAAACAAGCAUUUUAUUGCGUAUAAAAAUAUUUGGAUUUUAUUUUUUGAGUGUUGGUAUUUUGCUUGCCCUCCCAUAGAUCAAGAUUUCCUAUUUUCCCAUAGAUCAAGAUUUUCUUUGUUUUUAGAAGAACUGAGGGAAAAGAAUGGUGGAGAUAGCAUUGUUUGAUAUUGUUAGUGAAAUACACCGGGAUCCAGGCAUCUGACAGGGGCACACUAUAGCAGAUACUGAUCAAUAUAGACUACAGCAAUUAAAAAGGUCCGUGAGGAACUCAAGACCUAGUCUAAUCCAGGGAGGGCACAUCCCCUUCCUUUCCUCCUGGAUUCUCCCAUGCCUUUUUAUAGGCUUCACUUACUCUCUUAUGGUGGUGAAGAAGCUGGCAAUGGGGCCUUGUAAUCGAGAAUUGGUCCAAGACAGAGCCCAUGACAGUGAUGAAGGUUGUACCCUCUCCCUUGGCGGAUUCGUUGGAGAGAAUAAGAGGGGAGAGAAAGUUACCUUAUUACCCUGAGGAAGAGCAGGUGAGGAGAGAGAUACGGUGUCUUUUGUAUUUUAACUUUUAAACAGAAGUUGUUGCGCUUGGAACUAAUUGAAGCUUGACCAAAACUGUGAAAAGAAGCUCUACAGAAACCACCGAAACUUGGCCAAAAACUGACUGGAACCCAACUGAAACUGUUGAAACCCGACGAAGCCCAGUGAAACGUUCUUCUUGGUAAAUGGAUUGGUUACCGCUAUUUUGGCUAAAACUUGAAACUAUUGCAUUUACUAAAUCCUUUCGGCAGAUAAUUUAAAGACGAAGAAAACUGCUUCCUGUCUGUGCCAGAGUGAUUGUUUGUUAGCAAUUUGUGCUUAUCUGGUGACUGAUUGACGAUCUUCCUUGUGGCUUGAUAAGAAAAUCAUUUAGUUUUAUGCUUCUAAUAUUUUUUGUUUGUUUUCUCAAUUGAAUUUUUAUCAGAGUUGUGCUACUUAUUAGUUUCUUUCUUAUUCACAUGAAUAUUUUUAGCGGCUACAUAUGUAAAGCAAAUACUAAGGCUUUAAUAGCUUGAAAUUGUUUUCUUUUAAAUUUGUAUAGAUGCCAUCAUUGCCAUAUUAGUGCAAAGGCUACUCCAAUGAUGCGUCGAGGACCUGAUGGACCAAGGACCUUGUGCAAUGCUUGUGGAUUAAUGUGGGCAAAUAAGGUAGACUCUUUAUGGUAAUAGUUACUUCAUCACACAAAGCACUAUAUAUUUUCUUCAAGUUAUUAAUUAAUGGAAACCUUCAGAAAGCUAUAUGGCUUUUCUUAAUGAGUGUUAGUCUAUGGUUUUUAUGGCCAAUAGUUGGUACUGUUAAAAAGCAGGGCAAACUAGCGUGCUUUUAAUCUAUAGUUUUGUUUGUUAUGCUUUAAAUACCAGAGAACUCGAGGCUGCAAGUUGGACUCAGUUAAUUCAGUCAUUACAAUUUGAACUAAUUCAUACUAAAUUUGAAUUAUCUGCAACAACAAAAUCAUAUGCUGUUUAAAUUUCCUGAAAGGAAAGAGCAAGAUGGUGGUUUUUAUUGUUAAAUGCACAUUGCUUCUGCUAAUUUGAAUAACAGAUUACUAUUUUCUGUCCAUAUGUUGAAAAUCAACAUUUUCCUACUCCUGAUAAAAAAGUUAAGCACAUUGCUUCUGCUGAUUUGAAUAAUAGAUUACUGUUCUUAGACUCUUUAAUCAGCUAUACCCUCUUUAACGAUCAGCUAAACCCUGUUUAAUGAUGGCAAUAUUAUCCUACAAUUUUAGAAUUGAUUUGCAAAUUGCAACCGUUUAUUCCCAUUUUAGGAGAUUUCAAAGUCAAGGCCUUGAUUAAAAAGGUAGGCGAUGAAAGUGGACAAACGUUGUCAACGGUGUGAUAAUCUCUAUCUAUAUUAGGGCCUGUUUGGCCUAGCUUUUGGAAAAUUGAUUUCUACAGAAGUGAUUUUAGUUUGGAAAAUUGAUUUUGGUGAAAAGCUGUAGAGCGUUUGGCUGAGUUUAGGUAAAAGUGAUUUUUUUGAAAUGAUUUUCUAAAGCUGUUUGGCAAAAAAAUUUGAUGUUUGCAUAUAUUAAUAUUUUUACUAAAUUUUAUUUUAAAAUAAUUUAAAAUUUGAAUUUAAAUUAAAAAUUUAAAUUUGAAUUAAAACUAUAAUUUUUAAAUUUCAAAUUUGUACAAAAAAUAAAUUUGAAAUUUCAAAAUUUUAAAUUUGAGUUUUUGAAUCUAAAUCUAAAUUUUCAAUUUUCCAAUCUAAAUUUAAAUUUUGAAUUUGAAAUUUAAAAUUUAAGAUUUGAAAUUUGAAAUUCAAAAUUUAAAAUUUAAAAUUUAAUUUCAAAAUUCAAAAUUUAAAAUUUAAAAUUUAAAAAUUAAAAUUUAAAAAUUAAAAUUUAAAAUUUAAAAUUUAAAAUUUAAAAUUUGAGAUUUGAAACUUAAAUUUAAAAUUUAAAAUCUAAAUUGUAAAUUUUAAAUUUGAAAAGUUGAGAUUUACAAAUUCAAAUAUGAAUUUAAAAUUUCAAAAUAUAAAUUUAAUGUUAAAUUUAUACUUUGAAUCUAAAAUAAAAAUAAAAAUUUGAAGUUUUGAGUCCAAAAUCAGAAUCAGUUUUGGAGAAGCAGUUUUUUUUUCUGCUUCUGAUUUUGAAGCCUUCAAAAUCAGUUUUCUGAUUCUGAGAAGCAGAAUCAAAUUUUACAUCCGUCGUUCCCAAACACUCUACUGAGCUCAAAAGUAAUUUUGGGCUUAGAAUCACCUCUGAGAAGCUAGGCCAAACACCCCCUUAGAUCAUUAACAUUCCCAAAGAAAGAAUUUCCUAAGUCAGACCCUAAACAACCUUUGACUGUUCUCAUGUAAGGAAGGGAAGUGCUUCUAACAAUUAUUUAGUGAUAGUCAUGUAGGGAGUGUAAGGGAUUUUUAUUAUAUCUUGUCCGAUAAUAGAGCUGUAGAUUUGUAUGAAUGGACACGCAAGUGGAUGGGAUUUUUCUUGAGGUUUGGAAAUGCUUAGAAAGCAAGGAGUUAAGUGAUUUCUUAAAUGAAGAUCCAUAUUCAUCUGCCAAACUAACAAAAUGCCUAAAUGAAGAUCCAUAUUAGUUUUGAUAUUUAAUGAAUAAAAGUUGUACCCAAAUUGUUAGAUAUGCUUAUUGCUCACUAGUUACCAAAUGAAGUUGUGCGAGCAAGUGAUUGAGCAUUCACGAUAUUAGUUUGACAGUAUUCGUGAACCAGUUUCGUCUGCCUUUGGGAGCAUCUAUGAAAGCUGUAGGAUUGGAUGGAUUAUGAGGUAUGGAGAAAGUAAGAUGGAUUUCAAUAUCAUUUUAUUGAACAUAACAACUUUUGGUGGUGUUCUGAAGUAACAUGACUGGUGGAAAAUACCUGAUUCCUGCAUCAUUUCCAAAAUUAGUCAAUCCUGCAGAUAGAAGGUGCAAGGAAAGUACUGAAUUAUUUAUUAGUUCUUUCAGGCGGGGCUUGGAUUUUCGUGUGCUUCAUUAACGUGUUUCACAUUCGGGUGUUAAUUGCAAGUUUAUUAUAUGCUUUUGCUUUCUUCCUGCAAAAAUCUUUAUUUCUCAAGCUACAGAAUUCUUAAGGGCUGUUAGUGUGAACAUACUGGUGACUGAUUAUGCUAAUAUAAGAGAUAGUAUUGCCGCUAGAUUUUAUUGUUUUAUAUAGUUAUAUAAUUUAGUGUAGACUACCGAACCUAGCAAAGUGACAAAUUUCACUAGCAAAGUUGUUUACAAAUGAGUGUUCCUAGGCUUCUGUUAAGCUGUUCAAUCUAUGAAACUUGAAAUAACAAAUGUCGAUUGAGUAGAAAUAAUACUUGUACAUUUUUCUCUUUAUUGGUGGUGGAGUGCAUGUAUUUGGCUUUGCUUUCUACGUUCCUUGCUGGAGCACCUUGCUUUUUUGUUCAAUCCAAACAAUUUUUUUUGCAGUGGCUGAUGAACAUGUGGUCAAUGAGCACUUUCUUUCUAAGACUUUUGGGUUUGCAAUUUACACCUUAAUCAACCAAGCUAAUACUCUUUCUACUUAAUUUGAAGGUCUCCUUACGCUUGACUACAUUACUGUAUGGUUUUUGAUAUUGGGGCAUUUGGUGACAGUAUAUACAUAUUGCGUACCUUUAUAUUUUUUUUGCAUAUAUGUUAUAUCUCCUCUUGUUGGUGUUCUGGCAGGGUACAAUGAGGGAUCUCUCAAAAAGCCCGCCUGUUCCACUCCAGACUUUGCCGCCAGAACCAGUGGAUGGGGUAAGUCUUCUUCUCUCAACUUGCAUACAAUUCACCUGCUCUUGUUAUUUCCAAGUAUCUUCAGUCUACUUUUUUUUUAUUUAUGGGAAAUAAAGCAGUUCCUGAAUGCCCUGAACUUACUUGCUUGACAUCCCUGAAUAUCCAUCUGCUUCUAAGAUCUCUAACGUCUACUGGAAGCUGUGCACACCAGCUAUAACAAUUGUUAACAGCUAAUAAACCUGGGGAUGUUACUAAAAGAUAUUAGGUAAGUCUAGGGAUUAAUCUUUUCAAGCGUAAAGUAGUGGCCGUGUCACAAUUCAUAUAAGUACAGGAACUACCAACACAAUUUAGCCUUUUGAUUUUAUAGAUUCAUCUCUUCUGUUAGGAGUUGAUGUUCAUUUUCUCCCCAUACAGACUGGAACUGCUGCUGCAGCAGCUGUGGGUGAGCAACAAUCAGCUGCCAUCACUGCUAACGGUCAUGAUUCAUCGUCGUGAGCGGAAGUACUGCGUGGCGAUAGAUAUUAGUUAGAGCAAUCGCGGCCUCAAGGAGAACUGAAGAUCUAUUCUAUACAUGCCUACAUGCCUGUACUAUUGUUAGUUGGUAGAGAAUUUGAUACAAGAUAUUUAUAGGUACUUUCUUCUUUCUCCUGGUGAGAUGAUGGGCUAAGGUGAUGCUAAUUAUGCUAUAUUGAUUACAUCCGCGGUGUGUGGUUUUCUUGGUUGUAUCAAUCUUUGUUCACAAGAUUUGGUAGCGUCGAUGUGUGCGCAGGAGUAGCCUAACUACUUGAUCAGACUUGGUAAUAUCGUAAUCUCUAGUUGAGAAACUAUUUUCUUUUUUGGGUUAUUAGUGCACAUGGUGAUUAUGUAAAUAAUAAUUGCUUAAAUGUUUCUUGUAACUCUGCUCUUUGUUUGCAUUUUUGUUUUAACUCUUGGAAGAAUCUGGAAUUGUACCUGUGCUUCUUGGGGGACUUCUUAAUACUACUUGCUUUGAUUUCUUUGGGGCCUGUGCUUUUGCAGAUAUUAGAGGGGAUUUAAAACUUGUUUUCCAAAUUGAUGGUAGUAAUCUUGUCAUUAGCAAGGUAAAAUCCUUUGCCAUCUUCAGAAUUUUAGAUGCACUAGAUAUUGCUGUCAACCAUACUAAUUUAGCAUGUUUAUGAUUUAGAAUUUUUAAGUUGUUACCAUAAGAUGCAGUGAACAUAAUAGAAUGAUGAUGAACAGUAGUACUUGUAGACUUACUGUGGGAGUUGUCUCUGGUUUGAAUCUAGAGAUGUCAGUGGGUCGUAUUCGGGACAGGUUUUCAAAAAUUCGACCUCAAAUUCAAAUUCGAAUUGGGUGAAUUUUAAAAAUCCAUCUCUAAACUUGAAUCCUGUAAAAACUUUGAGAUCUGAAGUCCAAUUCAAAAAUCCGAAUUCGAAUAAUUAUUUCUCUUUACCGUAUUUCAAAAUAUAUUAUAUUAAAUUUAAAUUUUUUAAAAUAUAAAUUUAAAUAUAAUAUCAAAAAAUAAUAUAUAUUAUUAUAUAGUGUAAAAUUUGGGUUUGGAUUGGGUUCGGAUUUGGAUUGGGUAUAAAUAAAAUUCAUAUUCAAGUUUAAAUUCGUCAAUUUUUUUUUAUAUUUGUAUUUAAAGUUAUAUCAAGGGCUUUUUUUGCAUUUAACCCCCUGACAAAUUUUUAUUUUAAAAAUAGCUCUGUCAAAAUUUAAUUUGCAAAAAUGGCCCUGGGCCUUCCACGCAGGCGCCACGCGGGUGGGGCCAGGGGCAAUGUGUUAAGUUAAACACGGUGAACCAUUCACUGUGUUUAGACACGGUAAAUGGUUCACCGUGUUUAGUAUGUAUAUUUUGUAUGUUGAAAAGAGGAAUAGGAAGUAGGGAUGUCAAUAGAUAUGGAUAUCCGAAAGAUAUUAUCCGACGCAAACAUGACAAUUAAAUUAGUAUAUUAAUAUAUAAUAUAUAUAGUAAUAUAUACUAUAUAAAUUAAAAUUUAUUUUCAUAUCUCUAAUUUGAUCCAAUAUAAAUAAAUAUUUAAUAUUUUUAUUUCUUUAGAUCUUCAUUCAGUCGGUUAAAUAUAUUAUUAUAAUUGCUAUAAAUUACAAUAAAAUAAAUUAAUAUACGUACUCAUUAUCUAUAAAAAUUUAUUUGGGUUUGGGUUCGGAUAAUAUUUCGGAUAUCCAUACCUAUUGACAUCCAUAUUUCCUAUUCCUCUUUUCAAUAUAUAAAAUAUACGUAAGAAAUACGGUGAAUCAUUCACCGUAUUUAGACACGGUGAAUGGUUCACCGUGUUUUACUUAACACAUUGACCCUGGCCCCGUCCGCGUGGCGCUGACGUGGCGCCUGCGUGGCAGGCAUAGGGUCAUUUUUACAAAUUAAAUUUUAAGAGGGUUAUUUUUAAAAUAAAAAUUUGCCAGGAGGCUCUAUGCAAAAAAAGCCCUUAUAUCAAUUUAGCAUCGAAUAAAAAUUAAAUCAUUUGAGUUUGAAUUUGAAUAAAAUUUUGAGUAUCCCAAUUCGUUGAUAUCCCAAACUGGAUCUAUUGUUAAUUAGCUCCACUAUAAAAACAAGCAUCGCUCGAGUUCAAAUGUUUUUUUUUUUUUGGAAAAACUUUAAAAAAACCCCUGUGGUUUCACACUUUUUCAUUUUAGUAGUCUAUGGUUUAAACUGUAUCAAGUUAGUACCCUGUGGUUUCUCCUUUUAUCACCUUAGUACCCUAUGGUUUAAAAUGUAUCAAGUUAGUACCCUGUGGUUUUGCACUUUAUCACUUUUGUACCGUGUGGUUUCACACUUUAUCCCUUUAGUAUCCUAUAGUUUAAAAAACCACAAGAUACUAACUUGAUACAAAAUUAAAACCACAGGAUACUAAAGUGAUAAAGUGCAAAACCAUAAGGUACUACUUGAUACACUUUAAACCACAUGGUACUAAAGUUAUAAAGUGAGAAACCACAGAGUAUUAAUUUGAUAUAUUUUAAACCAUAGGAUAUUAAAGUGAAAAAAAUUAAAACCAGAGGGGGUUUUUUAAACUUUUCCCUUUUUUUUUUUUUUUUUUUUUUUUUUCUAUUUUGAAGCUUCAACGGCUAGCGAGUAGCGCAUACGAAGGAGAGAUGGGGGCGAUAACGAUGAGCGAUGAGGCGAUGGAGUCUCUGCUUCGAUCCUUUGAUCAAAUCUCACAAGUUAGUGCUACUUCUCAGAUUUAUUAUUAUUACGAUAGAAUUUUAGGGUUGUGUUUUUUCCCCCCUUUUUUUUUUCUCUUUUUUAUUUUUGUGGGGAUCUACUUGUAGUUUUCACCGUAACAAUGAAGAUAUCAGAGAUUGAGGAGGGUUUUUUUUUUUUUUUUUUUUUUUUUUUUUUUUUUUGUAGAUCUAUUUUAUUGUGAUAGAGUUUUUGGGUUAUUUUAUUUUAUUUUUCUCGCUCGUUUUUACUUUUCGUGGGGAUCUACGUAUAGGUUUGCACCUCUAACAAUCAAAAUAUUAGAGAUUGAGGAGAUGUUAAUUUUUCUCGAUAAUUUUUCUCAGAAAUUAUGAGUUGGAAACUUUGUAGUUCAUGGAGCCAAAAUAUUAGUGAAAAUACAGUGAAGGAAGAUGAAGAUUAAUUUUAGGGGCAAAUGUUGUAUAUUUUAUUUAAUAUUUGGAAUGAAAAAUUUGUUAUUAACUAAUCAAGCCACUUGAGUUGGUAGCAUAUUCUUAUUAAUAGACCGCUAAUAAUUCCCAUCGAGUAUGAUAAUGAUAAUACCUCUUACCCGAUGACAAUCUAGUAUUUCUACUAUCUAGUAAUUUACAAUGAUUUCGCUACUUUAGUAAUACCUUUUACAACAAUUCAACUUGAGGUGUAUAUCAAUGGUUUGAAUAUUUUCAAUAGAAAAUAUGGAGGAUUACCGAAAUCUUAUAAAUCUUGAACCAAACGGCCCCAUAAGGUAUCUAUUCUUCUUUUUAAAGCCUUUGUUUAGUUUUUUUUUUUUGAAAUUUGGUAAAAAUGUAUAAAACUUAUCUGAACUAUAGACCAUUUUGAUUCGACAACCCAACUUUUCAAAAUUUUAAUUAGUACACAAUCUGUCGAUUUGUUUAACUUGAGCGAUUUGAUAGUUUUUUGGAUACAAAAUUUAACCUAAUUGCUUGCUUUAAUAAAUUUAUAUUUACGCAAGUUGUAUAAAAUAUACUAAUUAAAUCCGUAAAGAUAAACGACGCCUUCAUAUUUUAAAGUUAAAAAUUCACUAAUUGGCUCAAAUCAAAUAAAUUCAUAGGUCAAAUAAUAAAAUCAAAAUUUUUAAAGGUUAGGUAGUCAAAUCCAAAUUGGUGAUAGUUGAGGUAAGUUUUAUAUAGUUUCACCUUGAAAUUUUAAUCCGUAAAGGUAAGCAUGUAAAAAUUUUUAUUUGUAAAAAUAGAUCUAAACUAGCCAUGUUUCCAUCAUGUCAGUGGAGUCUAAAAAAGAAUAGUGACCACCUUCUAUGUUGUAAUACAUAAAAAACUUAAUAAGUAUUGCACCAUCGGAUGAGGUGAACCGUUUGCCGUAUUUAGAAUGCAUCUGAUGGUUUGCUGCAUUCUUCAGCUCUCAAAACUAACUGCUUAGAUGGUGCAUAGGUGGCAGGGUAUAAGUCUAUUUUUGUGAGUAAAAUUAGACAAGUCUAUUUUUGUAAAUAUAAAUCCCAACAAGGCUAAUUUGAAAAAAAAAAGUACUUAUUUUUUAUUUGUUACAAUGAUUUCUCUUGUUUUUGUAGUUUGAUGAGAUUUUGUUAAAACCUAGGUUAUCUUGGAUGAAAUUUUUGAGAAAUUACAGUAUUAGAGUCAGAUAGUUGUUAUUAGCCUAGGCGCCACAAACACGGGACACACUACGGCUAGAACACGGUGACUUGGCAGGUUCAAAGAAAUUAGGAUAGGAAUAAGGCAGGGAUACGACUAAUAAAAUAUAAUAUUUUUAAUAUAACGAUGUAUAUUUAUUAUGUAUAAAACAAUAUUAAUUUAGCAAAAAUAUUGCUAUAUUUUUCAUACUAAUGAAAGUUUUUUUUUUUUUUUUUUUUUUUUGAGAGAUAGGUAGGUUUGGCCACUUAUGUAUUUGCACCCUUUCGUGGAAGUUUUGGAGAGCAUUGGGUGUAUUUGCGGGUAGGUUUCUCUGAGAGAAAUGCAUUUUUCAAGAUUUCACUUUUCGUUAUAAUGAAACCUUUACUUCGCCUGCUUUACUUUGUCCUUUUCCUUUUUAUUAUUUGGGGUUUCGUGCUCGACAAACUAGGGUUUUUAUUUAUCAUUACAAAUCACCAUUUGGAUCAUUUAAUAGGUUAAUUCUUCGUCUAACUCCUUUCUUGUCUGCGCAUAUAGCAUGAUACACUUUAUUUCAAGCGUGCAAGUGAGGAGUGUUAACACUACUCUUACGUUGUUUACUGUCAUCCAUUUUUUAAAUAACAUGAAAGAACGAACAUUUGGCCGUAUUUCUUUUUAAUAAACCAAAAGACUGUUGUCUUUGUUGGAAACUUUAUUGAUCGUCCUUCAUGCACUGCCAACAAAAUACGCACGAAAGUAUAAAAAUAUCAAAUGGUAAAAAAAAUAAAUGCAGACUAAAUAGACUCAGAUUUAGUUGGUUCGGCAAUUACUUACGUCCACAAGGAGAGCGAGAGAGACAUAUUCUACUAUAUAAAGAAAUAAAAGUACAACUUACUCUUUAUGUUUUCUCCAAAUCAAAAACUAAGAGCUUUAUGGUGAAACCCACUUUUCUCUUGUUCCAAUAAAAAACUCCAAAGAAAAACUUGGAAAGAGAUUUUCGUAAAUCCUUAAUUAGAAAAGACCAAUUAGAGAAGAAUAGAAUCUCUGGCCAAAAUUCUUUAUGCUGUUGCUGUGAAAGAUCCAAAUUGGCAAACUGCUUAGACAACUGGUCAAGAAUCUCUGCUUCGCUGCCGACUCCGAGCUUGAUGCCGCAUGCAAGCUCUUCAUACACCUUUUCUUUGUCUUGCCGUACACGCCUCAAGAUGGGGCCAAUCCUCACCCUAAUUUGGCCACUCGGCGACGUAUGCUAAUUAAUUAGCCAUGCACACAGCUUAAACCUCAACGCGCACGCAUAUAUAUAGGUUUAGAGUCCUCGAAACCGCACCAAGUCAAACUUGACUUGUAAUAAGACUCAGCUUGGAAACCGAGUCCUGUUGUAACAUGUUACGAGAAUUUCAACCAAUAGGAAUCAACUUUGACUUUUGUAAUAGAUUCCUAUAAACUUGAUGCAUUGUCCCCUUUUGUGAACCAAGAUGUUUUAUGGACUAAUUAAAUAACAAUGAUCAUAAAACCUUUAAUUUAAUCACAAAAGAAGGCACAUCUUAGCAUUCUCCACCUUUACUUUUUUUGUGCGUUUCUACUCUCUCUCUUCUUAUCAACUCCUUUCCCUAAGGCUUCCAGUCACUAUCAAUUCUGACUUUCUGAGAAUGUUACUACAGUAUUUCUAACUAACUUGCCAAUUAGCUUCUACAGAUUUUCUUUUUUUUUCUCGUUUCAUAACGACCAUGACACUUCUUUUCAUGUUAAUAACUCCACCUGAAAUGCUACAAGAACAACCAGUAGAGUCAAAAGUACCUAGCAAUAUAAGAUUCAACUUAAGACUUGAAAUUUGUCUCAUAUCCGUUAACUUCUCACCAUACCAUUAAUCAUCUUUAUUUUUAGUGAUUACCCAUCAUAACACUACCAUCUUCACAAGACUUGUAAGUAUCAAAUAAAGACCUGUCUAGAGACGUGAUAAAGAUAAUUCGAAUCUAAUAUUUAAUCACUGAAAAUUUCUAAAUUUGUUGUAACAGUCAAAAACGUCGUGACCAAAAUUGCUGACUACUCUCGUCAUAUCUAGAGAGGAAUUUUAUUUUUGCAGUAAUGUCUUUUUCUUCUUGCAUUUUUUUCUUUACGUAGUCCUCUUCUUGCAGAAAUAACACUUCAUAUUUUUCAUUGACUUAGAAUGAAAUUUUUUCUUUAUCCACAUCACGUUUUCUAGAUCUUCCCCUUCCUCCACCUGUAUCAUUCACGACCUAACUUGUGCUUUUUUCCUCGAAACUCUAAUGCAACCUGAUAUCUUGCAAUAAAAGGUCAACAUAAUAUCUUUUAUCUUCAGAAUUUGCUUCUCAUACACUAUAGUUGUCACCAGGUGAUUGUAGAACGGCAAAAUUGACGUGAGGAAACUCAGUGCCUUAUCAUCCUCGUCAAUCUUGACAUUAUGCUGAGCAAAUAUGCAAUCUAUAACAUACUAUGAAUUCUCAUGGAAUUCAAGCUCUCCCCGUAUUUUAGGAAAAAAGUGGGACAUGUCUCUUCUCUAAAUAUUAGGAAUAAGUUUUUUAGUGGGGCCCACUUUCCCUCUCUCUCUUUAAUUAAGGGGGUUCAUUUAAUUAAAACUUUUGGGUUCCUUUUCUCCUCCCAGACGCCCCUCCGUCUCCUCCCUCUCAAUCUGCGUUUUAGAAAAAAAGUGGGACCCGCCUCUCCUCUAAAUAUUAGGAAUAAUUUUUUUAGUGGGCCCACUUUCCCUCUCUCUCUUUAAUUGGGAGAGGCCCAUUUAAUUAAAAUUUUUGGGUUCCUUCUCUCCUCCCAUAUGCCCCUCCGUCUCCUCCCUCUCAAUCCUGCGUUUUAGGAAAAAAGUGGGACCCGUCUCUCCUCUAAAUAUUAGGAAUAAUUUUUUUAGUGGGACCCACUUUCUUUCUCUCUUUAAUUAGGAGGGGCACAUUUAAUUAAAAUUUUUGGGUUCCUUCCCUCCUCCUAAACACCUCUCCGUCUCCUCCCUCUCAAAUUUUUUGAGUCCAUUCCAUACGCCCCUUCCACUCCUCUCUCUCAAACUCUCUUUUUUUUUUUUUCCCACCCGCCCCUCCGCCUUCUCUUCUCUGUCUCAUCCUUCUCGAUCCAGAAAUAACGCAUAGCGUGUAACGACCCAGUCCACUAGCAACAAUAACUCGUUGGGCCCAACAACCGGCCCAAAAUGCUUAAGCCCAGUUAUUAUUACUAGUGUCUAAGUCUCUUAUAAACCCAAUGACAACCCCAACUCGUUGGGCCCAACCACCGGCCCAAAAUGCUUAAGCCCAGUUAUUAUUACUAGUGUCUAAGUCUCUUAUAAACCCAAUGAUAAUCCCUUUCCCAUUCAAUGUGGGACUAUUGGGGUGUCACAGACUCCCCCCGUUAAGGCCCUGACGUCCUCGUCAGUCCAAUCACACACAGAGCCCAAGAUCACCAGGCGAUGUGAGACUCGUCUCGCUAGCCCGUCAUCCAGACCCUGGCUCAGUCGAGACUCGCCACACAUGUCCAGCUGGUGAACCGGCUCUGAUACCAAAUGUAACGACCCAGCCCACUAGCAACAAUAACUCGUUGGGCCCAACAACCGGCCCAAAAUACUUAAGCCUAAUUAUUAUUACUAGUGUCUAAGUCUCUUAUAAACCCAAUGACAAUCCCUUUCCCAUCUGAUGUGGGACUAUUGGGGUGUCACAUAGCGUUCAGUGGUGGUGGUAGUAGCGGGUUAGAGAACGAGGUGGCGAUGGAAGUGAGCAGCAGCGGCGUGCAGUUCGACUACCGCAGAUAUCAAAGAAGAGCUUACGGUCUCCGUGGCGGGGAUGUGGUUCCUUCUCAAUGGUAUAGUACCUUCUUCUUCUUCUUUUUUUUGUCUUAGUGUUGCUUGAUUUUAUGCCGUGAGUAAUUUAUUUAGUAUUAAUAUUUUAUUUUUUAAGAGAGUUUUUUCUGAACUAUUUUGGAUUCAAUUCGUACCCUUUUUUACCUUUGUUUUUUGCCUUUUUCUUGUUUUCUGUUAGAUUUAAUUUUGUAGAGUAAAUUAUAUGGAUAAGUCCCUACAUUAUUUGGAAAUUACAACAAAUGUGCCAUUACCAACAAGAUCAACUGCCUUCUGAUAAGGUUUUAGAAACUUCAUCGAAAUCUAAAAAUUCAAUAAUGUAUCCAAAAUUUUGAAAAAAUAAUUAUCAAAACGUAGUUAUAUAUUGAUGUUUCUUCUUUAUAUUUUUAUUUGUUUAUUUAAUUCGCAAAUUUUAAUAUGAUAAUUUCGUCUUUGUUUCUUUAUGUAAUUUACAAAUUUUUGGUAUGAUAAUUUCUAUCCGCCGCAUCACGCGGGUCUCUACACUAGUAAUUUUAUUAAGGGUGUUCAAAUAUUCUGUUAUUGUCAUACCUUUUUUCAUGUAAACCCAUAUAGCUUUUGCUUUAGGUACAACACAUUCAAGAGGCUUUUUGUCAAGUACAGUUUCUUUAUUUUGUUGUACAUGCCGACAGUAGUUUCUUCGUCCAUUACGUUGUACUCACCGCGUCUACCAAGCACAAUAUUAUUGUAUUCAUAGCCCGCAGAUUAAUAUCCUCUCGAUUUUUGUUGCUUAUCGAUGAUGUCUUAUUCAAUAUUCCAUUAACGCUUUUAUGAAGGCCCUAUUGAAUCAGAAUGGCUUUCACUCUUUUUUGCAGGAGACCGAACUUUCCUUUUCCGUUAAAUUUCUCAACCUCGAACUUGAAAGAUGAGACCUUGAACAUCUUUGCUGUAGCGUGAACAUUAGGCUCUAAUACCACUUGUUAGAAAUUUGAUGGAUCGUCCGUCAUGUGGUACCAAUAUAGAUGCACGAAAAUAGAGUAAACUAAAUGGUAAAAGAAAUAAAUAAAGAAAGAAGAGACCGAGAUUUACGUAGUUCGACAAUUGCCAAUGUCCAUGGAAAAAUCGAGCUCUAUGUGAAGAAAAAAAAGUAGACUUACACCUGAUAUCUUCUUUAAACUAAAAACUAAGAGCUUUAUGAUGAAACCCACUCUUCUCUUAUUUCAAUAAAAAAUUCCAAAGAAAUAACUAGAAAGAGCUUUUUGCAAAACCUUAAUUAGCGAAGACCGAUUAGAGAAGAAUAGAAUCUUUGCCCAAAGUCCUUUAUUUUGUUGUUUCGAAAGAUAUGGUUGAGAAUCCCUGCUCCGCUGCCAACUUCAAACUUGGUGCUGCAUGCGAUCUAUCCGUACACUUUUUCUCCGUCCCGUUAUAUAGGCCUCGAGACCGAGCCAAUCCUCACCUUAAUUUUGCCAUUUCGGCGACGUAUGCUAAUUGAAUUAGCCCCGCGCAUAGUUAAGCCUCAAUGCAUGCACAAUAUAUAUAUAUAUAUAUAUAUAUAUAUAUAUAUAAUAUAUAUAUAUAUAUAUAUAUAUAUAUAUAUAUAUAAUAUAUAUAUAUAUAUAUAUAUAUAUAGAUUGAGAUAGAAUACUUCUAAAAGCAUCAAGAGAAGGUGGCUUGUGAGUUUUUAACCCUUGGAUAGAGAAAUGUAGGGUUGGGAUGAUGGUGGUAGGUGGUGGUAGGUGGAAUAGUGUCUGAUACAAGGACUAUUAGUAAUCAAGGAGUAGAUCCAAGGGCUAAAAACUUAAUAGCACCAAAGGGGUGAUACUUGUAAAAAUAUUCUAACUCAAUUUUAUAUAUAUAUAUAUAUAGGUUUAGAGCCGUGGGACCUGCACCAAGUCAAACUUGACCUGUAAUAAAUUGCACCAAGUCAAACUUGACCUGUAAUAAAUGGCUUGGAAACCAAGUCAUGUCCAAUAGGAAUCAACUUUAACUUUUUUUUGUAGAUUCCUAUAAACCCGAUGCGAUGCAUGCUCCCCUUUUGUGAACCAAGACACUUUUUGAACUAAGUAAAUAAUAAUUUUCAUCCAAUCUUUAAUUUAAUCACGAAAGACGGCUCAUCUUAAGAGUCUUAUUAAAACAAAAAGAUGUAUUUCCAUAAAACGUAAAGUUGGAGAUUUCAAACUAGUCAAGGAUUUUGAAUGAAUUUUUUAGUGAGAGUUAACAAGAAUUGAAAAAACUAAUUUUAUGGUGUGGAAAAUUAUUUAACAAUGCCUUCUAGAAUUCUUAAAUCUAUGGAUGUACUGAAGAAUAUCAUGAUAGUAUAAUUAAAGAAAGAAGAGUUUCGAAAAAUAAAAAAGACAAAAAAAGAGAAAGAAAAAGUUAAGGAAUGUUUAUCAUGCAUUACUUAGCGGUUUAUGCAAUAUUGUCUAUGUAGCAUUGUCUAUUGUAAGUUCCAAGAGUGAAGACAACAAAAGCUUGGAGGACUUAAAAAAGGCUAGAGGACAAGUCUUUCAGGAAGAACUUGUACUCUGAGUGGCACCAACGAAGGUAAUAUCAUAAAAUUCAUAUUGCGAAGCCAAACUUUGAGGCACUGCAUGAAGCUGGUGUAUAAAGACUUUGUAGACCCGCCAUGACCUAGUCAGAAGCUAGGAAGAUAUGAGGUAAUGAACUGAUAUUUUGUGCCUUCAGAUUCAACCAGUGAAUUGAGCUCAAAUUUUUAGCUUAUUCAAGGAAGAAUGAUUGUGUGGAAAUGCCUCUGAUUUCUGUGACUGGCUACUUGAUUUGAGUUCUCAUGGAAUGAAGAUCUCAUGGUUACAAUAUAUCAACACAGUCUCCACCCUAAUAUUAUAGCAGGGUUGGUAUUGAGUCACCUGUUUGUUUGGUACCCACCAACUUGAGGAGAACGAGAAUGCACAACAAUCAUGUCAAUCUACAGAACCGUACUGAACUCUUGAAACCCUAUCUAACCAUAAAUUUGUUAGAUUAGACUUGAGCUUAGUGAUCUGCUGUGAGCAUGCGUCUUCCUGCAAAGCCUCAAGCACCAAAGUCACAAAUGGCAGAAAAAUGCAAAAAGAGUACAACAUCUAGCCAUUCUUCUAUGGAGAUCUCCUUCAAUACAUUAACUGCAGUCACUUCACUAUUAUUAAGAGAGUCUGGAUGUUGGAGAUAACAUAUCUUCCUUCCUCUUUGCUUCCACCACAUUUUAUUCAAUCUGAAUCCUGAUCUCUUGCCUCUAGCUUGCAUCAGAUAACUAUUAUUAUCACUCUCUGCAAAUUCACCAAACUUCUCCUAUCAUUAUAAUUUCAUCGCAAACUAAAGGCUUAACAACCUUAAAGAAACCCAGUGAAAUAGAUUCUUACAUCAAGUAAAAAAUAUUUCUUUUAUGUAUAACUGCAUGCUUUUAAUUGUUCAUUUUUAUUGAAAGAGAUUGGUAUGAAUCAUGGCAUGCUUCGUUUGCUCUAGUAAACAAGAAGUAAUGUGCUUAGUUGUUUACAAUGUUUUUGAAAAUUGUGCUCUUGACAACAAAAUAGAGGCAGAGAAUCUGUCUGAAGAGAAACAACAGACAGGAGGGUUGUAGUAGGAAAUUUAAAGAAAUGUAAGAUGAUUUGCAUGAAUUUGAUGAUGCAUAUAUUAGUUCUAGAUGUGUGAAUAAUAUACUUAAAUUUAUUUAUUCUUCACUAGCGUAAUGCUUAAAUGGUUUUUCUCAAAUUCUGUUCUUCUAGUAGCGUAAAGCAAGAAAAAACUGUAUUUACCCCAUACUCCUUGGCUUGUAUUACUUUUGGCUACUUGAUUUUGUUCAGGGAUACAAAGAUGCACUUGCAGAAAUCUAGUCACUAAGAUUGAGCUACAGUUCGGAAAAUAGGAGAUGUGAAGUUCUUGAAACCACAUAUAAUGGUCUUAAAAUAGGUCAGCAAUUGUACAGAUUCGGUUAAAAUGUCUGUAUAUUCUUUACUUCCCUACCUUGUAGAAAAUUCAAGGCUUUUCUGGAACUAGGGUAUAAAUUUUUUGCACUUGUUCCUUUCUUAGCACAAAGCGGAUGGUCCUUGCAGUUUUUACUUUGUACCCAAAAUUUUGUCCAAACACAAUCUUGGAGGGUUCAUGAUAGAACUAAAAAUUGGCAAUUAUCUAUGCUUCAAUAUUCAUAAGACAGGCUUGUCAAUUUUCAGAAAGUCUAUAGAUGAUCUUACUCUGGCAGAUUGUCUCACCCUUCACUUCUUUUGAAACAGUCUGCUUAAAAUAAUUGCUUCUAUCUUCUCUUUUAGGGCUAAGAAGGGGAUUUUUUUUUUUUUUUUUUUUUUUUCUAUUCCAAUGCAGACAAUGAGCGCUUGCGAAAGUUGUAUGCUGAAACCUUGUUAAAAUUUGCUAACCAGGUAAUAUUUCUUUCUUCAAAUUACAAAUGAUUGAAAGAUUAUCAACUUUUCUCCAUUGCAAGACCACUUUUGGUUGUUUAGACGAAAAAAAUUAAAGCUAAUUGUUAUUUUACCCUCUGUUACUAUUAGCUUCCUGGAUUCUUUUAGUGAUCGAAAUCCAUUAUGACGACCAAUUUGCACUUCAGAUCAACAUUUGCAAUGGAACAUCAGUUAAUCUUAUUUACAUUUCUCUUCAGAGACUACAGCUAGAUAAAAGGACAAUUUUGCUAAGUAGCAUAAAGGAUGCUGGUAAAUUUCAUAGACUAAUUGUACGUAUCAUAUCAAAAACUGUUACUAGAAGUGCACUUCGAAGUUUACUUAGAUUAGUGAAUUCAUGAACUACGAUGUUAGUAUGUUAUAGAUUUCAUAAACUAGAUUUAGUACUUACAUAAGUGAGUGAAUGAUUAAGGUAUUCAGUCUAUUUUUAAGCCAGGGAAAGAAUAAUGUGUCAAUUCUAUUGCUUCAUUAUGCCUGCACUCCUAUGAUGCAAUUUUAUGCCUCUAUUUUGAAUCAUGGUUAGAGGGUUUCUUUUUAUUGUUAACUACCAAUCUAGUCUGCUUCCUUUGUACAGAUGAAAUGUCACAUAGAAUCUCAAAGUUUAAAAGGUGAACUUGAAAAGGCAAACUGCAGAUUGCUCAAUUUGGAAGAAGUAACUUUCUUCCUCACUUCCUAUAGUUUAACUUAACCUAAAAAUUCAAGGAUGCCAAGGUGACUGUGUGCUUACAUUAUACAGGAGCAUAAGAGGACUAUAGCAAUUCUUAAGCAAGAGAAUGAAUAGAAGAUCCAUGAUAUAGCAAACCAGCUCAGGUAAUUUUUCUUUUGUUCUAGUGAGCUUGAUCAUUUUUGCUUGUCGAGUAGCUUGUUUUGAGUUUGAUGUUCUUCAAAAUCAGCUGCUCUCUUCUUCAACGAGAAGCAGAUGAAGCUACAAUAAAGCAACUCCAGCUUGAUUUAGCUGCUCGUGAAAGUCAUAUUAGCACCCUAAGUGAGAAGCUAGGCCAGGUUACUGCUGAUGUGGAUACGAAAUGUAAGGGUUUUGCUUCCUAGUUGGGAAAAUGAUAUAUUUUUUCUGAACCUUUUUAUGAUAUUAUCACAGUAAUAGAACAACAUUCUUUUUCUUAGACCAUCAAGAGAUACAGGAUUUGAAGGACUGGAUUGUGGUGGAACAGGAAGAAAAAAAUGAGUUGCACAAUAUUCAAGAGAACUAGGCUUUAAGUGCCUAUCGACAUUGGCCGUGCCUGACGUGCUGCUCCGUGCCAACAAGAUGCCGGCACAAUACGAUCUCCGUAGUAAUGACAUGGCUCAAAGCCCUAUUUUCAACCUCAAUAAAGUGCAAAAGAUUACAUAAAGAUAUAUAUUAAGAAAUUAGAAUAUAUUUAUGUCAAGGAAAAUAAAUAAUUUAUGCCAUUAUGUGUUGGCGCACAUAUUUUUUUUCUGACUGGCAUGCACCGGGACGGCAUGGCAUGCACCGUUCUUAGUGGUAAACCUACAUAUUCAGUGGGAUCAAUUGACUAAAAAAAAUAACACAUCUUCAAAAGUAGGGCCCAUCUUAUAUUUUACCCUACUUUAUUUGACUAAUUGACCUCACUUUGUUUUAACAAGUGAGUAAAGUCCAAUUCUUUGCUCUCAUGUGGCACCAACUAUAUAGUUUGCAAUGUCAUAAACUUAGAUCCAAAUAAAAAAGAAAAAUGCACCAUUAAAUUAUAAAGAAAAUAUUUUACAAUUCUUUUAAAAUAAUAGUCGGUUGAUUGAAAAAAAAAACCCUAAUCUUUCAAAAAAUUGGUUGAGACAAAGAAGUAUAUUGUAUAUCUAUAAAUUUAUUUGCUUAUGAAGUUACCAUUGAUUCUAUUAGUUGCCACAGUCUAUGGAGGAAAAAAAAAAUGCAUUUAACACUAUCACUAUUAAUGCCAUCAUGUAUCGUUUCUCAAAUAUGAAAACACGUUGGGCACAAUCUAUAACUAUACACUGAAGUCCUUCCGAGCAGCUAAGGAUGCCACGAUAGCCAUUAAGAUGUGAGCGAGUCAGAUGAUGCUACAUGUCCAAUAGAAACUUUGGAUGCGCUCAGUGCACCUUAGACCGAUCAUAAAAAAAAAUACAUAAAAGAUAAAUUUUCAUUUGUUUUCGGCCACAACCUAAGUGGAAGAUCGUUAGGGUAGUUCAAUAUAAUUAUGCAAUCCAAUCGGCUUGCAUUAGAUAGGAUGUGUAUUGGAUAUUUAGAUUGAAAGCUAUUUUUGUUUUCACCAUCAUUUGCAAAAUAAAUAGUUAACUAGUAGUUGCUUUCCUGUCAUAGAAGACUUUAUACGAGUACUUCAAGAUCUGAUUCAGUCAUAGCAUCUUCUCUGCUAAUCUGUUCUUCAUGUGGUGGACUGCUUCAUUACUAGGCCAUCAUUCUUGGAGAGUUUUCUCCUCUCUUUAAUUUCCUUUAAAUUGCUUUGAUGUUUUAAUCCUAUCAAAGGCUGUUGCAUUCUUUCUCAACAUGUCAAUAAUUCUUCAUUUGAGUAUAUCAACCCAUUGAUGCAGGCCUUUUGCUGUCUUUUUUGUGUCAUGGCAUUAGAUUAAGAUUUUCUGAAAUUUUGCUCUUGGAUUUUACUAAAUAAGACCGCCAAGAAUAAACACUCCAUUAGUUUGUUAGAAACAAGCUGCCGCUUUAGUUGUGUAUUCUUAUUAUCGGUCACGUGUUUUUUAAUUCUUUCUCAGUUUUUGUUGCGUUAUAUUCAAAUGAUACUCUUUGUAAAGUGCGUGUUUGCUUAAUCACCAUAUUUUUAUGUGAGAAGAUGGUUAUGUAGUAUAGAACCAAACAACUGUUAAUGAAAGUAUGAAAUUUUGAGUAUUUACGGAUUAUGUUUGAAUAGUUGUAGGGCAAUAUGCUUGUGACAGUGUGGAUUCAUAUAAGAGUUCAUGAUUUCGAUCCAGAAAAUUGAUGUUUUAUGUGGCAUCUCAAUCCCUCGUAGAAAGUGCAUACUAUAAAUUUUCAAUUAGUUUAGCGAUGUCUUUGUAACGACCCAGUCCACUAGCAACAAUAACUCGUUGGGCUCAAUCACUGACCCAAAAUGCUUAAGCCCAGUUAUUAUUACUAGUGUCUAAAUCUCCAUUCCUAUCAAAUGUGGGAUUAUUGGGGUGUGACAGACUCCCCCCAUUAAGGCCCUGACGUCCUCGUUAGUCCAAUCACACACACAGCCAAAGAUCACCAGGCGAUGUGAGACUUGUCUCACUAGCUUUGUCAUUAAGACAGACCUUGACAUAACCGGUUACCUUGUCAUACAGACUUCGCAUAGCCUAUCACCUUGCCUUUCAAACACUGGCUCAGCCGAGACUCGCCACACAUUUCCGGCUGGUGAUUGGCUCUGAUACCAAAUAUAACGACUCAGCCCAUUAGCAACAAUAACUCGUUGGGCCCAACCACUGGCCCAAAAUGUUUAAGCCCAGUUAUUAUUACUAGUGUCUAAGUCUCCAUUCCUAUUCGAUGUGGGAUUAUUGGGGUGUGACAGUCUUAGUCAUGCAUUAAGUGGAACUGAUCAUUCCAUAAUAAACAAAACAAAUUACUUGUCUCAGCCUACUUUUUCUCCAGACCUUUGAAAUCACUUCGAUUCCGGUAUGGAAAUGCUUUUACAUUAAUUUUGGCAUUAUAGAUGGGAUAAGAACUUACAUCAAAGUUUUUGUAAUGUGAUCGUUUUUUGGGUACAGUUUGAAUUAUCCUCAGCUUGGUUCCUUGUGAUUGACUUGCCCUAAUUUUACUGCAAAUGUCUCUUUUUUUUUUGCAGUGAAACUCAUGAAAAUUAGGCAGGCAGAGCAACUGAAAGAUUCUGUUUCUAUUCAUCAUGUCGAGACACUGAAGCAGAAGAUCAUGAAACUUCGGAAAGGGAAUGAGUCUUUGAAGAGGCGGCUACUUGCCUCUGAAUUCAGUGGUGUAGGAAACUGAUCCUGGCUCAUCAAAUUCUCUGGCGAAAUAUUUCAUUAGUCCUGAUCUUAAACUGUGCAGAGAUUCUAUAUGUGAAUAUGUAACUUGAAUGUGGAUAUUUUUCAUUGAGAGAGAGAGUGCGAGGUGAUGAAUCAUUUGCAUCUUUAGCUUCUAACUAAGAAAAUAUUGCAACUGAUAGAAAUUUCUGUGUUAUUUGAUACUUCAUGGACAUAAAUAGAAAAUCCUAGAUUUCAAGGUUAAUUGUAAUGAAAUUCUUGUACUUGCAUGGCUUGUAGUUUUUGUUCGUUCAUUUUCCUUGGUGAAACACACAUAGAAAAUAUGCUAUCAUAGUAUAACAUCAAUUGUAACACACAAACUUUAUAUCUAUUUAAUUUGGUUUUACAGUAGUAUUUUAUAUAGUCAUGCUGAUGUUACUGGUUCAACCAGUUGUUGACUUACUGGUGGAACCAGUGAACCCUUAACCCAAUAAUAUUUUUGGAUCACUAUUUAAUCCGAUUUUUAAAAUAUUAUUGCUAGGUUUACGAUCCCAUCUAAAGACUAUCCCUUUUUUUUUUUACGAAAACCCAAAAAGAAUUAUUGAUUAGAUUAGGAGUUGUAAAGAUUACAACUCUGGAUUGUAGUCUUGUAGACUUAGUAUUUCUUUACAAAUAAAAGUUAAAGAUCAAAGUAAAAAUAGGUAAGAGUUAGUGAGCAAUGAGCAAUUAAUAUUUUCUUGACUGACAGCUACUUGGUCGUAGGGUUGGUAAUUCAACUCGCUGUUCACGAGCCAGCUCGUGUUCGGCUCAAAAUGAGCUCAAAAUUGACUUGAUCGUAUAGUAAAUGAGUCGAACGCAAAUUAAAUUUUCCAACUCAUUUAAUAAAGAGUCGAACACGAGCUAGGAUCAACUCACUUUUGUUGGGCUUAGCAACAUCCCGAUAACAUUUAUUUUAUAUUAAUAUAUAUAUAUAUAUAUAAUAUUUAUAUAAUAUUUAAAUAUAUAAUAAUUAUUUUUGUAUAUAAAUAUAUAAUACAGAUUAUUAUUUUUAAAUUUUUUAGCCCAACUUAAAAACAAAGCCGCCUCUCUCUCUCUCUCUCUCUCUCNAUAAAGGUAUUUUGGUCAGGCGGACGAAAAAGCGGACCGAACCUGCAAAAACGAAAAAUGUGGCCCGGUUUUGCAAAAGCCUGAAAUAAGUAGAUUUUUUAUGCAAAUUGGCCAUUAUUAUUCUACGCCCGAUCGAAGACCCCCCGGCAGCAGCGUUCUUCAGUCUUCCACCGUUCGCACUCUUCGCCGGCAGCAUAUCCCCAUGUAACUCCGGCAGUGGUGCUUUCAACAGGUUCGUUUUCGUCUUCCAUUGAUCUUCUUCAUCUUUUUUUUUUUAAUUUUUCUUAUGAUUUUUUGUGCAGAAUCCCAUGAAUUUUCUUUCUUGAACUUCUAAUUAGAGUUUGAUGUGAUUUUUGUAAUGCCCCGAUACGGAUCCGUAGAUAUUUGUUGAUAAGGUAAGAAGGAGAGGUGGAGUAGGAGUAGACAUAGGUGGGAGAGAGAGAGAGAGAGAGAGAGAGAGAGAGUUGGGGAUAGAGAUUAGAAGCGGUGAUUAGAGAUAGAGGGGAAUUGGGAGAAGAAGGAUUUAGAGGAGAAGAGAUUUGGGAAAGAAAGAAGAUGCUAAUUCAUUUCAUUCAUUGAUCAUCUGUUUGCAUGAUAAUAUGGUAUUUAUACAACUUAGUAAAUUGAACGGGAAUGAAAAACAUCUGGUCUACGAGGGCUAAACUGUAAUUUGUCAAAAUGGGGAAUGAGGCGUGACAGGUUGAAUUCUGAUACCUUGUGGGCCUCGAGUGGGCCUUCCCGGUCCAGGAUGCUGGUUAUCGAGCAGGCGGGCGUCGGUUCCGCCCUUCUCCGCACUAUCUGCAACCCGGCGGGUACUGGGCUCGCCAUUUUCCCCCGAUCCGGUAAUCUGACCGCCCGAUCCGCCUACUACUUCUCCUUCGCCCCCAAUCGCCUUCGCAUUCCUCCUAUCUUCCCUCUGUACUGCGACGAUGCCCUAAUCCUCGUCGCCCGCCGGAAUUUCGCCUGAACCAGAACCCGGAGAAGAGCCGCAUCGCAGGCAUCACGAAGCACCUGGAGAAGAACCAGAACCCUAGCUGGCACCAGGUGUUCGCCUUCUCCAAGGACCGCCCGCAUCCAGGCGAACUUCGUGGGCCGCAUCGUCUUCGACCUCACCGCAGUGGUACAAGCUCCAGGACAAGAAGGCCGACAAGCUCUCCUCCGGCGGCGGCGAGUGUCGAUCGGCACCCAAGCCGACGAGGCCUUCCCCGACGCCCUCGACGUCCUUGCCGUCGGUUCACCCCGCCGAGCUCGCUCCCUCCUCACCAACCUGCUGCUGCCACUUAUUUCAUCCCUACCUCGUAAAGUUUCUAUCUUUAGUACUUUACUACUUUAUUCUUCAGGUUGUUACAAUUAAUUAAUUAUUAUUAUUAUUAUUAUUAUUAUUAUUAUUUGUUUUAUACAGAGAUUUAGGUAGAUCGCGUUGGAUCCGUGUGAAAUCCGUAACUUGCGAGCCGGGCUUUUCGAGCUCGAGUCGAACACGAGCCGACUUUGAGCACUAACGAGCCGAUCUCGAGCUUGUUCGGCUCGUUGACAGCGCUACGUGAGUCGCGUCUCGGGCGGCACCGACUUAUUUUCCUGCCCUAAUUUUUAUUUUUAUUUUUUAUUUUUUAUUUUUAUAUUUAUAUAUAUAUAUGAAUUUUUUUUGGUGCGAUAGAGUUGAACGGGUUGACCCUCUAUCCAUCCCUUCUAGGGUUUUCCCUUUCCCUUUCCCUUGCUCCUUCCCCUUCUCCUCUCCUCCAUCAAUGGCGCAUCGCUUGCUCAGGGACGCGCAAGCCGAUGGGUGGGAGCGCUCCGAUUUCCCCAUCAUCUGCGAGUCGUGCCUCGGCGACAACCCCUACGUUCGCAUGGUGAGGGAUCCCCGCUCUUCAUCUUUGAUUCCUUUUUCCGUUUAACUGUAGGAAUUUCCAAAACGCUAAUCUUGGUUUUGGUUUUGCACCGUCGAUUUUGUAGAUUUGGUUUGAAACAGCUAGUUUUACGUAUGAUUGUGUGAUUAGGGGAUGCAGUGGAGGAACACUAGCCGUGGGAAGCCUAAUCUUGAUGUAGUUUACUGUGUGUAGAUCUGAAUGUUGUGUAUUGUGUUAACUACAUCGCUGGUUGUUGUAAUUACAUACUGGUUUUUAGAUUUUGGAUUGGAAACCAGAUAUUGCUAAAAACCAAUUAGAAAUUUCCUUACUUUGUGUUUGCAAAGCCAAAUCGAUAAUAGUGAGUUAAUUAGUGGAUGAGGCGAGCCAUGCACGGUGUAGUGUUAAUGUGUUAUCAGAAAAUGGAGCUAUAUUUUUCUUUUUUAAUUUAUUCGGCCCUUGAAGGUUUAUGUUUUUUCUUUUUUUUUUUCAGCUUAAGAGUUUUUUCUUAGAAGACUAAGAUUAUUCUGAUAAAAAACACUAUUUUGUGCUACUGUGACAUUACUAGGCAAUUUUUCUCAUGUCGAAUCAAUCAUCAAACAUGAAGUUCCCAAAAAGAUGGCCUCACCGUCAGAAAAGAAAAAAGUCAAGAUAUUUAAUUGAGACUCGAGUCUGUGCACUGAUUAAGUUGGCUAUGUAAUGAUGUGGAUCUUCUUUUGCAUAGGAUGUAGAAGAACACUCACACACUUUUGACCAAUUAUGCAUUGUACGGUAUCCCUUAAGAGCCCAUUCAAAUUUUUAGAUCUAGGAGCCUUUAAUCGAAUUAUCUGUGGCUUGCAAACCAAAUAUGGGGGGAAAAGAGUUAUUUGGACAAGAAAAAGCGGAUAUUUUGAUGCUCAUAAAAUAUUAUAUCUUAGGGCACUAUUAUUUGUUUUACCACAGCAACUUGGGCAUGUUUUUUGAAGAACUAGACUGCAAUGAGCCAAUGAACUUCACUGGCAGACCCUGUUAUAUUAUUCAAGAUCAAACUUAUUUACAUAGUGUAUAUCACAGAAACUGUGCUUAUAAUGUCUUACGAGUUCUUUUGGUGUUCAAUUCAAUAGUCAAAAUAAUUUCAUCCCAUAGGAUCCAAAGGAGGGUCAACAUAAAGUUCUUCAGUAAUAAAGCUCUCUUUAAGAAUGUUCGGACAUGCCACGUCUGGCAUAUCUCAAUGCCAUUCAACUUGUGGAUUUUUUUUGUCUCUUCCAUGGGUACUAUUCAGGUCAUAACUUUUCUAUUUUGUAGUUCAUAGGUUGUUAUAGGUUGUUUUCUUGUCAGUCAAGGAUUAAUGACCUCUUCAUAUUUUCUGUGCCUUGAUCACUCAGCUAAGAGCAGAUUAUGACAAGGAAUGCAAAAUCUGCUCCCGACCAUUUACAGUCUUUCGCUGGAGACCUGGGCGUGAUGCAAGGUACAAAAAGACGGAGAUCUGCCAGACAUGCUGUAAGCUGAAGAAUGUGUGCCAGGUCUGCCUCUUGGAUCUCGAAUACGGGUUACCGGUUCAGGUCCGUGAUACUGCUCUUGCUAUCAAUUCCAAUGAUGCUAUCCCGAGGAGUGAUGUGAAUCGUGAAUACUUUGCAGAAGAACAUGAUCGCAAGGUACGAGAUCUGCUCUACUUUUAUUCUCUUAUCUUGUAUCACCUUAAUAUGGAAUGUGCUUUGCUGGAUCUCAGUUUUAUCUUUAGCUAAAAGGAUAUAACUAAUUUGUUUUAAGUAGUUGAUUUAUGAUAUCAUAUGAAUUUUAUCUUACUUGCAAAGAGGUAAAAUAUAUAUAUUUUUUCCCUGUUUCUGCAUGUAUAGCUAGAAUCUUUCUUUUAGUAUAAUGCCUAAUGUUUGCAUAUUAUCUAAUUGAUUAGGUAUGUUUCUGUUAUGAUGCCAUAUCUUAUCCUUCUUUUUUGGAGCUUAAGUACAUAUUUAUUUAUUUCGGAUCUUUUUUUUUUUUCAAUUUAGUUUAGAUUGAUUUAUUUUGCAGGAGUUUAGUCAAGAUUUCACAAACAGUUUAUUAAUGUGUUGCCUUUCUAAUUGUACCUUACUUUCUAUUUCUUCAUCCUCUUCUGAAAAUCGGGAGUGUUCUUCGAGAUUUCUAUUCUGGCAAAAAAGUUUGAGUUCAUUGAGUUUUCUUAAUUGCUAAAGUAAUGUUUUCAUCAAGGUUAAAUGUAUUUGAUAGUUUUAAAAGAGGCUUCGUUCUAUAGACAUGGAAUUUUGUAUGUUAUUACUUGUAUCUGAAGGCAGGCAUGUAAAUAUAUAAUGUUUUAAGCAUCAAUUUAUUAGUGUGCAGUCUUUAAGGUGUUGUGUAGUUAUUGUUGACAAAUCUUUUGUUGCCAAUUAUCUUUGCGCAGGCGAGAGCUGGCAUAGAUUAUGAGUCUUCAUAUGGCAAGGUACGGGCAAAUGAUACUAUCUUAAAACUUCAGAGGACAACACCAUAUUAUAAGAGGAACAGAGCACAUGUUUGUAGUUUCUAUGUCCGCGGCGAGUGUACGCGUGGUGCUGAAUGUCCAUAUCGGCACGAGAUGCCUGAAACUGGGGAAUUAUCUCAGCAGAACAUAAAAGAUCGUUACUAUGGGUAUGUAUCAGAAAUCAGUAUCUCCCUGUGUGACUAUUUUUUCCUUUAUCUACAAAGAGGAUUGUUUGUUUGCUUAUUGUGUUGCUACUUGUCAUUAGAAUCAUUAUCGACUGAAUAUCCAUUUCGACUUGUUGGAAUGAUGCUUGUUAUGAAGUUCCCUUCUAUUUCCAACAUAUGUUGUGUUUUUUGAUCAGCUAGAAAUUAUUGCAGAAUUGUGUCUUGUUUGUUAUAUGUGUGUUGCUUUAUUUUAAUUUGCCAAUUAAUCGGACCUGCUAGAAACAUCACCAAGCUAUUAAGAAUAGUUCGCGUAUUGCUUUGAAGUUUCAUUUAAUCUAAUUCAUAUAUUUUGUAUUCCUAUAAAUAUGCAUAACCCCUUUGGGUUGAUUAGGUUGGUUAGUAAGUGUUGGUCCUGUUGGCAAGGCAGUGCCAACAUGUUGAGAAAGAGCUUGGUUGAGAUCAACUGGGUAAUAAAAGGAUCUUGCCAGUGAAUAGUAAAUUUUGAAUGUUGGGUUAGGGUUUAUUUGGUUGCUCAUAAAAGUAUGGAAAAACUAUUUUCGAGAAAAGAGUCUUCCAUGGAAAACCCUUUUCCAGUUUUCCGACUGUUUGGUUUCAAGGAAAACUUGCUCUUUUGAAAGAGUUUCUUUCUAAAGUUCAUGGAAAACUAGCCUUUUUCCUUUUACUAAAAGAAAAUCUAGAAAACAAAAGGAGUAAUUUUUUAUAAAAUUUGGCAAAAAGCUUUCCACAAAGCUAAUUUUUCCUUGGAAGCAAACAGACUGAAAACUGAAAAAUAGCUUUUCCAUAGAAAGCAUUUUUCCUGGAAAAUUCUUUUCCACAUUUUUUCGAGGAGCCAAACACCCCUUUAAAGGGUUGGACUUUUUAGUGGUUUAGGAAUUAUAUCACUACAAUGCUUUCCUCAGCAGUUGAAAUUUCAUUUGUAACCAAGAGGGUCUUGUUGAAUUUUUGAUUGGCAAGAUCUAUUAGACCAGAUCUCGGUAAGUAAUAUUAUCUUUGUGAGAGAACUUGGGUCUAAGGAAGUAACAUUAUCUCCUUGGGAGAACUUGUAUUCAAUUGUAGUCAAUUUUUAAACUAUCAUGCGGUGAGGUAAAGUAAGGUUUAUACUUUCUAUUUUCUCCAGCACUUACCAUUUUCUUUGUUUUUCAGGAUUGAAAAGAUUUGUCUUCUUCAAGUAUCAAAAACUUAUCUUCUUCCCUUUCUUUCUAUUUUUGUGCAGAGUGAACGAUCCCGUUGCCCUGAAGCUGCUGAGCAAGGCUGGGGAGAUGCCAUCUUUGACCCCGCCAGACGACGAGAGCAUCCGCACACUGUACGUCGGCGGCCUUGAUGCACGGAUCACGGAGCAAGACCUCAGGGACCAGUUCUACGCCCACGGCGAGAUCGAGUCCAUCCGCAUGGUCCUCCAGCGCGCCUGCGCCUUUGUCACCUACACAACCCGAGAAGGCGCUGAAAGGGCCGCCGAAGAGCUGGCCAACAAGCUGGUCAUCAAGGGUGUCCGCCUCAAGCUCAUGUGGGGGCGGCCGCAGGCGCAGGCCCCUUCAAAGCCCGAGGACGGGAGUGAAGAUGGGGCCGCAGGGCAACAGCAAGGCGGGCUUAUUGCCCACGGCGGGAUGCUUCCUAGGGCUGUUAUCUCCCAGCAGCAGAGUGGCGAGCAGCUCCGCCCGCCCGGCACAGAGCAGCAGCUUCCUCCCGGGCAUUACUUUAACAUUCCGGCCCCACCCCCCAUGGAGCGGGCCUUGUACCCAUCGAUGGACCCGCAGAGGAUGGGCGCGCUGGUGCCCUCCCAUGAGGGCGAUGGUAACAAAGCAGGGCCGGAGAGAGGGUCCGCGGGCAGUUCUGGGCAUGCUUACCCGCCACCGCCAGCACCGCAGGCUCCACAUUUCCAAGGCCAGUAUCCUCCGUACUAUACCAACCCUUACGGGUACACGCCGUACCCGCAACAUUAUCGACCUCCGUAUCAGCCAAUGAUGGCCCCGCCGCCACCGCCGCAACCUUCCCAGCAGCAGCCUGCAGCACAACAGCACAAUCCGGGAGCAGCCAGGUUGCCAUCCCAGAACUAAAAUCCUUCUAAAUGUACUUCUUUUUUUUUUCCUUUUCUUUUCUCCUCCUGUUCUAUCAUAGAUUCCUCCAUGCCUUUUGUUUGUAAUAACUGUAUGAUUGGAUAUGAAUCUGUUGCCAUUGGAGGCUAACUAGUAUUUUGCUGUGUAUUUUAAAUUAGCAGUACUGGAUCCUAUUUUACAAAACAGGCAUGUCUUAACUCUUAGCAUCUGUGUGAUUCUAUAUCUUGUUGGGGGUAGUAUCUGUUUCAUUCAAUUAUUUCCUUUUAUCAUUAUCAACUGUGAGCUGCUCUUUACUGUUCAAAAUCAUGAGUUCUGUAAUUGUUUUUUGUUUUUUGGUUUUUUCUUUUGGUUGCUCCUCCUUUCCAUACUUGUAAGAAAUUAGAGUACAUUUUGUUCAAAAUAGUUUUUGAAUGGAAAAAUAUAUCGGAAUCGAAAAGGGAAUGAUAAGAACCUUUCAAUUCCUUUGGCUCGUAAGAGAAAUUUUGACUAUAAUUUACAUUUACUUCUUAAAUUUGUAAUCAAAAUUUGAAUUGAAAAUUUUAAUUUAAAUUCAAAUUCAAGUUCAUAAUCAAAAUUUAAAUUUAAAACUGAACUCAAUAAUUUAGACUCGAACUUAAGAAAUUAAAAAUUAAAAUUUGAAUCCAUAAUUCAAAUUCAAAUAAAAAAAAUAUAAUCUAAAUUUAAAUAUGAUAUAUUUGAAUUUAAAUAAUUGUUAGUGAAAAAAAAGAAUGUUGCCUCAGUAGCCUCCAAAAUUAAAGUUAAUUCCCACCUUCAUAAGAAAAACCAUUUUGGGGAUUCAAUUUCCUUCAAAAUGAAAAUCGAAGUAUUAAUACUUUAAACUAAACACCGAUAAUAAAAAUAAGUUAUUCUGAUUUCUAUUCCAAAUCUCAAAUUUCUCCAACUAAACAUGCGCUUACAUUAAUACCAUAGAAAAGAAGAGUGAGAAAUGCGUGCUUUUAUUUUAAUCCUUUUUGUUUUAGUGCCUAUUUAUUUUUCAAACGAUUUCUGUAAAGGAAACUAACGAGAGACAAAUCUAUAAUAGAUUUAUUUAAAGGAUAAUAAAGAACAUGUAUCAGUUUUUUGGGAUACAAUGAUCGUAUUUGGUAAGAACUUGUUUAGUAAUCUUUAAUAUUUUAUAGUUUACAUUUCUGAAGAUGUUCGUCGGUAUUCGCUCAUUUUCCCGCGCUAAAUAGAAUUUGAACGGGUAAUUUAUGCCGCCAGUUCAUGAGGUAUCAAUUGCGCGACUAAAGAACGAAUCAAAUUUUCUGUUUUAAAAUAAAACUCGAACCGAAAAUCUAUGUUCAGAUUAUAAAAUACCAAUCAACUAAACUUACUCAAUAGUAGUAACUAUAUCCAAAUGAUUGUUUGCCAAUUUUUUUUUUUUUUUUUCUUUCGUGUAAAAUAUCUAAUUGGCAUUGAACGUGUUUUCCUUAACACAACAUUAAAGUUUGAUUUGAUUUGAGUACGAGGUUGUACCAUCAAAGUUUCAAAGCCUAACACUCCCUUCUUUUCCCUUCUAAUAAAGCUAAUACAAAAUGUCCUCUCUUUUUUUUUAGAUCUCCAAACAAAAUCUAAUAAAUGUUCUCUCUUUUAUUCUUUCUUAAUUAUAUAGUUUUUUGUUUUGUUUUGUUUUGUUUUUUUUUUGUUUUGUUUUUUUUUUUCCAAUGCUUUGCUGUAUAUCUUUUCUCAAUAUGCUUCCCCGCAACUAUCUAGAUAUUAGCUUUAUUUUAUUCUCAUCUUAUUGUGCUAAGAUUUUCUUUUCCUCCUAUCCCAUUGGAUUUUAUUAGGUGCAUUCACAUCCUGAUGAUGUGUAGCAGAUGUGAAGGCGGCAAAUGCUUCACACAACAGUUUGAGAUCGACAUCAGAUCGAACGUUAAAUCUUGAUGGUUGCUUUUAUCUAGAGAGAGAGAGAGCCGGGUCGGUGUGCUUUUAAGAACACGGAUGAUUUGUAUUCGUAGGUCGUUUUUGAUGAUGAGACUUUUGAAUCGACUAUCGACUCUGUUACAUUUGAUCUAACUUGUUUGAAAUGUCUUGAAAAUUAAUUUACGAUUUUUAGAUAUUAUUUACUUACUGAUCAAAAGAGCUCAAAAUUAACAAAUUUUAAUAAUUGAUAUAUUUCGUUUGCAAGUUUAAUAUUAUAAAAAUAUCUAAAUCGAAUAAAAUUUUGGUAGAUUUUUUUUUUUUUUUUUACUAUCUACAGCAAUAUCAAUACUUCUGAUCUAAAUUUUUUGUGCUAUAACUGACCGUUCUUGGCGCAAGUGGCAAAGAGCUUGGUGGUUGGUCUUCGUGGUACCAAGUUCGAAUUCUAGUUGAUUCACAUUUCCCGCUAAAUUUAUUUCUAAAAUAAAUAAAUGAAACAGGUAGCAUGUUACAUUUCUCUCAAAUUUUUUUUUUGUGCUAUAUUAUCACUUAUUGCGAGAUUAUUAUUUUAAAGAUAAAAUAAUGUCAAAAAAAUAAUAAAAUUUAUUUUUUAAAUACUUCAAAUACUUUAGAUUAAGUCUAACUGAGUCAAUUAUUGAUUUGAAAGUUUUAUCACCAAAAACAUCGAUAUCUUAAUAAGAGCACAGAGGCCUCCGUACUUCUAAGAGCACACUAUGCAAUCUGUAUGUACACCCUAUCAAUAGUAUAUAAAUAGUAUUUUCUACAUAUUUUUAAUUAAUUUUUGGAUCAAAUACUAUUCCACCGUCCUACUAAAUUAACAUAACGGAUCCAAGAGCUAAAAACUGGAUAUCAAAUACUAUUCCGCUAAGCUAUAGAUGGUGCAUAAUUUUUCCACGAAAUCCGACAAGGAUUUUUUCAAGAAAACUACUCUUCUUGAAAACUAAAGAAAAGGGAAAAUAAAAAAAAAAAUAGUCAGAAAUUUAGUUUGUGAUAAAUGUAAUAAUUAUUAUUAUAAUGCAUGGAAGUAACAUAUAUACCCUAGCAUUCUAAAUAUGCAGUUAAUAAUGUGUAUAGCAUUGAUUAGGAAGGUACGUACUACGUAGUGCUUACAACAGCCUAUUACGUGUCUAAUUAAUUAGGAAAAAGAAAUUAACAAACCGGAUGAGGAAAACAGCGGGCGGAGAAACCAGAGCCGCAGAAAAGCGCUGUUGGAAUUAAUAAGCUAUUCCCACACUAAUCACAAGUGCUUACUUCUGAGUUGACCAAUAAUAAUAAUCAGAAUAAGAUAAGAAUAAAUUGGGAUAAAACACAUUAUCCACGUAUUAUGCAUCUCUUAUCCAUUAUAAAUUCGGAUAUAUAUAUAUAUAGGCUGGGGUUAUUAUACUCUUAUGAGUAUAGACCCCCUUGUACUCAUAAAUUUUUAACCGUUGAUUGAUGGGAUGUGUGGUUAAGAUGAUGAUGGUCCCCACUUAAAAUGAUAGUGGUCCCCUAGAAUUGCGUGGGUAGUUGGUUGAAUAGUAUGAUCUAACGGGUGGAAAUGAUCAAUGAAAUAAAUUUAAGGGUUGAAAACUUAUGAGUAUAAAAGAGCCAAUACUCAUAAAAGUAUAGUAGCCAGACUCUCUCUCUCUCUCUCUCUAUAUAUAUAUAUAUGAGUCAAGUUGCUAUACUAUCAGUAGCACGGAGGACGGAGGCUAUCGUGCUACCAAAUUGUUUUCAAUUAUGUGUCUUCUAAAUCAACAAUCAGCUGCGUUAGGCUUAAUUUACAGAAUUGAAAGUAUUUAAAAACUAAAUUUAUAAUUUUUUGAUAUUAUUUACCUAUAAAACGAAUAGUCUAAAAAUGAAUAGUUGAAAAUAAAAAUCUCAUAAAAAAUGAUAAAAAACUUAAAUUUAAGAUUAGAGGUACUGAUCUAACUUUAAAUAGUAAAAAAAAAUUCUAUAAAAAUUUCAUCAGAUUUGAAUUAUUUUACGCAACUAAAUUUACAGAUACAUCACAUUGACUAUUAAAAUUGUUAAUUUUGAGACCGUUUAAUCACUAACCAAAUAAUAUUGAAAAAUUAUGAAAUCUAACUUUCAAAUACUUUAAAUACUGUCGAUCAAGUUUAAGAAGCCGAUCGUCGAUUUGAAAGCCGCAUCAUUGAAAACAACUUGGUAGUACGAAAACAUCUGUGCUACCGAUAGUAUAGCUGUCUAGCUCUAUAUAUAUUCUGAUUUCUGAAUACGAUGGUUUUCGCUUUAUUUGCUUGCUUAAGACAUCAUGCAAAAUGCAAAAAAGCAAAAUGCAAAAUGCAAAAUUAGUUGGAGGGGUCCGAAGCAAGAAAAUGGAGAAGCAGCGACGUCGCUGUAGCUUAACAUAAUUGCUUCCUCUGCUUUUUAAGACCUUUACCUUUCGCUUAUUAGACUUUUUCUUAUUCUUUUUUAUAUCUGGGGUUGGAACUUGGAAAGGAGAUUCUUGUUUAGCAAAAUAACGGACGGUGGAGAUUGAUUCUUCUUUUUUUUGACCCACCAAGCAACAACCUUCUAGAAGCAACUGGAAAGUAGAGGGGCUCUGUUUGGAUGCGCGAAUAUUUUAUUCAGUUCUAUAUUUUUUUAAGAUAAAAAUAUAUAUUAUUUUAUGAAAAACUUCAAAUAUCAUUCGUGUGAUUUUACACUUUCUCACUUUAGUACCUGUGGUUUAAACUGUAUCAUUUUCGUAUUCUGUGGUCUUAUUUUUCUCUUUUUGUUAUCCCCUCCACUAAUUUUUUUUUUUGUUAAAUCAGUGACAAAGUUAAAACUAAGAGAUAGUAAAGUGAAUAUUUAAUAAACUAUAGCUGAGAUAUUUUAAGUUUUUUAUAUAUGAUUUAAUAAAAAGUUAACGAAGAGGUUGACGAAAAGAGAAAAAUGAAACCACGGGGUACUAAAUUGAUACACACCAUCCUCACUCUAGAUAACUAGGUUAGAAUACUAUUAAUAGCACUAAGUCAUUGGUGCUAUUAAGUUUUCGGCCUUCGGAUGAAACAAAGUAAGGUUUGGUUGAUAGUGGUCCUGUAGUUGGUUGAAUGAUAUGAUCUAAAUAGAUGAAAAUGAUUAAAAGAAUAAAUCUAACAUUAGAAAAUUUGGUAGCACUAAGUACUUGAGGCUAUGGGUGGCAUUAUAGCUGUAUACACACACAUACUCUCUCUCUCUCUCUCUUUCUCUCUCUCUCUCUCUCUCUCUCUAUAUAUAUAUAUAUAUAUAUAUAUAUAUAAAAUUAGGCUAGAAUACUAUUAAUAGCACCAAAUUAUUAGUAUUAUUAAGUUUUCGGUCCUUCGAUGAAGCGAUCUAUGAUUAGGAUGAUAGCGCUUUCUUAGGGUUGAGUGGAAGUGCUUCCUUAGGGUUGACUGGAUGGUUAGCUGAAUAGAAUGAUCUAACGAGUGAAAAUUGUCAAAGAGAUUGAUCUAACGGCAGAAAACUUGGUAACAUCAAGUGUUUGAUGCUAUCGAUAGUAUUGUAGCCGGACUCUCUCUCUAUAUAGAAUUAGGCUAUUAUAUUAUUAAUAAUAGCACCAAGUCAUUGGUGCUAUUAGGUUUUCGGCCUUUAAUGAAGGGAUGUGUAGUUAGGAUGGUAGUGGUCCUCUGGAGUUGAGUGGGUGGUUGGUUGAAUUGUAUAUAAUCUAACGGGUGGAAAUUGUUAACGAGGUACUAAUCUAACGGUAGAAAACUUGAUAGCACUAAGUGCUUGGUAUUAUUAAUAGAAUAGUAGCCGGGUUUUAAAUUUGGGAUCUCGAAUACCAACUAUUAUAUGAGAUAUGCAUCGGUGAUCAAACCUGAACGAAUUUGCAAAUCCAAAAUCAAAACUAAAGCCGCGAGAAAACUCGAAAUCAUUAUCUGAAAUAAAAAAUCUUAGAUUAUUGGUAUUAAUUUGACCUAAAAGCUAAUUAACGGACUUUGAUCGUUGAACUAAAAGUAUGAGAUGAAAUAAAUAGAAGAGGGUGCCGUGUGCAGCACCCUCAAAUGGUGAACACGAGAACAGCAUGGGAGACUCCAUGUUACUGUACGAAACCCUAGAUAUGGUCAUAUGGGUACAAGUUAAUUCUUUCCAUCAUAAUAAUUGUAUAUAUAUGACAUACAAAAUAAGAUAAAAACUAAUAAAAUUCAUGUGAACUAUACACUAUUUUAAAAUAGUUAUCAAACCUUUCAAAAUUUUAAUGUAAUUAUCUAACUUUUUAAUUUAUUUGAUUUGGUUCAGUGAAUGAUACUUUGACUUUAAAAUUUAAGCAAAUUAUUUAUUUUAAUAAAUUUAGAAUUUAAUUUUAAAGUCAAAGUAUUGUUGACCGGCUUAAAUCGAAAAAAAAAUGAAAGGUUUAGUAUGAGAAACAAUAACUUAUAACUUAU
rnacentral:lncRNA from 1 species